UUUUUUUUUUUUUUUUUUUUUUUUGUCGACGGAGUGGGUGUCCGGGUCAAGUCCGUAAAGGCGGCCCGACUAAUCCCACUUCGGCCCGGCCAAGCGCCCCAACUCGACCUAGCACGUUAGAUGCACGGAGAAGCCGAUGUUGCUGCGGAGGUUCGACCCCAGGACCUGACUGUCCGGAGGAAGAGGCGCCAACCACCAGCCCAUUCACGUGGGGGCUCAUAGCACUACAUUCACUAACCCAAAUUCUGUAUGUUCUCCUAUGCAAUAUGAAGUUACAAUAUGACGUUGUCGAACCAUUUACCAAAUAUGGAAAAAAGUCCCAAUCAUCCUCCAAUUAUUAGCCGGGUGGACUUUUGACCCUCCAAUAAUUAAAAGUAAACUUUUGACCCCUAAUCUUAGCAAUCUAUCAAAAAUACCAAACAUUAUUAGACUUUCUGUCAAUUCCAGCAGUUAAGGAUGAUCGAAAACAACAUCACGUGCACUCCACGAGGAAUUGGUAGGGGCAUUCUCAUCCACCCACGAGAAUUCAUCCACUAAAAGGCAGCCAAAAAAAAAAAACCCGUAAUUGAAGGAAUAUUUUACAGCCCCUUUUCUUUACUCCCGUGUCAUCUUCAAUAACAAUCAAGAAGAUUUCAUCUUCCUCUGAUGCUGCUGCUGUAAGCCAAAGGGAAGACUUCAUCAGCAAAGGACCCUCUCUCUCUCUUUCAAAAACAAAAGGAAGGAAAAGGGGAAGCCAAUAUACAAAAGGAAAGAAAUUAAUUUUGCUGUUAUAAGCCACAAGGAAGACUUCAGGUGUGUUUGAUAAAAUUGAAGUUUAAAAACUAAAAUCUGAAAAUCUGAAGCUCGAAUUUAUUAAAUUAUUGAAUUGUUAAGUAUUAAACCUAAUACAUUUGAAUUAGGGCUGCAAACGAAUCGAACCGCUCGUGAGCGGCUCGAGUCAAGCUCGAGUCGAGCUCGAGCCGGCUCGAGUCAAACUCGAGCUCAAAAUAUUAAACUCGUUAGCUCGCGAGCCGGCUCGCGAGCUUGGGUAUAUAUAUAUAUAUAUAUAUAUAUAUAUUAUUAUUUUUAUUUAAUAAUAAAAUUACGUAUAUUAUAUAUAUAUUUUUUUUUUUUAUUUUCAUAGUAAAAUUACGUAUAUAUCCUUAAUAUUUUAUUAUUUAUUAAGAAAAAAAUAUUAUUUUAUUUAUUUUUUUAAAAAUAAAAUAAUUAUUUUUUAUUUUUUUUCGAGCUCGAGCUCGAGCUCGAAAUUUGCCGGCUCGUCGAGCUCAAUCUUGGUAAAAUUUAGUCGAGACUCGACUCGAUUAGCUCAAAACUCGACUCGGUUCGGCUCGUUUUGCAGCCCUAAUUUGAAUACAUAUCACACGUAGUGUCUGUUUGAUAACAUAAAAAAGUACUGAAACUGAAUUCAUUCAGACAUUCAGAUGUUUUUGGUGUUUGAUAAAUAAAAAUUUUUCUGCUGAACUUAUUAAGUGGUGCUGAAUUUGUAUGUAUUUUUUUUCAGCACAAGAAUCGUAAUUGAAUGCUUAAUUUGAUAAGAAUCAAGAGAUUUACUUCAACUACUUUAUCUUAUCUACCAAAUCUAUUCUUGUUUGUUAAUUACAUUCAAAAUCCUUAUUUAAUUAAACAACCUGACAUUCUCUGUCUAAUGGCUUUCUACUUCUAUUUUCUCCCUAUUUAAUUACUUUUUUACAAUUUCUCCAUGCUCCUCACAUCUGUUUACUCCUUAUUUUUUUUCCAUCUUUCUACUCUUUCAUAAUUUUGUCAUUUUUUUCCUCCCAAUUUUUUUAUUGCUACCGUACUCACCGAUCUCAAAUUCAUUAUUUCCAAGGUAGAUUAUUUGUUGUUUUGCGCCAACAUUUUUCCAUUGAAGUAAUUAAAUUUCUAUAUAAUUUGGUGUGAAUUUAAAACUUGUUUAUUGCAACUUCCUUUUGCUUAUAUUUGGAUUUUUCUUAUCAAACUCUGAUUUAAAAAUAUAUAUUUGCACCGAUAUUUGGACUUUUCCAUAACAUAUUUCUUCUUUUAUAUUACUUUGAUUUAAACAUAAAUAUUGUCAUUUUCAUGCCUAAUAAUUUUAAGCUAAUUAAAUCAUAGGUUCUAUUUUCUUUUUGGAUUAAAAGAUAGAAGGGCAAAAUUGUACAAUUUAGCUUAUUAAGUAUUAAGUUAUAAAUGUUUAUCAAACAGUAUAAAUAUGUUCAGCAUUAAGAUUCAGAUAUUCAUAUAUCUCUUUUCAAUGCUUAAUAUUCAGCAAAUUAAUUGUUUCAGUAUUCAGAAUUCAGAUUCAGUUUUAUCAAAUGGAGCCGUAAUAAUAAGUGAAUAGUUUAUCACUUAAUUUUGGGAGUAAGUUUUGUCUAAAAAAUUCAGUACCACUUAAUUAAUUCAGAUAUUUAAUUUUUUAUUAUCAAAAGCAUAUGAAUAUGUUAGGAUCUGAAUCCAUUUAAUUUUAGUGUUAAAUUAAGUUAUCAAAUAGGGCCUUCAUCUUCCUGCUAACCCCUCACUCUUUCUCUCUCUCAAAUACACAAGGAAGAAAAAGGGGAAAGCAAAAAUACAAUAGGAAGGAAUUUAAUUGGGAAAGAAAGUCAUGCCAAGUGGAAGAAUCUUUAAUUGGGAAGCAUUCAUAGUGCAUGGAAUCUGAUCCAAAGAGGUCUAUGGUAGAGAGUAGGGGAUGGAAAGCAUGUAAACAUAUGGAAGGACAGAUGGGUAAUGGGUUCUAAAAUAGGAAAAGUGACUACAACAUGCCCUCCAAAUUGUCAGCUGCAGAUGGUGAACCAGCUAAUAAAAGAGGGAAGAUGGAAUAAUGAAAUCCUACAGCAAACUUUCAAUCAAAAGGAUAGAGAGCGAAUAUUCAGCAUGCCUCUCAGCUUGUUCAAAAGACAAGACAAAUUCUUCUAGAGUUUCUCAAAGUCUGGAGUCUACACAGUGAGGAUAAGCCAUGCAAUUGCAGUGCAGGAAAGCAAUAAAGACAAAAGAAAAUAGAACCUGGAAGAGGAAACAAGCUGGGAAAUUAGAAAGCAUAGUAUUUGGAAGAAACUCAGGAAAUUGAGCUUAAAAUACAAGUUGAAACACUUUUAUCUGGAGGUGUUUACAAAAUGGCUUAGCUGUUAAAGAAGCAAUCCACAACUAGAUAGGAAAAGGCGGCAACAUAUGCACAAUUUGUGGAGAGGAAGUAGAAACAAUGGAACACAUGUUCUACCAAUGCCCAAUUGCCCAAAUAGUAUGGAAGUUAGCACCAGUAAGAUGGGAAGGACUGAGAGAUCUCCAAACUAACAUGUGGAGAUGGUGGGAGGCUGUAGCUCAGAUAGGAACAAAGGAACAAGGAAUGGAACAAAUCAACCUGACAGCAAACAUUUUAUGAUGGAUAUGGAAAGCAAGAAACAAGUCAGUGUUUGAACAGCAGAAAGGAGAAGCAAGAGACAUUGUUCUGAAGACACAACAAGAUUGGAUUGAAUUUGAAUAGGUAACAGGACAGGAAACAAUAGGGAAACAAGGAGAAGCAGCUCCAAACCAGACGGAACCGAGAAAUGUAGCAUCACAAGAAGGAACCAAUGGAUGCGGCUAUAAAUGCAAGGAUGAUUAGGAUAGGGAAAGGAAUAAUUGCAAGGCAUUGGACAGGAAAGAUUAUAAGAGCAAAAGGAGUAGUAGAAAGGAAGAGAAGAGAAGCUGUAAUGGAAGAAACUUUAACCAUUAGAAUGGCACUCCAAAUAGCAAGAGAAGCAGGUUGGAGAAAAAUUGCAAUCCUAUUAGAUUGCAAAACAGCCACUAACCAAAUCAGGAUCAACAAUGUGUAGGAUGGACAUCUAGCAACCAUCCUAGACGACAUUGAUGAAUUAACACAAGGUUUUGAACAAUGCAUAGUUUCUUUUGUAUCUAGAAUAGCUAAUGUAGUAAGUCAUAUGUUAACACAUUUUGCAAAAAACUAGUUAACAACAUAGAAUGGGUAAAUGAUUUCUCAAUUUGGUUAAUAGAAAUAGGUUGGAAGAAUAAGAGGAUGAAUGCCCUUUUUUGUAAUUAACUUUUGUACUGUCAAGUGUUAAUAUAUAAACUAAUAUUGUCGUUUGCUGAAAAAAAAAGAAAGAAUCUUUGGUUACUAUCCUUAGAUCGUUAGUUAGAGCCCAUGUGUCUCGAAUUUAGUUAGCGAGAUGUAUUCUCCCAAAACUCCAUGUGUAUUUGUAAUCCUCCAUGGCAAAAACUUUAGGUUCUCCUUGGAAAUCCUCUCUCUAUAAAUUAAAUAAUACGACUAUUUAUUAUUAAAAAAUAGCAAAAAUUGUAAGUGGGGUGAGCUCUUCGGAGGAGGAAUUCAAAAAGGUAUGCUGAGUCUUUGUAUUCUUCUUCUUUGUGUGUGUGUGUGUGUGUGUGUGUGUGUGUGUGUUUUUUUCUGAUUUACGUCAAAUUGUGUAUGGUUAAUGAGAUUGCAUCGUAUUGAUCUAUCUUGUACUGUCAGAGUUAGUUUACAAAUGGCAUAAUUAUCUUUAAUAACUAAAACAUGUUUGAGCACGUUUUUGGUUUUGUAUGCAGGAUUGAAUACGAGUUCGUUGGACCAUUUUUAUGACAAGUUGAAUGUCGCAGAGAUGCAUUCAAGGAAGGUCUCACAAUUGAUUAGCCAGUGCGCCAAGGUUGUUGCUGGUAGCUGCACGACAUAAGAUGGAUCAUAUGCCAAGAUUAAAUUGGACAAUCGGCAGAGACCCUUUACGAGCUGCAAACUUCAAAUAGAGCAAGUGCUAAAGUCUUUAUUCUGUAAUUUUUUUUUUUUUUUUUUUUACAUUUUUUGUUCACAAUUGAUUAUUCCAUACUCGUAACUAGUGGUUGCUUCUUAUAUGCCAGUAAGUUAUUUUUACGUUUUGGGUUUGUUUGGAUUGUAAGUUAUUUGGAAUAUUUUUACUGUAAUACUUUUUGUGAUGUGAUGUAUGUGAAAUAAAAAGAUAAUUCGAAAGAUAAAAAAGUGUAUUGAAAAUUGUAAUGAUGAUGUAAGCAAAUAAAACUGGGUAAAUAAUGCUCAAUCCAAACAAACCUUUAAGUGCUUACAUGAUAGAGGCAUCGAAUAUUGUUCUUUUCUGGUGUAAAUGACUUUUCGACAAAAAAAAAAAAAAAAAGAAGGAAAAAGCACAGGGACAUAUACACCAUAAGCACUUUGUACAAAAUUGCUACUAAAAUGAUGUACAAUUGCAGUCCAUUUCACGAUUAGAGCUUGCAAAUCAUGCUGCUUGGAACCAACACUCAGUGACAGUGUUAGGAUCUUGGUCAUUGAAUUCGAAGCAGGAAGUAGAAACGGUUUCUUAAAUAGUUCACAUUUUUAAUUUGCCAAAAAAAAUUUUUCGCUCAAAUCACAAAAUCUAAAUUGAUUUUAAUAUGUAUGGGACUAAAAAAAAUAAAUGUACUAAAUAUACACUGUAUUCAAAUUGAUUUACAUUCUGAAUACAUGUAUUUACAAUUUAUUGAAAUGCAUGAAAUAGUUCCGAGCCAAUUUCAUGGUUAAUGGGCAUAUUAUACUCCUAAAAUGAGAUCCAUUUUAUUUAAAAUAAAUUCAAUUUAAGACUGGGCAUAUUAUACUCCUAAAAUGAGGUCCAUUUUAUGUAAAAUAAAUUCAAUUUAAGACUAUGUAUUUGUUCUAAAUUUACCUUUUUGUUUUAAGCAUUCUAUUCUUAUUCAAAAACUAAGUAAUUUCAUCAUUUAGGGGGCAAUGUGAGGGGAAGAUGAGGAUGUUUGUGUAGGCACGAUGCUUCAAUAAUAGUGAGUUGAGUUUGAACUCAAAAUACUACAAAUAUAUUUUACAUGGGCUGAGCUCACAUAACUCAAUUAGUAGGCCUGGCUUUUUUCUUUUUCUUUUUCUUUUUUUUUUUUAAAAUUAAAUACUAUAAGCGGCCAAUCUUCAUCUAUCGGUUAUUCUAUGAAAGGAGGGGACAUUUGUGAUCCCUAGGGCGACUCACGUCUUGCCGUCAUUGGAGCCCUUAGGGUUAGUUGCUUUUAGCAGAUUUCCUCUAAGAAAUCCAUGGCCGAGACAGUAGUCAGGAGAAGCAUGGCAGAUCUGCCAGAGCCCAUCAUACAUCACAUACUCUCUUAUCUCUCAGGUGAUCAAGCAGCUCAAACAACUGUGUUGUGCAAGGCGUGGUUGAAUGCAUGGCUCACUCGACCCACUCUAGUAUUUAGCAGUGCCUUCUUCUUCUCCAAGAAAAAGAAAAGGACAAAAGAAAUUUGUUGGCAUCCGCCGGAUAGGGAUGAGAUCAGGGAAUAUAACAACUUCGCCAAAUACGUGGAAAGGAGUUUCGAUAGGUACCAUAAACAGAAGACAAGUAUAGACACGAUUGAGCUGGAGAUCGAUAAAGGUGUGUUUGACUGGAAGCCGGUUAUCAGGAGAUGCAUUCAAGUUGCUGCGGAAGACAGCGUGAAAAACCUCAAACUCUCACUCUGCGAUAGUGAGUUACCUGAAAUUCUUUUUUUUGAAGCUAAAUCACUAGUAGAUUUAACUCUUAGCCAGGUCAAGUUGGUUGAGCGAUCAACUGAGAAAAUUAAACCGCUUGAUCGUCUCAAGAGGCUGUCUCUUAACUAUGUAGAGUUCUAUGAUGUGCCGUUUGAGAGCCUAAUAUCAUGCUGCCAAUUGGUUGAAAUCUUGGAAAUUAGUUACUGCAAAAAUGGCAACGAUUCUGAUCAAUAUUUUAAGGUGGCAGGACAAAAUGCUCUCAAGGAGUUGAUUGCCGUGUUAUCACAUCCUCAAACACUAAUCUUGUGUGAGGCACCAAGUCUUGAAUCACUUACUUGUAAGUCUGACGGCAAACAUGGUCAGUAUCCUUGCUUCCUUAAUUUGCAUUCAUCUCAAUAUGAGAAUCUCAAGAGUUUGUUGCUAUCUGGUGUUGGCAUUGGUGACGCUUUUUUUGUCAACUUGGCACAUGAUUUUCCACACCUUGAAAGUUUGUCUGUCCAAUAUUGCCAAGAUUUGAGGAACAUCAAAAUCUCGAGUCCCUCCCUUAAAAGAAUACAGUUGGUGCGGAAUUGGGGUUUGAGAAAGGCACAAUUUGAUGUUCCGAGUAUCAUAAAAUUUGAGUAUGAUGACCGAAAAUGCAGGAUCAUACCCGAGUUCUCUUUCGCAGCUGCUUCAAGUCGUUGGGUUUCUUGCUUUACUAUAUGCACGGAGGAAGAUGCGGGCAAUUCAUGUUUCCUCCAAUUGAAGAAACUGGUCGCCAGUUUAGCUCAGUCUGCAGUUUCACUCAAACUCAUGUUUAGACGGAAUGAAGCAUUCAAUUUGGGGGAGGCUACAAAGGAUGCAGGAUUUGACGAACCUCAAGUGGUGCAGGAACUGUUUUCCAAGUCCAUAGAUUGGAACUUCCGUGUUUCAUCUGCAUAUUCAAUGUUGGAUGUUAUUUUUUGGGUGUGUCGUCCAAAAGCCAUAGUGGAUUAUUGGAUUGACAGGCCUAGGUACAAUGAGAGGUUGCACUCUCUGUACACGAAGCUUAUGUUCAGAAAAAAUCAUGAACAAUUUCACAAUUCUCAACAAAUGAAGUUUUGGCAGAGCGAUCUAAGGGAAGUAAAAGUAGAGAUCUUUCAUCGUUGCGUAAUUCAAUCGGAGCUCGGCUUGGACUUUAUUUUAGUUGGACAAGGAGAGCAGUUGGAGGAAACUCUAGAUUGUAAGGAUUUUCUGAGUUUUCUAAGAACUCGUGCACCCAACUGGGGAAUGAUGAUUAAAUUCAAUUUGGAUUGGGAGACCAACUGACCAGCAAUCCAGCAUCUGGGAUAUCCGAUGAAGCAAAAUCAUCAAAAAGUUCGUGCUUGAAGUUUGAAGAGUUGGCUUUUGAUUUAUAAGGUACUAAAUAUUUCGUGUUUGUAUUACUAUCUCAUCUCAAUCAGUCAAUACAAUUAUGCUGCAGAUUGAGUCUGGUAUACGAAUUGAUCAUCCCCAAUAAUAUAUGUAAAAUGAAGUGAACCUGUAAAUGCAAUAUGGCACGAGAUAGUUAGUCCUGCUUGGUGAAUUGGAAAUUAUACCCCAAAUGACAAGGAAGAAAAGAGAUUACUAGGAUCACAGAAGCUGCAUGGAGGUAUAAAACCAUAGUGAUCUAAGUGGUUUUGAACGUGAUAUGCAUUCAAUUAUGUAUGAAAAAUUGAUUGUUUGAUUAUACAUCUCGGCGUGUUAGGUGUGUUUCGCGAUAAUUGUAAUUUUCCUUGCAAGUGUUUCGCGAUAAUUAUAAUACAUGCUUUGUUACAUUCCAUCAUAUUGAUCAUUCUUGAUUUCUCUUGUAUUGUUAGAAUUAGUUGCCGAAUCAAAUAUAUAUUUGAGCGUGUUGUUGUGUUUCUUUGUAGGAUGAAUUUUCAUAUGACAAGUUGAACGUCAAAGAGAUGUAUUCAAGCAAGUUCCAGAUUGUUGAAGGAUAUUGUCUCAGACUUGAAUUUCCAUUAUUCCAAAAUUCUUGAUGAUGGCUGCAAAACAUAUAGUCUUCCCAGGUAGAUUUUGUGCCAAGAGUUAGUUGAUCCGUCACCUUCUUGCUCCUUAAUUAUCAAUUUGAAAAUAAAAUUUAGACUUUAUGGUUUUAAUUUGUACUAUUCAUUCAGAAACCUGAAAAAUGAUCGAGUAAGUAUCAAAGUUUUUGUUAUGCAAUUUGGGUUUUUUCCCCUUCUGUUAAAAAAAAUUAGUUUUUCUAUGCUCGUAAUUGGUGUAUGCUUUUUCUGUGCCAAUAACGUAAAUUAAUUGCUUAUAAUAUGGAUGUAUUAUUCUUUUCCUCUGAAAAAUGUGAUCAAAAUCAUUUUUGAACCAAAAAAAGAACAUAGAGACCAUAAGCACUUACUAUAUUAUUAUUGGUACCUAAAUAUUGUACAAUUGCCAUAUGCCAAGAUAAAUCAUAAAUGUGUACACGUAUGUGUGAACCUAAAAAAUGUUACAAUUAUUGAGAAAAAUAAGAGAAACAAAGGACAAGAGUUUAUUUCCUUGUAAAAUUCAUAAUAUGAAAUUGCUCUAUUUAUAGAGUUCAAAACAAUUCCACUAACUAUCCCAAUAACUCCAUUAACUCCACUAGCUACUCCACUAAUUCCACUAACACUAAUUCCACUAACUCCAUUAAUUAGGUAAAACAAAAUAAACAAACAUGAUUAAUUAACAAUAGUAAAUAUUUCCAACAAAAAAAAUUGUGUAUGUAUGAAGAUAAAUACUGAACAUUCACUCUAUUUGUAAGACAAAAUUUUCAUGGUUACUGCUUCCAAAUUGUGCAGCACUAAACCAGCAUUGUCUACCACCAAAACAAAACAAAAAAAAAACAAAAAGAAAAAUCGCGUGCACGCACACACACACGCAUCAUCGGAGAAUUGAGAAUCAAUGCAAGAAAAGUCAUUCAAAUAAAUUUUCUGAAAUCUGUGCUUGAAGAGAUGAAGGCAUGGUAUCUUGCUGAGUUUUAGGGUCUGUUUGGUUGGAAGUAAAAUAUUUUCCUUGGGAAAAUAUUUUCCGUGGAAGUAAUUUUCCAUGAAAAUCAUUUCCCUUUCAUCAUUUUCAGGUGUUUGGUUAGUUUAUUGAAAAUAUUUUCUUACUUCAUUUUUCUGGUGUUUGUUUAACUUUUGAAAUAUUUUCACUUUUAUCUCUAUCUUUACUUUUUACACAUUAUAACUACAUACUUCUUUCCAUGCAAAAUAAGAAAAUUUAUCUCAUUGUUUAACUUUAAAAAAUCUUGGAGAAAUGUAUAUAUGAAUAAAAAAUAUCUCCUUAAACAAUAAACAAAUUGCUGGUCAUUUAGUGUCAAAUAUCAAUCACAUGCAAUGCUUAUUGUGACAUAUAUCUUGCACUCUCACUGUUGAAAGUUUCUUUUAGAAAAGAAUGUCCCUAUUAUACAUAAUUAAUUACUAGCAUAGGAUGAACAGGAUGAGGUUUUUUUUUUUUUUUGAAUAUAAUAGGGGGAGGGUUGGGUUGGUGGGGGUACGGGGGGAGUGUAAGGAAGAGGUCUUGGAUUCGAGUCCUCCUGUUUACACUAAAAAAAAAAAAAGAACAUACUACAAGAUGUUUUCAGUAAGUUUGGAACAUACUACAGGUGGAAUGCAUGCAUUUCGGAAAACAACUUCAGUAAGUUUGGAAGGGAAGUUGUUUUCCAUAAGAUGAAUGAAAAUAUUUUACAUAGGAAAAUGUUUUCAGUAACUUUUGUGCAACCAAACACGGAAAAUUAGGAAAAUAUUUUCUUGGAAAAUAUUUUCACCCGAAACAAACGGACCCUUAGUGCCGAAAGAUAUUUCGCUGGCAUUUAAUUUGCAGCUUCUGAAGCAAAAUAGUUAUCGAUUGUGUGAUUUCUUUCUAGUUUCGAGGAAAUAUAAAAAUGAAAAGGAUGCAUCAUGGAAGAUUUCUUACAUCUCUUUGGUUUCUUCCUAAAGGACCCAAACAUUCAAUCCUUCAAGAUUUCAGUUUCCAGCCCAGGUCCAUAACAUUGCAAUCAACUAAACAGUUCCCUUUCUAUUUUCUUAGCAACGGUUCCAUAAUUUGACCACAUAAAAUUGUAGGAAAAAAAUUUAUACUUUCGAUGGAUGUUCUCAUGCUGCUUUGGAAUGAAAUUUUGACUAAAUUCUGCUUUGGACCAUUUCUGUUGUAUCCGAGCUUAGGAGCUUUUCUUUUUUUUUUUUUCCCACAGUAAUAUUCUUUCUGAAGAAUAUUCCCCUUGUAAUGCGCUUCCAUAUUUUAUUCCCAUUAUGAAUUUUUCUUGCCAUAUCGUCUCCUAUUUGCCAUGAUGAAAAAUGAAAAUAAGAAAGGGUCACUUAUAAAUGGAGAAAUUGCCAUUCAUGAUAAACGAAAACUUUGAGGGUACGUUUGGUUACCCAAGGAAUUAGGGUUUAGAAUUGGAAUUGGAUCCCCAAUUCUAAUUCUCGUGUUUGGAUCCUACCUUUCGUAUAGAAUUAGAAUUGAAUCGCAAUUCCAAAUCGAUCGAAUUCCAUGGUUCCAAUUUUUUGGCUGGACCAAAGAAUUCCAAUUCCAAUUCCACGGCCAGAUUCUCGUUGGGUCAACACGCGGACUUUAAAUGGGUCAAAACUCAAAAACGGGUCAACUAUAAAGCUAGAUUAAGGAAACAAAGCUAGCUUCUUCCUCUGUCUGCAUUAGCAAAUCGCCAUCUGCUCCAGCGUUCUCUGUCGCUGCCGCCGCCGCGCCUUCUCCUUGUCCCAGCAUCUCUGCCGUAACCCCUACAAGCCUUUCCUCCCUCUGCCGCAACAUCGAGUGGGUGAAAUUUACAGAUUGAGUUAUAUUUUGGUCUCCUUUCUUUCAUUUCCUAUUAAUCUUGAAUUGUGCCUCCUGCUUUUACCUUUGCCGCCGCUUCCAUUGCCAUCACCACCACCACCGUCGCGUCCUCUCGUCCUCACUCUCCUUCCGCUCCUUCAAUUCUCAAUUCUCGACAAUUUUAGGGUUUAUGAUGUUAUAUUCAUUUUUAAAUUUUUGCCGAUCAAAGAUUGAUUUUUUUUUGUUGUUCCUCUGAUAAUGUUUGCCAUUAAUGUUAUAAAUUUGCUACUGUUUUUUUGCUUCUAAUUCAACAUUUGGACGAGGAUAGAAAAAAAGGUAGCACUUUGUUGCCCUGUUCUUCUAGAUUUAACGUAACCAAGCAAAAUCUUUUUUGUUUUUGAUACAGUAGCAACCAGGUUUUUGUUUGAGAUUUUUCCAAUAGCUAAUUUGGUCUUUUGAAUUAAUAGCUAGUUUGGCAUGAUUUGGUCUUUUGGCUUAUCUUUUCUUAUUGUUGUUGUGAUUUUGAAUUGCAGAAUUUGGAUAUUGACAUGGAUAAAGAAGGAGACGAGCAAAAGGCAAAAAAGAAAAAAGUGGGAAUGUAAAGGAGACUUGUUAGAAAAUGACAUGGGAGACUUGCCUUUGAGCUCUUGCCAAAAGGUGGAUCAAUGUAUGAAGAAACAUUGGAGACUUACAAAUUUCAUGAUUAGAUCUCUUUGAUGCUGGAGAAGUUGCUUCUUGUAUUGAAUUUCUCAGUUUUAGCUGACGUUAACCACAUUAAUUCUUCAUUCAUUUGUCAAUGAGCUGAAUCCAGAAUUAUGCACCUUUUGUUGUUCUGUAUCAGGGGCCUCUCCGUACUUUAUUAGUUGAGGCAAUCUGUCCUUACAGCGAAAUUCUGCGCACCAGUCCCUACUGCAAGAAGAUCUCCUCACGCAAUCUUCUGAAGAAGUGAUGUUGGAAAUGGUGGUCAACUGCUGUGGUUUUUAGAAAAAAUGCUACAAACUUUGUGAAUAAGUGUUAAAUCUCUUUUUGGUGUGGCCUUAUGUAUAUUACCUGACCUCGUUUCCUUCAUGUUCAAGUGUGGUGACAACUUCUACCUUAGCCGGAGAGAAACUUGUGACUCUUCCUUAUGUUGAAGUGUUACUUGUCAAAUACUUUACAUAGGAGAUAAUGCAGGCAACGAAGCUUCUGUUGUUACCUGUUCUGUAUUUCUUUGGAUAAUGUUUUUUCCUUGCAUAUAGUAAAGGAGCCUUAUUUUGACUUUAAAGUAGCACGUGAAAUAUAUCUAAGGCGUCUUUAUCAUGGAAACAACAGAGUUUAUGUAGAGCAACUUCGACUCAAUAAACAUUGUCUUACUGUUUUAUGUACAAAUUUAAGAGAGCAUUGUGGGUUGAGGGAUACUAUAAAUAUUACAGUUGAAGAAGCAGUUGCAAUGUUUCUCUAUGUUCUUGCUCAUAACUUUAAUAAUCGCACUGUCAAGAUCAGGUGAGACAGUUAGUUGAUACUUUAAUAUAGAGUAGGUUUUUAAUUUUCUAAAAUUUAAAGUUCCUAACUUAGAAAAAAAUAUCAAGGUUUUAACUUGAUAAAUAUGUACUUUUUAAGCUAGAAUAUGUAAUUAGUUUUUAUUUAAUAUAAUUUAAUUAAGAAUUUUUUUUUAGAAAAGGAACUAAUUAGCUUUUUCUUUAAAACUUUAGUAACAAUUAGUUAAAUGCAAGAAAAAAUAAAUUAUUAAAGGCACUAAUUGGUUUUUUCCUUGAAGUUUUAGUAACAAUUAGCUAAAUGUUAAAAAUUUACUACAGAGGAAAAAGAAAAAAGAAAAAUUUUAUGUAAACAAAUGUUAGAUGAAAACAAUUCUAAUUCUUAAUGAAUUCUUCUCCCGUCCAAACAAAGAAUUUGGGAUUCGAAAUGAAUUCUGUAUCAAUUCUAUGCAUUUCUCAAACAAAAGAAUUACAAUGUUUUGGAAUUCCAAUUCAUAGUAUUCUAAUUCUAUAGAAUUUCAAUUCCAAUUCAAUUCCAAUUCUGUAAAAUCAAACGCACCCUGAAGGUUUUUUAUUUCAAAGUGUAUGCCAUCCUAUCUUACCUUGGUAGUUUACUUAUCAUUUAAAGUAAUUAUUUUCGCAAUAUGAACCACGAAAUGAUCAAUCCAUGAGAAUUGUCAAGAUUAAUUAAAUUUUGCGCUAGGUGUUGGCAAAAAGAAAAUAAAAUGAAAUGGUUGUAACUGGAAGAAUAAAAAUUCCAAUGGAGCAAAAAGGAAACUAAUCCUACUUGAAUAGAGAUUAAACACCUCAUAAAAAAGGGAAGUAAUUGGUUUCCAUCACCCAAAAAAAAAAAAAAAAUUAAGGGUUAGUAGUAUCACAGAUACAGCUUGGAGGAAUGAAACCACAUUGGUGUGGUGGUGUGAUGUCUGAAGAUUGAUUCUUAUUUACAAACUUCAUAUUGGCAAUAAUUGAGAUACAUUAUGCAAGAGCAAUCCUUUUGGUGUUGUUUAUUUAUUUUUAUUUUUUAAAAAAAACCUUAUACUUUUUGGGUGUUGCUUAUUUUUGUCACUCUUUCAAAUGCCAAUGUUACAGUCAUAACAAAGGACAAAUUCUUACAUAUCUUCACACGAAAUAUUAACUACAAUAAUCACCUCCUAAUCUGAAUAAUAAUCAAAGGGUAACUUUAAUUUUUAACUUUCUAUUACCUUUUUUUUUUCCUUUUUAAUUAACUACAUAUAUAAUAUUUGCCAAAAUCACUAAUUCAAAAAUAGAGAUUGCAAGCUUAUUUCAAUUGCCCAUAAUCUAGUUAAUUAAGCACAAAGCAUAAUCUUAAACCCGUUACAUAAGUCAAAUCAAAGCAAAAUUUUAAGCCCGUUAUGUAAAUCAAACCAAAUCUCUACAUCUGCAUAAUAUUGCGUUAAACAAAACAGUAAACUAAACAUCAACAACCUAGUGUUUGACCCGAUUAUGUUCAAGUAAUCUUUCUCAAUUAUUCUUGGUGACUUCAAUACAUCUUUAAUUUAUAUGGCACCAAAGUGAUAUUCUCAAAAACUUGAGGACCCAAACAUCAUCCACCACAUCCUUCUCUCUUACCUCUCACUGGAGGAAUCGACAAGAACGAGCCUCCUGUCAAAAUCAUGGUUCAAUCCUCAUCUCCACUUCUCGAAGAAAUUAAGCGAAUGCAGCAGCACCGAGGAAUUUCAACAGGGUAUAGGCACAGGUGUUGGAGCGAAGAAAAGAAAGCGCAGAAAUAUGGGGAGUAUUUCGAGCACGCCAAGAAUACCCGGAAGCCGGACGACAGCAAGCAGGGUGAAUUUUAAGCCCAUUAUACUAAUUUUAUUCUGUAAAAGCCCAUAAUAAGUAAACAUGCAAAUAUAAGAGUAGCCAGGCUCUUCUCAAUCUACAGUAUUCCCCUAGGGCAGCUCUUUUCCUUGCAGAUCAAUUUUAGCCUUUAAGCCAAAAAUCAAGCUUGCCGAUGGCAUCAAUGGUAGACUUGCCAGAAGACAUUAUAGGUCAUAUUAUCUCUUUCCUCUCAUACAAGCAAGCAGCCAAAACAAGCGUGUUGUCUAAAUCAUGGCUCAAUGCAUGGCGGGCACGUCCCACGACCGGCUUGACGUUGGAUUAUAACAACUUCCGCAAGGAAUUGAAAACAGAAGGUCAGGGGCGUUGGCAUAAAAGAACGAAAGGGGAGGGAAAGAGAAAGUUCAGUAAAUACGUCAGAAGAACCCUGAAGAGCUGCACCAAAGAAAAGACAGGCAUAAAACGAGUUCAAGCUUAUUGUAAGUGGUAUUUUUUUUUUAUUGGAAUUCUCUCGUUAAGAGAUGCUUGCAGGUGGCUGUCAAAAGUGGUGUGAAGAAACUCUAUCUUGAUAUCUACGGAUGUGCUUUGCCUGGACACUUCAUGGCUCUUCAAAUUCCAGAGAUUGUUGGCAAGUCUAGUUCAAUCUCAAAUUUCAGUCAGCCUUGAGCUUUUGGGCAGUAUUUCAUUUGAUUUCAAUGAAAUUGGAGAUAAUUUAACAUCUCAUGAACCUCAAGAGGUGCACGAAUUGACUCUGGACAUCCACCUGGAGUCUUUAUUCUCAUCUCCAGUCCUAGUGUUGGACGCCCUUUUUUGGGUUUGUCGUCCAAAAGCUAUGAGGCAACACUGGGGUUUUUCGGACGCCAUGUUGCCAUCAAUUUACAAAGAGGAAAGCAACUGACAAGCCUAAGGAAGAAAAAUCAUCGAAAAGGUUGUGAUUUAUGAUUUGGCAUGUGGCACAAUUUUUCAGAAUUUAAUUGCAAUGCUGUUUUACUUGAUAGGAUUUACAUUUUUCAAAUUACGAGUACUUACUUGAUCAAAAUUUUGAUCAAUCAUAGUUGUAGUUUGUGCUUUUGCUUCGAUUUUCUUUGAUGGAAUUACUCAUAAUGACUAAUGCAAGUUGUUCCUGGAGUGACUCUUUAACUUAGAAAGUAAAACCUGGUCCCUUAGUCAAUAUGGCAGUCUCAAGUAGUCUAACUUUUGGUAACUCUUUUGUUCUUGCAAUCUGUCCUGUGCAAAUUCUAAAGACUAAUAGCAAACAACACAAUCUGUGGUGGAUUCGGGGGAAAGAAAAGAUUCAGUAGAUGCAGAAUAAUUCAUUGUGACUCACAAGAAUAUUAAUGCAUACGCAUACGAGACAAAUAUAGACACUAAACAACAAAUUUAAUUGCAUGUAAACCAUAAUAACCUUUUUAACACACAUUGAAUUAUCUUUCACAAUCAAUCUCAUCAGAGGACUUUGAUGCAAUCAUUUGGUUAGCUUUUUUUUUUUUGUUUCCAUUUUUUUUUGUUUACCAUCACUCACAAUUAAUGUACCUCCUGCAUCUAGAUAUUUUUCUAAAUUAAUUUCACUAUUCCAAAAAAAAUUAACCUAGCCUCAAAAAAAAAAAAAAAAUCAACCUAGUCCCUCUUAAGGAGUGUCCUGAGACACUUGAUAGCUAGCCAAACCCAUUUGAAACUUCAGGAUCCAGCAAGAAAAAUUUUCAAACGACAAAAAAAAAUUAAUUAAAUAAACCAGUUGUCUUCUAAGAACCCAAUUAGACUUAAGAACAGUGAGCAGAAAGCUUUUAAGACGGUAAAAAUAAGUAAAUGAAUCGAAAGAGUACUUAUCCUGUUAGAAAUUCCAGUUACUUUAGUAAGACCGAUCUCAUAUGCCCAAUAAAGCAAUCCUUCUGAUUCGUUAAACAAUUAGAACUUUUGUGAGUUUGGGAGACUGGAAAUCAAUGGUGACAUGGACGUUGAGCUCUUGUUAGAGUAGAAUUCUAAUCCUACAUAUAAUCUCGAGCGAAGCACGACUAUAAUUAGAUUUCCCUAGUGCAGGUAGAGUUACAGUUGCUUGUUGCUAUGGCGCAAUCAGAAACACUAGAAGAUUGUUCAAUCAAUUUGCCAGUACAUAUAAUACAUCAUAUACUCUCAUUCUUCUACUCUCCCAUGGAAGCAGCCCAAAAAAGUUUAGGGCAAAUUACACUUUACCCCCUGUGAUUUAAUAUUUUUAUACAUAAUACCUUCAUGAUUUGGAUUAAAGCGUCAAAGCGACGGAAUUUGUAAUCCGUGACGGAGUCACCUAAACUACAAAAAAUACCCCUAUAUAAAGUUGAAAUUAUUUAUUAACCACAAGAGAGUUAUGUGUAUAUUUUGAAGAUCAUAAGUGGAUUAUAUGAUAAAAUAUUAAAUCAUAAGGAGAUUAUAUGGUAAAACAUAAAAUCAUACAAGGUUAGUAUGUCAUGUAUAUUAUGUUUAUAUAUUUUGGUCACUUUAUCCAUUUUAAUUUUUAAACAAGGGUAAUUUUAAUAUUUUCAUAGGUUCCGUUACGAAUGAUCAUUUCCGUCACUUUGAUACUUUAAUCUAAACCAUAAGAGGGUUAUAUAUAGUUUUUGAAAUCAGGGGGAGUUAUAUAUAAAAAAUACUAAACCAUAGGGGGGUAAAGUGUAAUUUGUCCAAAAGUUUAUUGUCCAAGGCAUGGUUGAGAGCAGUAGAGCACAUGCACCCGGCCCAAAUUGAAGUUCAAUGGUUGGGAAUACUCUAUACCCAAGAAGAAUACUGACAUCCAAGUUCUUGAAAAGCAAUGCUACGAUUUCAUAAAUCGCAUCAACUCCACCUUCAACAGGUACGAUGAGCACAAGAAUGGUAUUGAUAAUUUGGAGCUUAUUCGCCCUCCAUCUGUAUCGCCUGAGCAUGUUAAUAGAUGGAUCCAAAUUGCUGUAGACAACAAUGUCAAAAGGCUUGUGGUUGAUAUAACUACAGAUUCUUUUAUUUUGCGUCAACCUAUUUCAACCACAGAAUCUUUUAUUUUGCCUCGGACAUGUUUUUAGCUGAAUCACUUGUUGAACUGAGUCUCUGCGGCAACUUCCAGUUGAACCCCGAAGUAAUUAAGAAAAUAACUUGUCAUAAUCUCCAAAAUCUUUGGUUCACAGGUGUUGAUCUAGAUGAAGAAAUGUUUCAAAUAAUAGUUAUGAGCUGCCCGUUGAUUGAUUUGUUGAAAAUUUGGAACUGUGCUGGCCUGCCAACCUUAAGGUGACUAAGCUUCAGAAACUUAAGGUAUUUGAGGUUAUCUUUAAGGAAGGUGGAUGUGUUGCAGUCGAAGCACCAAGCCUUAGAUUCUUUAAUUAUCGUAAAAUAUACUCGUUCGACAAUGAAGAAAAAAUGCCAUCACAACAUUGCAGUCUUCAGAUGCAUUCAUCUCAAAAUCUAUGGCAUUUGCAAUUUGAAAACAUUGACAUUACUGACGAGCUUUUCUUAGUUAUCACAGAAAAAUUCCCACUUCUUGAAGACUUGAGCACAUGGUUCAAAGUCUCGGCCGAGUCGUCACCAUCUUGGGUCCUCCCGAUAUGAUACCGGGACGAUAUGAUUACGAGAUACUUAAAUCGCCGAGACGUCACCGUGAAGGGUUGAAACGGCCGAGUCACACCGAAUCACUCCUAGUCAACUCGAAUUUUUAUUAUUUUUAUUAAUUUUUAAUUAUUUUUGUUUAUCAUAUUUUUUUACAAUUUUUAGAAUAUUAAAUAUUUCAAAAAUUCGCGUCUCGCCGAGACCGCGAUCGAUGUGGAACGGUCUAGGCCGCGACCGCAACCGCGACUGUUACUUUGAACCAUGCUUGAACAUCCAAGGAUGCAACCAUUUGAGAAGAAUCAAGAUUUCCAGCCACUCCAUUAAACGCAUAAAUUUGGAAUCGAACUAUAGACUCGAAGAGGCCUAUAUUGAUGUUCCGAGCAUUAAUCGAUUUAAAUUUAGAGGAUGCUCCAUUCCUCUGUUUUCUUUUACAGCUCCCUCCGGUUCUUGUGUUUCUCUAAUUGAAUUUUAUUGGUGGGACUGGCAGUUACCAGAGGCUUCUUUGUUCUUUAACUUGAAGGACUUGUUGACAAAACUAAGUCAAUCUAAAAAUUCGCUCCAACUGAAGUGUGGCAGUACUUUAGCAAGCACCAUUGUGGAUGAGAUAAGAAACAGCGCUUUAUAUCCAAUUCCUCAAGUUCAAACAUUGUCGAUACGCUUUGAGAAGGGAAAAUUCUUUGAUGCUGAUCUGAUUCUGGACACAAUCUUCUGUACCUGUCGUCCAAAAACCAUAGCUCAAGAUUGGAAUCAGGACCUGGAUUUGAACUCAAAUGAACUUUCAAGCAUUGAAUAGUUUGGUCAUCUUCCAACCAUAAUAUGCCCUUUUUUGUUGAAGUUAAGAAAGUUAAGAACCACACUUGAUUACUUUUUUUUUUUUUUUUUUGGUGAAACAGGGAUAACAGUUGUUGUGGUUGGAACUUUAUGGACCACUUUAGUACAUAUACUUGGACUUCAGGGACAAAAGUUGCAUUUUUUUCACAUAGUGCGUUAGCCGUUAAGAGACUAUCUAACAAUCAUUGAGAGCUGUAUAAAAUUCGUAUCAGACAAAAGAAAUAUAAAGAAGGAAAAUUUUAAGAUGACAAAAAAAUACAGAAAUUGCCAAUUAUUUUUGAGAUGUAUGUAAUCGUGUUACUCAAUUAUAGAAAGGGUGGAGUCUACACCUAAUUCCGCCCCUCUAAGGUGGUUUAAUUUUGAUUUUUUUUUUUAAAAAAAAGGAAUUUCACAUGACUCCUGCCAAUAGGAAUUUGUAGAUUUGUCAAUUACGCUUUCCUGUUUCGAAUUGGAAACAAUAGGAGAGUCCAAUUCGAACUGUUUUGGGUUAUGGAAACUGGGAACCAAUGGCGGUGACAAAUUACUCCAUAGUAGUGCAUAAAAGGAGCAGUAUCUUCAGAUUUCCCUAGUGCAAAUUGCUCUGCUUCAUCAAUUCACGCUGACACCAGACCUCUAGCGUAUAACCUAAAAAGUUGUCUAUUACCAUGGUGGAGACAGAAGCUUUAGAAGAUUGCACGGCGAAAUUGCCUCAACAUGUUAUGCAUCACAUACUCUCUUUCUCCAAAUCCCAAAACAGGCAGCACCAAUGAGUUUGUUGUCGAAGGCAUGGUUGCAGGCAUGGCGCACGCGCCCCAAUUUGGAGCUUUUGUGCAAUAUAUAUUCAGAACCGACUGAUAAAGGCAUUCAAAAAAGGCGAAGUGAUUUCGUAAAUUGCAUCAACACCACCUUGCAACGGUACCGUGAGCACAAGAAUGGUAUUGAUCGUUUAAAGCUUUGUAGCCCUCCAUCUGUAUCGCCUGAGGAUUUCAAUAGAUGGAUCCAAAUUGCUGUGGAAAACGGAGUCAAAAGUCUUGAUAUUGCUGCCUUUGAUAUUGCUGCCCCUUCGGGUUCUGAAUAUUUUGUUUUGGCUCCAACUGUUUUUGAAGCUAAGUCGAUUGCAGAAUUGGAUCUUGGCCAUUUCCAGUUGAAGCCCCAAGCGAUUAAGACGGUAAGGUGUCACAAUCUCCACAAACUUCGGCUUAUGCAUGUGAAAUUAGACGAGGUAUUGUUCCAAAGAAUAUUGUCCAGCUGCCCGUUGAUUCAUUGGUUGACAAUUGUUAACUGUGCGGGUCUUGCCAACGUUAAGGUGACCAAGCUUCAGAAGCUUGAGCGUCUUGAUAUUGUAGCAAAGGGAAGUUGUUCUGUUGAAGUCGAAGCACCAAGUCUUCUGUACUUUAAGUAUGGUAAACUACUUUCCUUCGAGCUAGAACGAACAUCAAGACGUCGCAAGCUUCGGAUGCAUGCCUGUCCAAAUCUAAAGCAUUUGCUGUUGGACGAAAUUGGCAUCACUGACGAGUUUUUCUUAGAUAUCGCAGAAAAAUUCCCACAACUCGAAGAGUUAGAAAUCACAAGCUGGGACGGCGAUUUGGAAAGAAUCAAUAUUUCCAGCCGCUCCAUUAAGCACAUAAGUUUGGAAUCGCACUUGGAACCAGUAGAAGAGGUCCAAAUUGAUGUUCCAAGCCUUGAUUGGUUUGAAUUCACAGGAAGAUCCAUAAACCUGUUUUCUUUCACAGCUCCCUCUGGUCCUUGUGUUUCUAAAAUUAAAUUGGGGUGUAGGGCAUGGCCCUCAGGCCCCUUACCAGUGGCUUCGUGGUUCUCCAAAUUGAAGGACAUGUUGACAAAGCUAAGUCAAUCUAAAGUUUCACUCCAUUUAGACAUUGAUCAACCUGUGUCCAGGUCCACUGCUUUUGAGGUAAGAAAUAGAUCCAUUCUUCUUCCACUGCCUCAAGUUCAAAAGUUGUCCUUAUGUUUUCACAAUAGAUGUUUAGAUACUGAAGACUCAAUUUUAGAUGCUAUCUUCUGGACUUGUCGUCCUAAAACCAUUGCUCAAAAGUGGAACAAUUGCCUGAAGCCAAACAAGAUUCACCUCGCAAAGGUAAUCUAUGAGACGUUCCUUCUGGGAGGAGAAAAUAUUAAGCACACCAACGUGCAGAAAAGGAAGCUUUGGCAGAAUGAUCUGAGGGAUGUAAAGCUCGUGAGAUUUAAAAAGGGCCAAAGAGUGCACUUGUCUAAUUCUCUGGACUGGGAUACUUUUUUGGAAGUAUUCCCGCGUAAAGGGGACCGUCGACGUUUUCGCUAUGAGCUAGAGUGGGAACCAAUAGACGUGGAUCGGAAGCAAAAAGUUUCAAACCCAAAAAGAAGGAAAUUAGAGGAGAGCAGGAAAUAGCAGAAAGCGGUAGGUAUCAAGAAGCUGAUGAAUAUGAUGUUCAAGGGCUUUCCGAAUGCAUUUAAUCGUCUUAGUGACAGGCUCAAAUAUUUCCUGGGCAGGAGUUGAGUAUUUUGAUCCUGAUAUUCCAUGCCAAAAUUGAAGAUGAAUACCUAGACAUUAUUUAGAGUUUAAAUACCCUUUACUGAUCAUUAUUCACCAAAAUAUUGACCCUUCUGUCAAAAUUAAAAAAAUCUUGACAUUUUUGUCGGCAAUCCAUAACUAUAUAAAGAAAUUUAUUUGUAGAAAAUUGACGUCUUAUAUAUGUCAAACUUUUCAUCCACUUAACGCCUGAACAAAACCAAUACAGAGUCCUGCACUCCAGAACAGCCGUGGCUUUUCCUUUUGCUCCCUUGCCAUGUUUUCAAAUUCUUUAAGAAUUUCUUCAUGCAGCAGAAGGAUGAUUUAUGAUGUUCCUGCUUUCACAUAAAUUUAACACUAAAGAUACAAGAUAUGUUGUUCCUUCUCUUUGUAUUUAACUCUCUUCUCUAUGAACACACAUGAUCAUGAUACAGUUCUCGUUCCUACGUCCUUGCACAUGUAUCUUGUGCUUGUACAUUGGAAAUAUCAAACAGUAGGAGGAGCCAAAAAAAGAGCAAGAGAGGGCUAAGAAUUCCUUCGUGUGCUUCCCAGACAGUUUGAUACUAUCCAACAUUUUUGACAAAAAAAAAAAUCCAUGAGGCCAAGUCCCUGUGCGAUUGUUCGACAGUCAACAUGUUUUAUCUCUUGUUUACCAGUCCAAGGCUUGUUUCAGUGAGUAGUUCUCUACUAUCAAUCUUGGAAGAACUCAUGCUCAAUAAAAUGCUAUGAAAUUGGUCUAAAACUGGAUAGGGGAAUUCAAUGCAAACUGAUGCCACACACAGAAUUUCAGCUUUACUGUAAGAAAACUUUGUGGUACACCAAUUCAGUUCCAAGUGCAAGUGCAUUAGUAAGAACAAAGAUGAUACUUCAACCAUUAUUGUUUAAGGGCAUGCCCCAAACACUGAGAACGGACUACUUGGCAUAGUACAUUUGUUCCACGACAAAAUAUAUGAAUAACUUCUGACUGGCACUGCAGCAAUGAUUUGCUUAAUUUCCUUGUAAUCUCAACCUUGACAUCAUGUGUUCAGAUUUCUGCCCCGCAAAAGAAGUUAAACAACAGUUAGUAAGGUAACACAGAUCAGUUGAACAGGAUAGGCUAGUAAUAGUGCUAAUCUCUCAACUUGUGGCUCAUCAACAAGGACAUGAAGGUAUUCCAACAGGCCAUUGCUUUCCUGGCUUUAAUUGAAUGGCAACUACUCUUACGAAUGAUGUGAGUAGGUAGUUCGAUGAGAACUAUUUUAUAUUUUGUUUCACUCAAGAGAAUUCUAUACCUUGUAUAUAAUUCUGGCCAAAGAAAGGGAGAGAAAGGAAGAGAGAUCCUGCUUAAUAUAUCAUAAGCAUAUGAAAUGUCUAAGAAAACAGCAAAUUUGAUCCGAAGAUUGGGUCACCUUUUUCUGUACUAUGGUUGCUUAAAGAAAGAAUAAGAAGUAAUUACAUAAGAUUGUAUGAUACAAAUUACACAAUAACACAAGAUGAACUAAUUACAUAAGAUUGUAUGAUAUACUUAGGACCGCUGAAGGUAAGGUAUAAAUCAGCAUUUUAUAGCAUGAUAUGUAUAUGAAAGCCAAAGUAAUUCAUUAGUGCUGUGAGUAGCCUAAAUUUGCAGACAAGCACAACCAGAUAACCUUUGUGUCAUCCCAUUCCUCUCUCUCUCUCUCUCUCUCUCUCCCCCCUCCCCAAUCUGCCCCACUACCUGCCCCAACCCCCGUGCGAACCCACAGAAAAAGACAAACGAAGACUAAGUUAUUUUCUCCAAGUCAUCAACUCAGUUACAUUCAGCACAUUCAUUAAAGAUACAAAUGAAGAUGCAAGAACCGACCUGCUCAGAAUGUGGCAAGUACUUCCCAUCAAAAGUCACAACAACACGCUCUUUUCCAUCCACACCUUUAAUUUUGUCAACAGAACAAUAGAAGUCUAUAGCAGACAUGCUGAAAAUAAGAAAGACAAGAAGAGUAAACUGAUUAUAUGACCAAAAAGUUCAGUUGAAAUCUGUUCAUAAAAAAGGAGAUAGGUUAUAAACCCUUAAAUAUGUAUGAACCACCAUGGCGCCCAUUUCCUAUCACGACAUGCCAUUAGAAGUACAGAAAGCGAGGAAGAGAUAUCUAGGUGGAUGCAUGUGCACAAAUCGGAGAACAAACUAUUAGAGGUAUAAUAUAAACUAUUAACGCAUGCUAUAGAAACCAGCUAGUAUUAGAAAAAUGUUCUAAACCUAAUCCUCACAAGGCCAUCAAAAGGGUUUGGUGCAACAGAUGAUGGACUUCUGCUCAAACAUAGCUAUCAAAAAAAAAAGUUUCAGAAUUCUCCUGGGUACUUAGAAGAACCACCAGUAGAGAAUUUAGAUAUUCAGGAGUCAACAUAGCAACUUACAUGCCAUCACCAAAUUCCUCAUUGAUAAUUUCUUUAAUGCUCUCACCAAAAUGCAUAACAGCUUCAUUGAGCCUGCAAAAACAUGAAGGGAGACAAGAUCAGCCUAAAAGAAAGUCAUUGAUACGUGUACAAGUGAGAGUGAGAGACAAGAUCAGCCUAUGAGAAAGUCAUUGAUUCCUAACUAAUAGCUCUCCGUAGAUACUUCUGCAAGCAUUUGGAUUCAACUUUCAUCUUUCUUUAGAUACAAUAUCAUAACAAGAUAAACUUGAAGAAGGGAACAUAAUCACAAAAGCACUUCAGUCUCAAGUUCUCAACUCACUUGGGAUUGAAAUGACAAUAUUACAAACUUCAGAUAAUCUUUCCUAAUUAGAUAGGAAAUGCAACAAGCAAUUGCACAAGCUUGAAAUUGCUGCAACCUUUACAAUAAUGCAGCCAAGAUUGCUUUUUUUCUCUCACACUUGCAUCUUGAUUCUUGCAAUUCAACAAAUGAAAUGACUUUCCUACCAUGCACUUUCCUUGAACAUCCAAAGAUAGGGAGUUUACCAAUGCAAAUAUACUACAAUAGUUCAUGGACAAAAAUUGGAGCGUGUCAAAUAGUACACUGAAUUUACUACAAAUUCUUGUCAAUUUCUCUCUUCAAAUACCAUUUCUUUUCAACAAGCCGAUUCGAUGCGGAUCAUCGAAGAGCUACUAUGUAAUCAACUAAAGCAAAAGAAGGCUAACUAGUCACUUUCUUAACAACUUUGUCAUUUUCCGAAAAUUGAUACUAAUACAGAUUGACUAUGGAGGACAAAUAGAACACAAGAAACAAUCCAACAAUAUCCAAAAACUCAAGGUACAUACCAGAAAAAGGACCCAUAAAAAUACAAUAAAAUAAAAUAAAAACACAGAAAACAGGAAUUUCAACCAGCCCACAUAAAAAUGUUCCACAAAACAGCAAGAAAUUAAAACACGGGCUAAAACGGUUUACCUAUAAACAGUUGGGUCUUGAAUUAAAUUAGGAUCAUAUGACCUGAGAGGUGGCCGCAUCAUUUCUUGAAUUAACUCCUCAGGCAGCUCAGGCAAGGAUGCUCGUAAUUUAGGGACAGUAUCAGGCUUCAACUGGGCUUGCCUCUUGAAUAGCUGAGCAACAUAAACAUUCGUCAAUCCAGUUUCUUCAGCAAUCUGACCAUAAGUCUUGCCUGACUUGUGCUUCACUGCUUGAAGUUCAGCUGCUAUGCUUAUUUUCUCGCUCUGUUCUGCCAUUUUUUACUUGACAAGAAAAUCGUGAAUCAGCAGCGUUAUAACCACAAGAAAGGCCGGCGGCUACCACUGAGUCAUUUAAGGCGUGGUGGGCAAAUUUACCUCCCAUCAAUUAUCAUAUUAAGUGAUUUCUUAAAAAUUUAGAUGAAUACAUAAUGUAUUUAUCUGAUGCAUUUAUUUGAUUCGAUAAUAAUUCGAUUUCCUUCACGCUUCUAGAUGCAGAUAAAAUUAACGAUUGAUAAGAAGAAGAAAAAAAAAAGAAGAAAAUUAAGCAGGUCAUCAGUUUUCUAUCCAAAGUUGUUCAAAUGGGGCUUGGGGCUACGAUGGGUCGAAUCCAAGAGGAGGACAAGACUCUAAUGUUGGAUGGUCCUUUACUUUUAAGAUCUUCACAUUUGGGCAGUCCAAUUUCAUUUGCUUUAUGGACUUUUGGGCAGUCCAACUGCUUGGGGCGGUUACAUUGAAAAAAAUAUGUUUAAAUAGUAAUUUAAGAAAUGCUUAUAGGUAAUUAUCUUGACAAGAUAUGUUUAGGUAAUUAAAGUAAAGUUAGUUUUUUACAAGGGCAAAUAUGAAAGUACUUAGACUGAUAAUAAAAUGUUUACGCCAAACCCCUUCCUCUCUCUUUAUAUAUAGUAUAGAUAUCAUGGGAAUUUUGGUUAGACAUUCAGUUCAUUUUUUCCUCCUCUACCAUUAUAAGAGUUAGAACAUCCGUUUAAAAUGAAAAGAGGAGAAAAGAAAAAAAAAGGAAAGAAAGAACAAAAGACCUUCGAAACCUAAUACCUUGUGUUUUGGUUUGCCUGUACUAGGUUAUUGUAAUCUUUCCCAAGCAACUUAAUUGGUUGUUUCCUAAGCAACUUUGGUUGCUUUGCUUGUAAGAGGUUGCUACAAUCGCCAAGAGUUGCUUUGUGAAGUAGUUUACUGCAUGAAAUUGGAAUUGGUCUACAAGAAACUGAAUUCCAGAGUCCCAUAUUUAAGGGAAUCUUGAACUCAUUCUUUUGUUGUUGGAGGAGGAUUCCUUGGUCUUUAAACGUUCAUUUGGUUUUGGCCUUUUGGGCUAUCAGAGUCGAACCUAGAGGUGGCAAUUUGGAUUGAGAUCCAUUUAUCCAUCCAUAUAAUCCAUAAUUAAAUGGAUUUGGAUUAUCCAUUUAUAGUAUUGGUUUUAAAUGGUUAAUCAAAGUAAAACCAUUAAAUUAAAUGGAUUUAUAUGGAUUAUCCAUAAAAACCAUAUAUAUCCAUUUAUUUAAAAACCAAAUAAAUGAAACGGAAAGGAAAUGAACUUCUGAAACGGCUCGCCAGCCAAUGGGGCAGCGCUCUCGCCAUUGCGGUCAGUUGAUGUUGGGUGUUGGCCUCGGAGACUCAGAAAAACAUGUCCGAGGACUUGGGGAGUCUUCGUAAGUUUGGACUAAUCAGCUCACUACUACAUUUCCAUGGGCUGUCUUCUAAACUAGAAAAAUGUGGAAUAAGGGAACUAGUAAAAUAUUUAAAUGGAUUAUAAAUGGAUAAUUGGUUUUUAUUUAAUCCAUUUAGAUCCAUCCAUUUAGAUCCAUUUAUUAAAUGGAUUUAAAUGGAUUGGAUAAAUUUUAUCCACCAUCCAUUAAGUCAAAACCAAUUAUGAACCAUUUAUCCAUUUUGCCACCUCUAGUCGAACCAACAACUCGUGUUCUUAACCUCUGCUAUGAAUAAUGUAAAACCAUGUGACAAAUAUAAAAGCUUCUCUGUUCAUAAAUUAACAAAAGGGAGUAGUUUGCACGUAAGGAAUUGUAGAACUACAAUUCCUUGUUGCAUAAGUAUUUUGGAUAAGAUUCUUCUAGAUUAUCAGCUGAAAGAAAUUAUUCUGUUUUUUUUUUUUUUUUUUUUACUAUUACUGCUAUUUUUUCUUUUCGUGAUAUAAUUUGGUAUUCUGUUUUCUAACAAUUCAUUUUUUCUCAUUGAGGUUGUUGUACAUUUUAUUGUUCAUUUUGACACCUAAAACCAAUUUGUCCAUGUAACAAAAUAAUGAUUGCCAAAUGAUAUGAGAUGUGUGUAGAUACUCUCGCAACUAUUUGUUGUCAUAAACUGAAGCAUCAAUUAUUCAAAGAACACCUGCUUUGCUAUAUCUAUUUUUCUGUGUGAAAGAAAGAAAGUAUGUAUGAAACCGCCGAGCUUUGGCUCCGUGGUCACCAAAAAGAAAUUAAGUUUCUCUUUAAACUGUAAGUUUGGGGGUUUAAAUUUCACCUGCAGUAAAAAAAAAAAAAUUCAAAUGAAGUGUCAGAGCACUCUCUUAUUCUAGUCGAGUAUGUAUAGCUAUUAGUCUCUUAUAUAGCUUUUUUAGGCUCUCCUUCACCGAAGAAUAUGAUAGAUUAUGUUACAGAAAUGUUCUCGUUGCGACAAAAAAAAGUAUGUAAAUUUCCUUUUUUCUUUUUUUAACAUAUUUUGACUAGUCGAGAUGAUAACCGGACCACAGGAAUGAGAGGAAUCCGUCUAGAUGCUUGAAAAAUGCAAGUCAAAGUUGAGUGUAGAGCUGCGGUCAUUGACGGCAGACGACCUUAAUGGAUGAAGAUGAAUACGAAAUAUAAUGACCAAAAUACCACUAGGAUUUUUUUUUUUUUUUUUUGGAUUCCUUGAAGAAUCUAAACGAAUGAUAUAUUUGAACAGGAUUUUAAUUGCUGCUAGUGCUUUGCUUGAUUGAUUCUGGUCUGACUUUCACUGUGUUUAUGUGAUCAUAUUCUACUUUAGUAGGGUAUAUUGCAUUCUUUCUGGUCUAAAGUGUGCCAUUUUGGCUUCACACAUGCAGAAACUGUGAUAUGAAAUGAAAGAUGUUGGAAAUUGAUACUUUGCAAUUUGUGCUCGUUUGUUUAGUGUUAGGUAUCUCAAUCCAUCUUUUUCAACAGCUGUAAGCUUUGAAUUGGAAAAUUAAUCUCUUCCCUAAAUUCCACAUGUUAUUCUCUCAUCCCAACUCUAGCCCCAACUUCCUUGUCGUUCUUAAGCAUAUUCAACUCAAAAAGUGGCCGCAACUCCCUUCCCCCCCCCCCCCCCUCCCACCACUUUGAGACAUGGUCGGAAAGUUAUGAAAGAACCACCCCAAACAUAGUAAGCAGAGACAACAUGGUACUCAAAAGUUAAACCUUUUUGUUUUUUUCAAGGUGUGUUUUUCUAAAGCAAAAAAAAAAAAAAAAAAAAUACUAUUAGACUUUUUUUAUUUUUGGAAAAAUGUCUGUGUGAUGAAAAGUUAAUUAAUUGAAUUUGAACUUUUCUAAAAUAUCUAAAAUGGCAUGGUCUAGUUAGUGAACUUUUUUUUUUUUUUUUUGAAAAAGUUCACUCAACUCCAUAAAACGAGCAUUUUGAAUCAGUCUUUACUAAAUCAAUCGAAAAAUGACCUACAAUUUAAGACAAUUUUGUCCCUGAAAACCUAAAACAGUAGGUCGAUCAAUAUAUGCUUCUUUUCAGUUGGUUUACUAGUUAAAUUGGCGAACACGACCCCCAAAAAUCCCAUUUUAAGGAGUUGAGUGAUCUUUUUUAUUAAAACAAAAAAGUUUAGUGAUCAAACUGUGCCAUUUUAAAUAAUUUAGCAACUAUUUUUGCCAUUUACUCAACUUAAAAAAAAAAAAAAAAAGAAGGUUCUAACUAGAGCAUUUAGUCCUUGCUCUGACUUUUAAUGCAGAAAGGUUUCCAAAUAUUUCAGUAUUCAUCAUUAACCAACAAAAAGUAAAACCUUCUUUCACAUCAUUGAUCUAGCAACUGGCAAUACAUUUCCCGCAUGCAAAAAUUGAUAGCAACCUAAAAGGGUGUAAAGCACAAUGAACAUAUACAUUUAUUUCGUAAAGUCAUUUUCGUGAGAAGAUUUGCAUCUGGUAUUCGUAUAUUUGUAAUCAUCACCAUAUAUACUUGAAUUUUCAUAAUGUUUCUUGCUUAUCUGUGCCGAUUCUUGUCAAAUCUUUAUUGCAUUCCUUGAAACCAACCUUUACUGACCUCUCACAAAAGAAUAAAAGGAAUAUCAUAGCAUAAAACAAAAAGGGCAAAACAAAUACUAAAUUCUUUUCUGCUCUUGUAAAUGCCAAAUUACUUUAAUACUACCACUAUAGAAAUCUGCACUAAACAUGUUAGUCCAAAAAGGGCAAAACAAUCUUGAUUUUCUUUCUUUUUUUUUUUAAAUAAAAGAUAUAAUUAUGAAUCUGCACUGAUGACAGAAAAUACGUCAACAUGUUAGAGAUACAUAGAGACUUGAAAAUCAUAAGAUAAAAUAGAUUUAAAAAAACAAUAAACAUAAAAAUAAUAUUGUAAUUUCUAAAACAAUUUCAAUCCAGAUGAAUUGCCGUAGUCCAGUAGAUCUGUGCAUGGCUUCUUAUAGUAAAUAUUGCUUCAAAGCUAAAGAGAAAUUUAGAUAUAACAUAAUAGAUUUGCGAAAUCUCAGAUCCUAUAGAAAAAUGUCAACAAAAAAAAAAAAAGAAAACUCUCACGACGAAAUCUUAACCUCUUACGAGAGAAUAAAACUUCCACUAAAAGAAUUUAGGAGAGAAAAAACUCCCACUAAAAAAUGCUAGGAGAGAUUUUAUUCGAAUACACGGGAAAAAAAACUAGAGAGAGAGUUUUAGACUAAUAAUCAUUGUCCUAAUAAUUAAAUGCCAAUUUGUACGCGCUUCUAUUGAAACUCUGAUACUGUUUAAAAGUAUAACGGCUAAAGGUUUUCAAUCAAAUGCAUGAAAAUUGUUUUUCACAUGGAAAUUGUUUUUCAUACUCCCUUCAGAGGAAAUGAUUGGUCAAAUUUCCACUCACCCAAGAAGAUAUCUUGCAUAUUGUUCACGGCAACAUAUUCAAAAUCGGCACACAUGUUCUUGAUUUCACGGUGUUCAUUUGCUGGUUUAGGCUUUUCAAUUACCCAAGAAAGAGUCUUGUUCACAAAAAUCAGAAUAAAACAGAAGUUUUAUUGUAUUUCACUACGACUAUCAGUGAAAUUGUCAAAAGCUUUUGUACUACCCAUUAGAAUUUAACGAUCCACAAAUCAUUUAAUCUCUGAAAGCUCUUCAAUUUUGUUUGUUAAUCAAGUACAUGGUUAAUUAGAAGAUCCAGAUACGUGCCAAAUUAAAAUCAAGCACAAUCCUUGAAUCGAAAUGGAUCUUGAAAAUUCUGUUAAUAAGUACACGGUUACCUUGAAAAUAUAAUAUAUAUAUAUAUAUAUGCCAAAUUAAGUAAAGCUUGAUCCUAUAAGAUUUUGUUGAAUUAGUAAGCAGUAAAUGCAAGGUUGCUGACAGGGCUACAAACGAGCCGAAUCGAGUCGAUGUUUGGGCUAAUCAAAUUGAACCUCGAUUAAAUUUUACCAAACUCGAACUCGAGCUCGAGCUCGACGAGCCGGCAAUUUAAAAGCUCGAGCUCGACUUGAAUCAAUUCGAGCCAAGCUCGAAAAAAAUAAAAAAUAAUUAUUUUAUUUUUUAAAAAAUAAAUAAGAUAAUAUUUUUUUCUUAAUAAAUAAUAAAAUAUUAAGGAUAUAUAUGUAAUUUUACUAUUAAAAUAGGAAAAUAAAAAAAAUAUAUAUAUACUUAAAAUAAAAAAAUAAAAAAUAUUAUAUAUAUACUCGAGCUCGCUAACGAGCUUAAUAUUUUGAACUCGAGUUCGAGCUCGAUUUCGACUCGAGUCAGCUCAAGCUCGACUCGAGCUCGAUAUUGAUCGAACUCGACUCGACUUGACUCGAACUGUUCGUGAGCGGCUCGAUUCGUUUGCAGCCCUAGUUGCUGAUCAACGUCAUCAUUGCAUCUUAUUUUGCUUGUUCAAUCUGCAAAAGGCCAAUCUUGUCAUUUCAUUAACGAGAAUUUUCUCUUUAGGUUACUUCAUUGGUCAAAGCCCGCAAAAAGAUCCAAUCUAGAAUGCAUCUUAUCAUCAUCUUACUCCAAUACUUGGACUUACUACUAGCUUACUACUCCUCCUAUCCAAAAUUGUUUGUCGCAUUUCAAGAUUUCAACUUUUUAGGAGUAGUUUGACGACAAUGUUAGUGGAUUUGCUUUUAAAAUUAUCCUUAAAAAUUCAAAAUUUAAAUUUAAAUUUAAUAUGAAAUAUAGAUAAAAAUAGAAAUAAUAUUAAAAAAAUAAUAAUCUUUUAUACACUGACAAUAUAUACACUAACAGAUCUAGAUAUAUACUACAUAUACAAAAUUUGAUAGUUAAAUUCAAAUUUAUAUGAUAUGGCAUUCAUUCAAACCCGUCAGUAUAUCUAGUGACAGUAUAAGAAAGAUUCAUCCUUAAAAAAAGGGAUUAAAAAUAAUUUUGACUUUAAUAAAAUAACAAAAUAUUUCAAAAUAGAAAAUAUAGCACUUUCAAUGAGAAGAGGAGCACCAUGCAGUAAGAUAUCCUCGACUUCGAGAGAAUACCGUUUCACACUUCACACUUGACUGAGACAAGGCAUAAAAGAAAAAGGUAAGAAGGAACCAAGGUACGGGUGCAGGGUGGCUCUCUAUAAAUGUGGAUGCUGCUUCAAAGUUCAAACAUCAGUUGCCGACCACUACAACUUGAAAAAGUAUAUUAGAACCAAGUUUACCAGCUAGUAGCAACUUCUACUCCAGUUACUCCACCGGCCAGUACAAUAGCAACUACUACUUGAUUUCUUUCAUGGCCUCACUAGAGCUAGCAGAAAAUGGCUCGGAUGGAUACACUCAAGAUGGUACUGUUGAUCUCCAAGGGAAACCUGUUCUUAGAUCGAAGAGAGGAGGAUGGAGAGCUUGCUGGUUUGUUGUUGGUAAUGUCUCUGUAUCCUCUUUUGCUUCCUUCCAGUUCCACCCCAACUGUGUUGCAGUGUGUGCUAAAAUGUUCAUCCAGAUCCUAGAAAUGCAAUGUUCGUUUACUCAAAACUUCUAUUUUGUCGUUAAGAUUUUAGUCUGAAGCAUGUAUCCCCAUGCUUGGCUACAUAGCUCCCUGUAAACUGGGAAGAUGUUCCUGAAAUUGUUCCCUCAUCCUUGCUGCCUUUCUUCUGCCUUUUGUACGAGGGGGAGAUCGGAAGGGCAUAUUCAGGAAUGGAGAAACUGGAAUAUUGGCAUAGAGCAUAUUUUGCUAGAUCAAAAACCACGUUCAUUUUACUAGAAAUAAAUAAAGCAACUUUUCUUGAUAACACGGUAAAAAACAUUUUUACCCAUUUUUUCUUUUUCUUUGUUCAAAACUCUUUUUUCCUUAAUCUUUUUGCAACUUAUUUCUCCUCAAAUGUCUACCGGAAGAUGACAGCAGAAAAGAACAAGAAUGAAGUCAAAGACCGAAGCCAAUAGAGUUGAGCUUUAUGUGCAUCACGUUUAAUUAUAUCUUAUUCUUCAAAUAGUACUAAGAUGUAAUCAUGUGUGGACAUGUUCGAUGCACAUAUAUGUUGUUGAUUGGCUACUGGGAUUUAGCUCAGAAGUCAGAACUUCAAAACCAUGAAACUAAUUGCCUAAUUGUUAGCUGUAUCUAUCUAGUUGAAUUUUCAAAUGAUUUUGUACCAUAAGCAGCUUAUCUUUCUUUGUCGAAAAAUUGAUCACGUAAUCUUUUCGUGUAGUAUUUUUUUUUUUUUUUUUGCGUUUAACAUAGAAUUGGGAAAGUUUUUUUUAUGUCUUUCCAAAGAAAUUCGAUCACGUCAAUGCAUGUUGUUUUGUAUCAUCUGUUUCAGUGAGUUGAUUCCAUUUUUUUUUAGUGCUCCUAUAUUGUUUAAUGUCCGACUAAAACUCUAAAAGUGCAAUUCGGCAACACUCUCUUUUUUGAAAAAAAAAAAAAAAAAAAAGUGAGAGGUCUUUGACCUACCGGAUUUUCUACUUAUGAUUUCUCUCACCUUACAAUCUUAUAAGUUAUAAGAUACAAAGACUAAAACAAAAAGACAAAAACCUGCCAAUCCAAUUAUUCACUUGUGAUAUCGUCAUAAUGAUGACUGCCAAGAAUGAAUUCUUCUUCCAUGGUUGCAAAAUCAUACGUAAAUACGUACAAGAAUACAUAAGCACAUAUAUAUAUAUAUAUAUAUAUAUAUAUAUAUAUAUAUAUAUAUGUAUACACAUUUAUAUUGUGCUACAUCAUUGGCCACCUUCCAACUAACAUGCAUGGGCUUUAAUUAUCAUAUACUUAUUACUCCCUCCGUCCCACUUUGAUAGUCCUGUUUUCCUUUUUCGUCUGUCCCAAAUUGUAGUCCACUUUCCAAUUGAAGAAUGUAGUUGUAUUUUAAUUUUCCUAAAAUACCCUUAUUUAAUGUAAGUUGUUGUUACUAUAAACCUACCCCAUUUAAUAAGAGUUGAUCUUUUUUUACCAUCAAUUCAAGUUCCCAUAAAAUUGUACUCUAUUUAAUGUAAGGGUAUUUUAGGAAAAUAGCAAUCUAAAUUUACUUUUCCAACAAAAUUAACUACUUUUUCUUAAAUUGUGUGAAAAAAGAAAUAGGACUAUCAAAGUGGGACGGAGGGAGUACAUACUUUAUCAAUCAGUUAUUUCUUCCAAUUGUUUGUUUACAUAUCCCAUAUAUACCUUUUCGUUUGUUUUGAUGUUUCCUCGUUUUAAUCGACUUUGUACAGUGUACGAGGUGUUCGAACGUAUGGCAUUCUAUGGAAUAUCUUCGAAUCUCUUCAUAUACUUGACCAAAAAGCUCCAUCAGGGCACAGUUACAUCAGCCAAUAAUGUCACCAAUUGGGUAGGAACCGUCUGGAUGACUCCAAUCUUGGGUGCAUAUUUUGCUGACGCUGUUCUUGGCCGCUAUUGGACGUUGGUGAUUGCAUGUGCAAUAUAUCUCUCGGUAAGGCUGCAUGUACAGCAUCAUCAUUUUGUUCAUAACAUAAAAAAAUAAAAAAUUUUUGAAAACUUUUUUUAAGGUGCCAUGGUUCUAAAAAUGUGCCAUAAUAUGAAAUGAAACUUCUAUAAGUCAAAAGAAAAGAUCAUAAUCCACAGCUUAUCUAUUGUGAUAGCAUCUUAUUGAUCUUUGAUGUGAACUCCCAAAAUUACUUCAAGUUUGACAUUCAUUCAAAAAAAAAAAAAAAAGGUAAUGCAAAUUAAAUAAGAUAGGAAAGAAAUAUUAAUUAAUAUUGUCUUUCACGAAAGAAGAAAAAGAAUGACUAGCUAGUAUGCAAUUACAAUACCUUUGUCCACCCUGAAUCUGGAAAGAGGUCGGGAUUCAAGGAAUGGAGAUUGACUUAAUUAAAGCUGUAGUUUGAGUUGGAAGUGAAUGAAGUGAUUGAGACUCAUCAAUAAGCAUUUUUCAAAGUGAUGAUUGAGCAUUUUUUAUUAAACAGGCUGGCAUGGAUAGACUUUGCUAACGUAUUGUUUUUCUGUUCUAUAGUACGUACCCUAGUUAUCAAGACCACUUUAAUAAUCUAGCUAGAAUAAUUAUUUAUGCUUCUAUCAAGACCACGUAUUGUGUAUUGCAUUCUUUAUUUUUAAUGAAGUUGGAGAUACCCCGACAAAAAAAAAUUUUAAAUUAAUUUAGAGUGUUAGAAUCAAGAUCUAUCAAAUUUUUUUUUUUUAAAAAUUGUAUUUUAUCCCGUAGCCCUUUUGUAUCUUCUGAAACAAUCUGACCCCAAGAAAUUAUUGUGUACGACCAAUUGACCUCAACCUCUUUGGAUAUUCGUGUAUGAUGUAUGCAAGACAAUACAACUUGUGGCAUGCUGGUCCAUGAUCUGGACCUUAAGGUGAAAAGACUUUCUUAGCUGCUACUACUAUUAAAUAUGGUCAAUUUUGUAGCUACCAUUUUCUUGCCACUGGCCCAAAUGUCCAGUGGUCAUCACCAUCAUGGUGAUGCUGGAGGUCUGAACCCCUGACAUCUCACAAACUUGUCACUUUACGCGAUUGAUCUUUUGUUCUCACGGGAUAAUUUGAGUGGUCCGCUCCCUUUUCUUAGGGUAUGGCGACUUUCUUGGCUUGUCCAGGGUUCGAGUCUCGUUGUUAAUGUGCUCGAUGUGGAGUGGAGCCUCCUCUUCCGGGUCGCAGGGGAUUAGUCGGGCCCCGUAAGAAUUGACCCGAACACCCCUGUAUUGAAAAAAAAAAAAAAAUUUGUAGCUACCAUUUUCUUGAAGAAAAGUACAAAAUGCCGCUAUGAUAAGCAUAAGCUGUAAAUUAAUAUUUAUUUCUUACUUGAAAAAUCACCACAAUUCAAAGAUUCUUUCAACGUUCAAUAUUGUCUCCUCAAUUGAUUGAUUCAGUUUCAAUCCCCUAAAUCAAGAUUCUCUGUGGGCUGCUUCAGCAUCAAGCAGGCAUACUUUAUGCUCAAUUAUCUUGAACCCGAUGGAUCAUUCCUUUUUUUUAUUACAAUAUACGAAAUUGGGAAUUUCACCAAGUCGAUUGCUUGACAUAUAAUUAAACAUCGCAUGAAAUCGUCACUGUGUCUUGACUUAUGCUCAACUCUUUGGAUAGGUCCUCUUGUUUAUAGUAAUAAACUUGACCACUUGGCAACUCUUUAUCCUACCUGAUGAUUUGUUAAUUAUCUACUUGCAUUAGUUAAUCAUCAAGCAAGCAUGUUUUAUUUUAUUUUAUUGUCUCGGCCAUUUUCUAUAUACUUUGUCUGACUUCCUUGGUCCUUGAGGUCUUUCAACCUUAUCUAAAUGGCAACUUGUAGUUUCGUUUGUCACGUAUUUAUUAUUGACUUGUUAUUUCAACGCCCAUUUUCCUAAUUAAGCAGAUAGGCCAUAGAAAAAGGGGGCAGAAUGUAGUAUUUAUAUUGAAACUCUUUUAAUUUAUGGGAAGCAAUUACGUAUAUGGGUUGAUGUUAACGUAGUCUAUUGACAAAGUGUUUGAGAAAUUAAUUGGAUUUGGACCUUAAUAAAAAGUAAUGAGACGGAUAAUGAAAGGAAGAUAGGAGUUUGUCGUUAAAGAUGAAAAAUUAGUCCACUGGAUUAUAUCAAUUUAUAAAUUCUUCCGAGUCUCUUAUUAUUCUGGAAUGAUGAUUUAAAAACUAAUCACAAUUUUUCCACCCCCCCAAAAAAAAAAAGAAGAGAAUAAAGGGUCGAUUUGGCCAUAUAAUUUCAACUGGCAAGGUAUAUGUUAGGGUACAACUCCAGUCUGUAAGAUUGAUACUAGAGAAACAUUGCAUGGUACAACUCUAAUGGAAAUCGCUGCUCUUCAAGAACUUAAUUUUAGUGAUUCUUUAUCUCAUUUAUCUGUUACUGCAUAAUAUCAGGGAAUGUCUUUAUUGACACUAGCAGUUUCAGUCCCCAGACUCAGGCCGCCCCACUGUGCUGAUCCGAAGGGCAUCAAUUGCCAGAAGGCCGACAAAUUGCAAUUAGGAGUAUAUUUCGCUGCCCUCUAUAUACUUGCAGUUGGAACUGGUGGCACAAAACCAAAUAUUUCAACAAUUGGUGCUGAUCAAUUUGAUGAAUUUGACCCCAAAGAAAAGCUUCACAAGCUUUCCUUCUUUAAUUGGUGGAUGUUUGGCAUAUUUCUUGGGACACUUUUUGCCAACACAGUUCUUGUUUGGAUUCAAGACAAUGUGGGAUGGACACUCGGUUACGGGCUUCCCACGACUGGACUUGCCAUUUCUAUACUGAUAUUCUUGGCAGGCACGCAAUUUUAUAGGCAUAGAAUUCCUACUGGAAGUCCCUUUACAAGAAUGGCCCAAGUCAUAAUUGCUUCCCUGAGAAAAUGGAAGGUUUCUGUUCCCAGUGACCCUAAAGAACUAUAUGAGCUUGAUCUUGAAGAGUAUGCGAAAAAUAAGAAAGUCAGGAUUGAUUCUACACCUUCAUUGAGGUUUGCACUACUCAAAUCUAUUAUCCCAGUAUUGGAAUUUGGCUAAAUAAGGAGCUAAAUAGGGAAAAAGAUUAUUGCAUUUUUUUUUUCUAAUAUAAAGUAUUCGGGCUUCUUUCUGCUGAUCUAGUGCAUUGUUGAUCAUGCAGAUUUCUAAACAAAGCUUGUGUAAAAACAACUUCCACCAAUCCAUGGAUGCUCUGUCCAGUUACCCAAGUGGAGGAAACUAAACAGAUGCUACGAAUGAUUCCCAUCCUAAUCGCUACAUUCAUUCCAAGCACAAUGCUUGCACAGAUUAACACACUUUUUGUCAAGCAAGGUACAACUCUCAACAGACGUCUUGGUGGCUUCAAUAUUCCACCAGCAAGCUUAGCAGCAUUUGUAACACUAAGCAUGCUGAUCUCCGUCAUGUUAUAUGACCGAUACUUUGUGAAAAUCAUCAGAAGAUGGACUAAAAAUCCUAGAGGAAUUACUCUGCUUCAGAGAAUGGGAAUUGGAAUGAUUCUGCAUAUUGUUAUAAUGACAGUGGCAUCACUAACUGAGAAAUACAGGCUUUCCGUGGCCAAAGAUCAUGGCCUAGUACAAAAUGCAGGUCAAGUGCCUCGGUCCAUAUUGCUUUUGCUUCCUCAAUUCGUGCUUAUGGGAGUAGCUGAUGCAUUCCUGGAGGUAGCAAAAAUCGAGUUCUUCUAUGAUCAAGCACCAGAAAGCAUGAAAAGUCUUGGAACAUCUUAUUCCAUGACUACCUUAGGAGCUGGAAAUUUCAUCAGCAGUUUUCUUUUGUCUACAGUUUCUCGUAUCACGAAGAGGGAUGGGAACGAAUGGAUUCAAAACAACCUUAAUGCUUCUCAUCUCGACUAUUAUUAUGCAUUUUUUGCAGUAUUAAACGUCUUGAACAUUGUCUUUUUCUUGAUUAUGACCAAGCUUUAUGUAUACAAGGCAGAAAUUUCGGAUUCGAUGGUUGUGCUCAGAGAAGAACUUGGGGGAUUGAAGAGUAAGGUAACCGAUGAAGAGGCAACAACAACAUAGGUUGGUGGAUCUGCAGUUAUCAAAGGGAUGUAUAUUGUUAUGUCUGUAAUUUAGAGAUAAUGAAUAUCAUUUUUCUUUUUCAUCUCGAGAGAAAUUUUGUGCUAUCACUAUAAUUCUUCGUUUAGUAUUGCUACUCUUCUGAUCCUCAGUCCAAUUUGCAACUCGUAACAGAAAAUGCUAGUAUUAGGUGACAGGACUCAUUAACUACUAAUUUGUUUACUACCUUUUUAACUUUGCAGCCAGCCAUUUACAACUCUUCUAUCGUUUAAUUCACCAUAUUACUUGCAUUAUGUGAGAAUGUUCUCUAUAGAUACUUCACAAGAUACAGGUUUUAGGUUGGUAAUUGCUUCUGAAGUUGCUUAAUUUAAGUCUUCUGACUCCCUUUGAUCGGGCAUCAAGUUCUGGUGAUAUGAUUCUUGAUUUACUUUAUGCUGUAUCUUCAUUCAAAUAUUAACACUGUUUCUAUCCUUAAAUUAAUUCUCAUAUAGUAGCUUUUUAAGCAUGGGGAAUGGAAUAUUAGAAGCGAUGCUAUUCCACUUCAAAACAUGAAAAAAGCCAUCAAUUUUGAAGGCCAGAAACCUUCAUUUAGAAAGCAAACUCCUUCCCUUCUUCCUUUUUUACUUUUCUUUUUGGUUUCUUUUGUAUCAUUGUUCGUGGCAUCUCCGUGGAUGGAGAAAGUAGAACAUUUUUUUUUUUCCACCUUUGUCGCUAAGUUAAAAGAACCUUUAGUGCCUAGACUUUACAACAUUCAAUGUGCUCAUGACUUCAGCAUUUGUUCCAUCAGUAUUAGACCUAUCUGUGUUCACUACUUUCACAAGCUCUACUUAAUUAUUAGCUUUGAAACAAAUUAGCAAUUAUUGAGAUUCUACUAUGGUAUUCAAUCAUACUUUAAAUCAUGACUAGUGAUUUCAGAAGGUACUAAACAAGGUAGAAAUUGGCAUCAUGUACAAGAAGCCUAUGUAUUCAAAGCUCUUAACUUUGCCUUGCAUCAGUUUUCAGGGGCCUCACUGAACUGAAUGCAAACUUGGUUUAUACUCAUUGCUUGGUUAAAAAAUCAGCUUCUAAUUUGAUUUCACAACGCACUUUAUCAGUACAAAUUGAAUUUUUAUCACGUAGAGCUCCUUGACUAAGGUAAAAAUUUCAGUUUUCUCCAUGGCAUAGUAUCAAUAUUCUUUGAUUUUCCACAGCAAUUAGAAUUUUAGAGCUGGAAAAAUUCUUUGAUUGUUAUUCCUUAUGACCUUCAAACUACACUGGAAAAGCAGUCUUGGUGUAGAAUAGUCAAAUUAUGUGUAAUUUAUAAUCCCAUUAAUUAGUGGAUCAUGUGAAGCUGAUGGGAAUUGAUUUUACUAAAGUUGGAAUAAUGUGCCACGAAAUCGCAACCUCCAGUUUGAACAUAAAGCUCUUUGAAUAAGAUUAGCCCGACUAACUCAACCUUUUCUAGUACAGCACUAUUCUACUGUAAAGUGAAUCCAAAAUUAUUUUCUACAAAAUCCCAAAUCUGAUGAUGCCUUCUGUCCCUCCAAUGAAUAGCUAUAUGAAUGGGACAACCCCAUCCUUGCCCUACAAUUCCCCCCACCCUAAAUGCUUAAUCAUCUUCACUUUUGACUUUGCAAUACUAAAAAGGCAAAGUUGUCACUUACUCACCAAAGGAUAUAUUAUUAUUACUACAAUGUACUCCGCAUAGCAUUCAUGCUAGUUUUAUUUUCUAUUUGUUUUUUCUAGUUUUGAGGUUUAAGAAACACCAAGAAGAAGAAAACAAAAUGGCUUAUUGACCUUAAAUGGACCACUGCCUCAUAUGUGUAAUCCAGUAUAGUGAAGUUGAAAGGCAUGAUCAAACAAUUGGUAAAUAUGGCUUUUAGCGGUUUCAUAACAUAUUAGCCACUAAACCUUUCUUAUUCACAAAAACAAUUGUUGUGAUGCAUGCAAGUGAAUGAACAAAGACAUAUUUGAUGUUUUUCUAAUUUAUGCUUGGCGGAAUCCAAGAGUCAACCUCUAGAGCCAUUUACCUAUAAUUCAUGGUCCUAAUGCUGCUAGAACCUGGGUUGCAUGCAAUAAUAAUACCUACAAUGACAACAAUCAGUAUUCCGAGGAUCGCUAAUAUGGGCUACGCUAGUGAGUCGUGUGAUGAUUAUCACUCCUACCUACUCUUAAUACAGGACUAUGGAAAAUCAGAUUUCUUUGUGCCAAACUGAAAAUUAUCAUGAAUUAAAAUUACUAGGAUCACUGGCGGAGAGGGAGGGGUGGUCAUCCGCGAAGAUCUUAGGAAUCCCUUUCUAUUCCCUUAAAGGAUUAAUAGUUUGGACUUUCAUCCUUGUAAAAUUGAGAUCUUGGCGAAACCCAUCCAAGUUCUUCACAAAAUUUCUAAGGGUACACCUUCAAUAAACAUCUUUCCUAGUUUUGCCCUCAUAACUCUCAACCUUUGGUUCUGUCAAUGAGUCAGUCGAAUCAACAUCAAAAGUAGAGAAAAUGAGAAAAAAAAGGAUUCAUUAGAUUAUUCAGAAUUUCUUAGUUUGGUCAUUAAAUUAAACUUUUUAUUUAGUUAAUUAUCAUUCAACUAGCAAAACAAUACAUUUUCUGUCACUUAAUUAAUAAAAACUUGUGCUUCUGAUCAUUCAACUAAUGAAAAUAUACACUUGUUGGUCGCAAGAAGAAUGUUUUAAUUAGCUUAAUUGCCAUUUUGGCUGAAUAAAAAGUUAGGUGACUAAAAUAGGGAGUCAUGAGUAGUUUAGUAGCAAUUUGUAGUAAUUGCUCUCGGAGGUAAUGCUAUCCAAAUCCUUCAUGCUCUUUCUGGGAUCCCUAUCACAAGACUUUCAUGAUAAAUUCAUCAAGCUAUUUCAACUCUGGAGUCCAUUCAAAUGAAUAUUAAUCCACUCCAAUGAAAUCAUCAUGAUGUCCUAAAGAUAGCUAGAAAUCCCACUAGUGCUAUUCAAAGGGCCGAAAUCCCUUCUUUGAGGACGUUGAAGAUUCAUCCCUUUUUUUGGUUUUUUUCUGACGAAUCUUUGUACUUGCUUGAUAGCUUUUAUCAAUUGUUGAGCAUGCAUUCUGGCAAUAUUGCAAGCGGCAUUGAGAUGAGAUGAGAUGAGAUGAGAUCUUCUGGGGAUAAGAUUGGCUUCACCUUCAGAAGUGUGAAGCAACCACUUUCGGUGACCAGUCCUUUUCUACAGCAAAGAUUCUCUUUGUUUCAGACUUUCAUUGCAUUCCAUGACAGAAUCCAUAAGUUGCUUUUGAGAAGGUUGUUUACCAAUCAUAUUUGAAAGUAAGGCAAUAAAUUUGCUUCACAAUUUUUGCUUUCCUACCUAAUGUGAUAAAAGGGAUAGUAAUAGACUGAUAGUUACAAAUCAUAAUUGAAAGUCCAAAACCUUUUUGCCAUUCCUCAUAGAAUCUUCUCAUAGUUACGUGACAAGUUGACUAUUUCAAUAAAAUGAUAAGGUUGGUUCUUAUUCUCUUUCUGUCAAAAAGGUAAAUUUGUAGCUUCGGAUGCUGAAACAUAUUGCCUGCGGGGAAGAAUUAAUCAGAGUAGAGGAAAAACAUAUGACCAAACUGAGAACUGAUUCUUUUAGUCAAACUUCUUUGCUACUAUUUAUCAGAGGCAUGCAUGAGGAACAUAUCCUGAUAAACUUAUUGGAUGUGCAAAGCACAGAAAGAAAAAAAGAGAGAAAAAAAUGGCCUAUUUUAAUCAAGGAGAUAUUGCAAUAUUUUCGUGGCUAGGUUCUCCUUGUCUGAACUUGGACGUAUGAAAUUAAUUGUUAUAUACUAUGUUUAAGGUAGUGUAAUGAAACUCUUUUAAGAUGUAAAUUCCAUGGGUAAUAGGACAAUAGUGUACAACUUUAUCAAUUUUAUUCCAAGGUAUCAGUGAGCUGGUUUACCAAUGGUCUCCUGACUACAAUCUUAAGAAUAAUUAGGCCAAGGCCUCGCAAAACAUGUCAAAUGUUUAAUUGCUUAAUGCAAUUAACAUGCUGAAGAAAAUGACCCAAUGUAAAUAUCAACAAAAUGGACAUAUAAUAUAAGAAAACAACAACUUAGAGACACUAAGAACGGCUAAUAGUUCUUCAAUACAAGAUAACUAGUAUUAAAUGGUGGCCAAUAAUGUGUAAUAAUUUGUUACCAUCCUCGUGGGGUGAAAGCCCUUUAUACCCCAAUAUCAGGUAAAUCCUUGUAUAAACCAGCUGCCUUAGCGUACUAGUUAACAAUUUGAAUGUUCUGGUCAAUACAUGACAGUUUGUUAAAAGAGUAAAUCUUAUAUACAUUAAUAGUGUAUACACUAUCAUGGUUGGAAACACAAUAUAUAUGUAAUAUAUAUGAUUCAUUAAUUAUUCAUUGACCAAAAUAUUCAAAUAAUGAUGGACAAAUUGAAAUUGCUACAAGAUGCUCAUUCUUCACAGGCCUAGUUUUCAUUGCACCUUAUGCAUGCCUUGCUCGGGUGAAAUUUGAACACCAUCAGAGUGAAACUAAUUAAGAGCAUACAUCCGUAAUUAGAGAAACAACAGGUCACUUUUUUUUUUCUUUUUUAAAAUUUCCAACAGUGGAGGGGUGAUACUUAAGAAGUGGGGAUAGGGCAUGAGGAUUUAAACUGGUCACGUUAUUACAUGGCAAAUCUAUAAUUGAUUUUGUAUGCCUUGUUGGCGGUUUUGUGGAGCUCUUUUGUGGGAAGUUGAGUUGGGGCGGGCAGAGCACUUAUGGACGGUUGCUCUUUCUUUGAUCCUUUUUCUUGGCUGUUGAGAAGGGGACAAAGAGAUGAGAACUGAGAAGUAACAAGAAAGUACCCGCAAUGAGUCCCCUUGGCCCUUUGUCAACUCUCACGAUCAACUAGAAUUAUAAUGACCCUUUGCUAAGGGUGACUUUAAAAGAAGCAAGGAAUCCAGAAAGACCCUUUUUCCUCUGCAACAAAGGCUAAUUUGACAGAAGUUGAGGUUUGGCAAUAGUAAUCAAGCAUUAAUUAUCGCACUUGCCAGAAAUGUAUAAACUUUUUUCAGUAGAUAAGCUUCGCAUGGUACGGUGCACUCAAUGUGUUUUCGUGCUUGGAUUUUUCUGAGGGGGAUUGCAAUGGAAGUGAAGAUUUUGGUACUUAAUGAUUGCUCUUGAUUAGAAGAUAUGAUAACGACUUCUAUGAACAUGAGUUUUCCAUAAUUAUCUUUUUUGUCUAAAAUUUCUUUGUGGUUCUCUAAAUGUUCCUAGAUUAUCCUUUUUCUUCUCUCUUUUUUAACCAUCUAAAACUGCAGUCUUAUAAGAGGCAACAACAGCAAAAAUUAAAUAAAAACAAUACCAAAAUAAACAAAAGAACCAAGCUUGGUUGUUAAGUUUUUUGGGGUAAAAAAAUAGGACUAAUGUCAUUUUGAGGUCUCAAAUGUUCUCAUUCUAACACCCUUAUGAUCAUUCAACAAAAAAACUAGCUAGGCUUGCUGGCCACUUUUGUUUAUCAUUUCAUUUAUUUAGUUUGGUCACUGUGCUUUCAGUGAAUAUUCAGUCUUGCAAGCUCGCUAGCAAAUCAAACAGCUCUUUUUUAUAACAAGAGUAUCUAGAAUGUAGCAAAUUUAUUUUAAUGUAAUGGACUUCUAAAGAUACAACUAUAAAAUGAUUGUGGAUUAAAUUUAUAAAUUAAAAAAUAUAAUCAAAUAACCUGGCAUUUGGAAUAUCAUAAAUUUGUUAUUUUUAUUUGUUUUGCACCAAAAUGAUAUCAAUAGUAUCAUCUUAGCUGUAAAGGAACUUAUGAGUGGUCUAAUCUUCUACAUGCAUAUCUUCAUAGCUUAAAAAUUAGCUUCAGUAAUUUGUUUUAAGGUUUUUCUGUAAUACGACAAAAUACUUGGGCUUGAAAUCCAAAUCUUAGUCUUGUAAUUGACACCAAUGCAGAAGCACAAAGUUGACUACAGACUACAGUUAAGAAAUUAUACUGAAACUCUUGGAAAUGUCCAGGACCCGAAGUUAUGAGGCUAAUUUGCCGAGUUCCCUAGAGAAAGUUGUCUCGGGCUCCUACAUAUUCUCUACGUACUCACCUGUGUCGGUUUUGGGUAUAGGAAGGCUGUACCCACCUGUGUCGAUUCCUUAGAGAGAGUUGUCUCACACCUCUAGGUAUUCCUUCUGCAUUUUUUUAAGCAAGAAGGAAGCUAAAGAAGCUUACCUUCAUCAGAAGCAAAGGCUAAAGAAACACCCAAUGCCCAACAAAAAAGACGGAUUGUUUUUGGAAAAAAUAAUAAAUAGAAAGAACACAAAUAAGAAGGGAGACAUCUAAUGAGUAAUGAACCGAGUGGCCAUGGCCAACCACAACAUGCACCAGUGUCAAGAUCAUUGACAAAGUUAAAAAAUUCAUUUCGAGGGGGCAAAAUUAAAUAUACCUAAACUUAUAUAUAAUGUAAUAUAUUUUUUAAUUUUUAUGGGAUAAAAUUUUAAAUUUAUAAAAAAUAUUUUGUCCCAAAGGAGAUUAAGUGAGCAAAAUUAAAGAUUAGGGGGUAAACUGAAAAAUGAGGUAUUCUUUAAGAGAAUAAAAUGUGAUUAACCCUUAAAAGAACGGUGCCUCUGUUGAUUCGGAGCCCACCAUUUGGAUUCCUUUUUCUCUCAUUUUCUUGAGAACACUCAAGAAUUCGGCAAAUAAAUCUAGAUCCCCGAGCAACCUUCAAAAGCCGGCAACUCUUGAAGGCGCCCACCAUUUGGAUUCCUAACGAUUGUUUUCAUUGUUCUUUGACAUAAAAUUGCGCGAGUGACAGUUUAUUUUAGUUAAAAAUUUUCUGUCAACAUAAAACGCCAAUGAUCAAUCUAUAUUGGGAUUUGGAAUUCCAAAAAAAGGUUCAAUUAGAAGCUGACACUAUCCAUUUCUAGUGGUGUGAUGAAUGAUGAUAACUACACAUCAGUGAGCAGGAGGACCAAUUAAGUGUCCCAGUUAAUUGAGCACCACAAGAUUCAAGAACAGCUGCAUCAAUUGGUAUUUGGGACUAAUACCUUUUUUUAAUACGCUAAUCCCAUCUACAACAAGGUGAAAGCAUUAUUACGUGGCUAACUCCACUUAGGAUUAUAUUCUUUAGUAGAAUUCAUUCUCAAUGAAUUCUUCCACUAAUAACAGUCAAAUUGAUGCUUUUUGCCUUGAAGAGUUAGUUGUCUGAAUGAUGCUCAAUUUGGCUAAUAUGGCAUUCAUUUAGUGGGAAAAAGAAUCCACUGGAUGUGCUUGAAGAGUUGAAAGUAAAAUGCAUGGGAUUCUAAUUCGGUUCUCUCUCUCUCUCUCUCUCUGAUAAUAACAUUAUUAUUUCUCUACCUUUGCACUAAUAACAAAAAUUACCUCAAAUAUGUACAUAUACAAACAGAUCUUAAUAUAAACUGACUGGUUAUCAACUCAAUCCGAGCAUGUUUGCAGUUUAAGUUGUAGUUUGUAUAUCAUUACAUUAUAACUUGUAUAGUUGACAUAUAAACAAUAGAUUUCAAUCACAAAGAAGGAAACGAUCUAACAGAUAAUAUUGGCUAUGCUGUGCCAAAGAAAUCUCCAAAACAGAUAAUAUUGAAAGAAAUCUCCAAAACAGAUAAUAUUGAAUGGUUUUUGUUCUUCAAACAUAUACAAGCCUUUAGGGCUUCCAUUGCCAGUUGUAACACUUCUGAGUCGGUUGUGACUUGGCGAGAAAACUGCAAGAAAACAAGGAAAGUCUCCAUUUUUAGGAGCAACUAACAUUUAAGAUUGAGGCCACAGAUUUAGAGGAAUCAGUGGACGGUGUUCUGUCACCUGCAACUGCAAGUUGCAACAUAUACUGUAUGAAUAAUUCGAAUGGAAACCAAAUAUAAACUUCUAGGUUUAACUUUACCAGCAUCUGGUAAUUGCAUGGUUUGAAGUGAAUUUUCUACGGUUAUUCAUGCAAAAAGUCCAUCAGUUAAUCUAUUUUUACAGCAUGAUAUUACACCAGUUUUCCUUAUCGUGUGCGUUUCUAAAUUCAAGAAACGUAAUAAAAACAAUUUGGCUGAGAAUACAUUUUUCUCAAACUUAUAACACUAACAUCUUUGGUAGUUAAUUUGCUCGAAAUUGAUCAAGUUUCAGCCGAAAAGAAGUAAACAUUGAAUAUUAUUUUUUACUUAUUUUUUUUUUUCAAUUUGCAGAUUCCUUUGAUAGAUUGAAGUAGGGAAUUUAUAUGGAUGGUAAAAGUGCUAUCACAAAAAUCAUCUCCACUUUCACAAUAGUUCAAAUUAAAGUAAAGCAAUAUGGCUAAAUGCUUGGCACUAUGCACACAUCUGAUUAGAUGAGGGAAGCCACAUAAUUCUUAUUGUUUUACAAUUGAAUCAUUACAAAGUUGCUGGACAAUCCAAAUUGGCAUUACAAUCUCUUGUAGGUAGGGUCUUUUCUAGACAACAGCAACAGCCAUAAGGGUCUUUUCUAGAGUUUCAUAUUGGCAUAUUAAUUUAUGUGGAGGUUCUUUAAUUUGAAGAUGAAAGGGAAUGAAGAGGAUUCAGUACCUACCCUUUGAGAAUUAAUAAAACUAGUGUGAAUAUCCGUGCUACGCACGGUGCUGACAUUAUUGAAAAAAAUAAAAUGGUGAACAAAUAAAGGUGAAAAAAUUGAACCAACAAAAUUUAAAUGUAAUAUCUGUUUAACAAUAGUUUGAAAUAUAGUAGAAUGUGUAUAUCAUUCAAGAAUUGUCUUUUUUCGAAAAAUAGAACCUGAAAAAAAAAUAAAAUUUAUAUUAAAAAAGGGAAUGAUAUAUUUCUACAAAUGAAUGUAAUUGAAUGUUGUUAAAAUGAAAUACUUACAAAUACUAAGCAUUCGAUUUGAUAAUCUUUCUUGAAGGUGUGAACACUCUUCACACCAAUCCACUUUUAGUACGAAAGCCAAAAUUGAUGAUUUAAUUAAUUGUGUUGAAUUUUGUGGAGUGUGUACUACAAAUGAAAAUGCAUGAUCUUUGACGAUAUAAAAAACUGCAUAUUUACCAUGAUCACGCAAAAGUAUUGGUGAUGCAGAUGGCUGUCGAACUUGAAGAGAGGCAAUAUUUUCAUUUCUUUGAUCUAGAAAAAAUAUAUAUAUUAAAUCAAAAAUAAAUAGUUUUUGUAUUUAUUUUAUGUGUAGUAAGUGAUACAUUGUAUGAGAAUUGUUAACAAAAAAAUACAAUAGUUAAUAUAGAAGUAGCAUCAAUAUAAUUUAAUACAAUUGUGUUGUAAUCAAAUGAAAAUUACGCACCAAUAGAAUUGUUUUUAGCACCCAUAGUUAAUUAAGUAAUCCCUAUAUAAAUAUAAUUUGGUACAUGUAGACCCCCCAAACCCCGCAAAACCAACCACUACUUAUUGAAAACAAACCAAUAAAUGCACUAAAAUGCCUCCCAUCUAUACCUCAAAUUGCACUUUAACCCACGAAUUUUGUGUGAAAUUAUCCCUCUAAUUGCUUUUGUCCUUUUCGAUUUUUUACAUGUCGCUAACUGCUCCAUUCCCUCUGCUAUCACUUGUAUAUUAAAAUCAAUUUUUAAUAUUAAAUAAAAAGGAAUGUAUUAGUUUAUAAUAUGUUCAUAAUGUAGAUAAAUUAUUAAAUUUGGAAAAGGGCGUAUGUUCUUAUAGGCUUCUUUUCUUCUUCUUUUUUUUUUUUUGGGAAAAUGAGUUUGUUCGUGUAGGUUUUUUUUUUUUUUGGAUACAAAAUUGUUUUUCAAAGAUUUUGGUUCGUAGUCCCUACUAUGUUUAAACCAUCUUUUAAUAUCUAAUUCAAUAUUGUCUUUUAAUUUGGCAGCCUCUAUAAUUUUUAAUUUAUUCUUUUGGUUUAAGUUUAGUUAGAAUUCGGAAUUUUUCAAAUACCAAGAGAAACCAGAUUUUUUUUAAAAAUCACCGUCUUAAGUCAGGUAGAGCGCCGAAAUAUGAGUCAGGAUUAUUUCAUUUAUGCAGUUAGUUUCCUGAUAUCUGGUAUGAUAUAUAAUUAUGUCCCUUGGGUUUUUUUUUCAUAUAGAUAUCGUUAGGUCUUUGGCAUCACUGCUGAACAUAAUCCAAGCUUAGAAUGACGCGUUUUUUCUAAUCCAGUGGAUGCAAAAAUACAAAAAUACAAAAAAUGAAGGUAAUAUUGUGAUUCAAACUCUAAAAAGUAGGAUACCAUCUUUCAAGAAGUUUCAUGCCUUCUUUAGCAUCUCAAAAAGAUGCAACAUAGAACAGUUAUUUGAAUGCUAAUAAACUCUCUUUCUACCAAUUUUGAAAGCCCACCCAUUAAAAGUGAAGUGAAAAUUAUUGCAGUCAAUGCAGAGAGAAAAUGAUAAAAAAAAAGAAUGCAAUUUUGCUAAAAGGAUUUCCGACGAAAUUAAAAAUUAAUCCAAUUUUAAUAAUGGGUGUAUAGUGCAUUAGUUAUUAGUAGUAUCUGAAUUGUUUUUCUCUAAUUAUAAACCAUUUUUAAUUAUUUUUUAUUAUCAAAAAAUAUUUUUUUAUUUCAUGCACGAUCAUUUUUGGAAUAAAAUUAUGAAAAUAACUAUCGUAACACCUUUUUUAUGUGAUAAAUAUGCCAAAAAAAUAAUUAAAAAAUUUCAGUAAUACAAACAAAUACAUUUUUAUAAUAUACAAUUUAUGUUAGAAAUAGUAAAACCCCCAAUCAUGAACCUAUACCAUCUGCAAUUAUAUAAGCAAGCAAUACCUUAUGUUAGAAAUGUGAUUGUGAUUUUGUGUUUAUGCUUUAUUCUACUAUUGACUAUCUUUGCUUUACAGUGUAACAAUAAGCAAACAACCGUUCAUAGGAUUUUGUAAAAAAUUUUCAGAAAUAAUGGAUGAUCAGAAAAUCAAUGCAAUAUCAUUCAUGACAAAAAGCAAAGCAAAAGCAAAACAUACUUAAAAGGCAGAGAGAACCGAUCUGGAAAAUUAAGCUGGCAAGAAUAUACUUCCAAUUCUCCACAAGAAGGUUGAGUUCUGGUGAAGUCUCUGCACAUAAUAUCUUCCACUAUUGCUCAUAAAAGAAACAAAAUCAAUACAUUUACAAAAUGAAUAGAGAACCAAAAACAAAUAAGAAACUGAGAGAGAGUGGGAGUGAGAUAGUGGGAUAGUAGGAAUAGAGAAUUUGUAGGAGUGGUUAUAGGAUAAGUUAAGAUAGUGGGAUAGUGGGAGUGAGAUAGUGGGAAUAUUGAUGGGUGAUAAGGUGUGUUAUAACCCACUACAUUUUAUGUAUUAAAAUAAAUACAAAAAUUUAGAAAAAAGAAUGAGAAAUUUAGAAGUCAUUGAGAGGGUUUCUGCUAAAAACCCCUUCCUGAAUACAUAUAGAUAUAGAUAGAUGAGAAUGAAAAACUGAUAAUAUCUAUAAUAUCCUCAAGUACUACAAUCAAUAUAUAUAUAUUUAACAUAGCAAAUUCAUAUUUACAUAUGAAGAUAGCAAUAAGAAUACAUAAAUAAUUAAUGAUAUCAAAAGUUAUUCUUAUUGUUUGGAUUUUGCACUCUUAUUCAAAUCUAAUGUCAAAUUUGGGCUAGAUAUAUGCAAAUUAAGUAGUAUUUUAGGGUUGAAUGUUCUAUAUCUUUCUCUUAAACUAUAAUGUUACUUUUUAAAAAAAAUUUGGUAGAAUUGGUGUUGUUAUUAUCAUUAUUUUUUUUAUCAAAAAUGAAUAUUUCAAAAAAAAAUCUCACAUUAAAAGGCUAGUAGUACUUUGUUUUUUAUUUAGUGAUUUCAUAAUUUGGAUUUCACAAAUGGUACUAUUCUUGAUUUUUUAAAUCUAUGACAUUAUUUCAUGAAUAUUUUUUAUUUAAUUUUACCCUUUUACUUAGGAUUACUGAGUUAAAAGAUAAAAUAUUGUUAUUUACUUUUUUACUUUUACUAAGCUUGGCAAUAGUUUCUUUUUAUUUACCGUCCCACUAAUAAACUUCAAACCAAAUUCCUAUAUAAGUGGAGUCACUACUUUUUUAAAUUAGAAAGACAUGGACGCCACUUCUUACUUAAGAAAAUAUUAUUUGCACUCCAUUUUUUAUUAUUUGCAAUUCCACUAUUUGUUUUAUCAUAUAGUAUAAUUAACGAAAAUUAUAUAACCAAAAUGAUUAUUGAAGUGUGAAUAACAAAAAUGGAGUGUAAAUAAUCUUACUUAUUUAAAUUAAUAAGAAAGUAUGAAAGAUGUUAUAUUAGUUAUAUUUUCUUAUAGUUUUAUAGAAGUUUUAAUUGUUGUAAAAUCAUAAAUAUCGCAAGACAAUCGGAAACGUGAUGGGUUGAAGUUCAAAUAGGAUAACAUGCAUAUUAACCAACAAUUUGAAAUGAAAUGAUUUUAAAAGGUAACCAACAAUUUCAAAUGUGAAGAGUAUAUGUGGAAGUUGAGAGAAAUAUAUUUUAUAAAUUAAAUUAAUUAUGAAAUGCUAGAAAAAUAGAAUUGGUAGUGGGAAGAUACGUGGAAGCUUGUUACUAAAAAUUCCUUCUCAAAUUUAUAUAGAUAUUAUAUAGAUAUAGAUCUUCCAAAAUGGAAUCUGGCUAUAGGGUUCUGACCCCCCAACCAGCACUCACAUAACCCAUUUUCUCCUUUAAUCUGGGUACGCACUAAUGACCUGGUAACACAUGGUAGGAACACAAGAAGUUUGCGGGGCAAAAAGUUUGAGAUGCUAACCAUUAUUAGUGCAGACUUCGAACUUUGCCAUUUUUGUCGUAUGAAAGUAGGGCUGUCAACGGGCGGGGUCCGGGCCGAAAUUCAUUAUUCCAGACCCGGACCUGAAUUACUAUAUCGGAACCGGAUCCGACCCGUUUAUCCGACGGGUCUUUUAUUUUAUGUUCCGGAUCUGGAUCCGGGUCGGGUCUACCCGCACAAAUUUAGCAAAAUUUAUAAUUUCUAAUAAAAAUGAGAAAAAAAUAUAUUUGUAAAUAAAUUUCUAACUAAUGCAAAGAAAAAACCAAAUAAGAAAAGAAAUCAAAUUGACUUUACUCAAAUACAUCACCCUAAUCAAAUUAUAUUGAUAAAUAUAUAUUUUUUAAAUUAUUAAUUCAUUUAUAUCCAGAUCCGGGUCUAAUACGGGUCGAAAUACUAUAUUCCGUAUCCGACCCAUUUUUUUGUUUGACAAAACGGAUCCGGAUCCGGAUCCGAAAAAUGGAAUUAAAUCCCUACCCAUACCCGCAAUAAUUUCACGGAUUCGGUCCGGAUCCGGGUCUAGACCCGACCCGUUGACAGGCUUAUAUGAAAGAAAAUUUCUUCCAGAAAUUUUCAUCGAAAGUGAAAUCUUGUCUGUUUGAAGUGCCGCGCUCCUCGUUUCCCUCCUUUUUAGGUAUGCCACUAUGUAGACAAAAAGUCUAUUGAUGUUUCACUUUAAAAAGAUAGUUAAAAACUUUAUCUUAAAAAAUUAAAUUGUUCCAUAAAGCAUGGAAGAAAAAAUAUAAGUAUUUGUUGUGACAACGUGUUCUUUACAGUCUAAUUUUUUUCCCUUAAAGGUUACUCAAAUUACAGUUGAUAAUAGAUAAAAUUCAAAUUUGUUCUGUGGAAAGUUAGUAAAGUUAGAAAACAAAUUUAAUAGAAAUGGUUGUAAACCAUAGAAAAAUCAAGCGUAUAUAAACUAAACAUACUUAUGUAUGGGACAAUGAAUGAAUUUAUUGAUGAUUGUGGUUUUAAUUAUUGCCAAAUAUUGUAAGGUGUAAUUCACUCGACACUAUAUAUUCUCAUAAUUAAUCAAUUGAAUAUUCUGUAAUACAGAUUUUAAUGUUUAAAUUUUUUUUAAAAAAAUUAUGUGAUUUAACUUGGAAAUAUUACAAUAAUGAUAUUACUCUAUAUAUAAUCUUUAUCUUAGUAUCUACAUAGUAAUCUCAAUGCUUGUUGAGAUUCUCAAAAUUGGAGGCUUUAAUUUUCUCUACCAUGCAUUUGUGGAUUUAUUCGUUGAUGUAUUACUCUCACAAAUCACAAUAGGUUCCUUGUUCUCUUAUUUUUUAAAAAUUUUUAAAAAUAUAUCUUACAUGGUCCCAAAUUAUUAAGAUUCAUAAUUGUUGAAGCCUGCCUCUUCAAUUCCCUCAUACAAUUAAUUAAAGCUAUAAUUGUAGAGACCAGGAAAGCAAUCCUCCCCUUCUGUUCAGUCAUUGGACUGGUAAUGCCGGCCGAUUCGGCCUCUCGGCAAUUAUUGGUGGUUCUCAUUACUCGUUAGUCAUUAGUAACCACUAAUUGGCGCAUCUUAGGAUUUACUUUAAUUACCUGCUUAACUAUUCAUUACUCUAUGAAAAUUCUGUACUUAAUUGAAAAAGGGUUCUUCUAUUAGGGCACAGGAUAAGGAAUGUGUCCGUGUUAAGUUGUCUAGAAAAGUUUAAAUCUCUUAAGUAAAAAGUUUAAUGAUGAAUGAUGAUGUUUGAAUUUUAUAGUGCGUGUUAGUCUUCUGUUUUUUGUGUGUUUAUCCUAAUCCUACGAAUGUAAGAUUAAAAAAGAAGAAAAAAAAAACCAUUGCAAUAUUAGUUGCACGCUAAUGAGCACCACAACCAUCAACAGCUUGGCUAAUGCAUUUGGUUUUUUUUUAUUUAUUUAUUACUUUUUGAAAAGGAUUUUGAAAAACCAAACGAAGAAAAAAAGAAAGUUGUAAAACAACUUGGACGUGAGUUUAAUUCAAGAUCUCAGGAAAACAGAUUGAAUCAAAUUAAAACUCAAACAAAAAAAAGGAAAAUAAACAAACAAACAAACAAGAUGGCCAGAUGGGCAUGAAAUAUUUCGACUAUAUACAGUAAGGACACUUAACAAAAGUGAGGUGUUGUUUGAAUUGCUACUUUUUGAAGUUUUUGUAGAAAAAUAUAUUACAACGAUUUAAUGUAUAUAAGAUAAAAAGAUAAUUAAAAAAUAUAUUCAUGAAAAACGUAAAAAUUUAUUAAUAAAAAACUACAAUUCAAACACCUCUAAAGUCCACCUUGUAUAUUUUCAUAAGAUGGAAUCCCUCAUUGUCGUCACUUCAAUUCAUAUCAUGUAGUAAGCUCAAGCCAACUUCGCAAGGAUGGUGUAGUGGUGCAUUUAGCUGCAGCAGAUGCUUCAUUUCUUAAGCCCACUAAAACAAUUAAUAGUUGCCUGCAGCUCACAUAAAAUAAUAAUAAUUAACCCCCCAAAAAGCUAAGUCAUGGCCUAUAUUAAAGGGGCAGAAACCUGAGAGCCAUUGUAGGAGUUGGCAACAACCGAAGUUUUCCUUCUCAUUUCCUCUCUUUCUCUUCUCUUCUUGUUCAAGCAAUUGUAUAAAAUAGCUAGUGAGGCACAAGAAUUCACAAGUUAGUCUUGAAUUCUUCUUGUUGUUUGUUGAAGUACUUGUGUAAAAUAGCUAGCGAAACACAAGAGUUCAUACGUAAGUCUUGAAUUGUUCUUGUUGUUUGUGUAAGUUAACAUGGCUAUGGAGGAUGGGAUUAGUGAUUAUACUCAAGAUGGAACAGUGGAUCUCAAUGGAAACCCUAUUCUGAGAACAAAGAGAGGAGGAUGGAAAGCUUGUUCCUUCAUAGUUGGUACUCUUCUUUAUCCUUUUUCCUUAUCUCUUUGUUCAUUUCUUUCCUUACCCUUUCUUUUUUCUUUUCCUGAUGGCUUUCAACCAUGGCCAUUAGCAGAGGUAAUGUGAUAUCGUGACUCUUAAGUGGAUGUGGUACCGAGUUCAUUCAAUACAAAAAUUAGCACAAUUUUUCCCAUACGUUUUUUUCCAUGGGGGGUUUGGGUUGAGGGGAAAUGAUCCACCUACAGUAAUAGUGUUAUUUUGCAGGGAGUUAAACCAUAAAGCUUCAAGCAAUCCAACUGCCUCCAUACUUCUUCUCUAUUAAAAAGAAACCAAUACUCUAUUAACUUUUGUUAACCAUACGACUUCUUUGCCAUUAGACAUGCAUCAUUAGCAUUCGAUUCUAGCAAACUAGCCAUAAAUUACUCCAUUUUUUCACUCCUACUUUCAGCUUUCCACUAACCCUUUUCUAUCCUUUUCAAUUGUAUUGAAUUGAAAUUAGUAUGUGGUGAAACGACGUGUUAAUUAGCUUUUGGUAACUUCUUCUAUAAUUUUAAGCCAUUACCAAAAUGAGUUUUUUCAAAUCUUAUUUUCUUGAUAUUCUGAAAACCUUAAUAUAUAGAUACAUGGAGAUGCAUUAAAUUGCAGCCCAACACUAUUGACUAUAUAUAUAUAUCGGCAAAACUUGUUUUUUUGUAUCUAUGUAUGUAGAUGAUUAAUAAUUGCACGUUGCCUACUCCAUGGAUGGACACUUUCUUGAUUUUCGGCUUGACAAUUUCACGUACGCUUCUGUCAUAUUUCCACAUAGCCCCUAAACUUGAAGAUGCAGACAAAGAACAUAUUAUAGUUAGUAUUACCUUAUCAUGCAUAAAGAUUAUUUAGAAGGGAAUUAAAAAAAAAGUUCAUUUAGACUAAGAUUUUUUUUUUUUUUUGGGAACCAUGAAAACUGAAAAGCUACAAUUCCUGAUAAGAUAAUGCAAAAAAUUGAGGAUUCUUCAUUUUGGGUAAACUUGUUAAGAUGUUUCCUUCAAUAUCCAUCAUUUUCUGUGCACUAGCCUCCUAAAAGAUAUAUCCGUGACAAGAGUAAAAAUAAAGAAAUAGUAGUAUUUCUUACGACUUGUGUGAUCACUCACGACAAGGAGGUGUAAUUUGUUUGCCCAUAAAUUAUUCAUAUUAUAUAUUUUCAUUUUUGUCUUUCAUCCAAUUCUUCAGCUAAAACCAAUAAUACAAGAUGAAAAUUCCAAAAGCUUCUGUGUCACUCGGUCCAUCAUGCUUAUUAUUUUUUAAAAUUUUUUUUGGUUUUAUUUGAGACCGUGAUUGUCAACUAUAUAUUAAAUAACCCACUGCCAACUCCCAAGAAAAAAAAAAUAAAUCAAUCACUUAGAAUCAACUCUUUUUUUGGUGCAAAUCUAAAUUUCUACUUUGACCCUUUUCAAGGGUUGAUUUUAAUUAGAACUUUUUCUUUUCAUUUGUUCUUCUUUUUUUUUUUUUCUUUUUUCUCUGAGCAGUGUAUGAAGUGUUCGAGAGGAUGGCAUAUUGUGGAAUCUCAGCAAAUCUCAUUCUGUAUCUGACCAGAAAACUGCAUCAAGGGACUGUGACAGCAUCCAAUAAUGUGACUUAUUGGAAUGGGACCAUAUGGCUGACUCCAAUCUUGGGUGCAUAUGUUGCUGAUGCUUAUCUUGGCAGAUAUUGGACGUUUGUGAUUGCCUGUGCAAUCUAUCUCUCGGUAUGCUUCUCUGCACUAGAUCAGUCCUGUCUUAACUCUUAAUCAGUGUACCAUUUCUUUAUCAUUGUUUUAGCCACUAAUUAAGUCAAAGUGGAUGACGAAGUCAAAAAUUGAUGACAUCUGCCAAUACUUAAGAAAAGUUCUUUAACAUUUUCCAUGCUGUUAUUAUUAAAAUUUUUGAAAAUUUUGUCUUGCAUGUCGGAGGCACUAAUAUUUUGCAACACAAAUAUAAAAAAAGAAAAAAGAAAAAAGAAAGAUGUUAGUCAAAGUGUCGAUUUUUUAUUUUAUUGCAUUAUAUUAAAAGGGUAAACAAUUUUCAGCAUAUGCAGCUCUCUGAGAAUGAGAAAUGAUUACAAAAGCAUUCCGGCUUGAAAGUAUUUGCAAAAUGUCAAUGAAAUUUGGUCAAGUGAAAGAAAUGUAAUUGAAAUGGAAAUUAGAAAGCAACCAUGUCUUCUGUUCAAACAUGAUUGCUGCACAAAUGAAAGUCCGAUAAAUCAUAUCCACUGAGAAGUGAGAAUAAAUUCAUGAUUUUGCCUUUAUGAAAGCCACACAAAGACAGGCGUAUGGUAAGAAAAGAAGAAACAGAAGAUUGGCUGGCCAAAGCGGUGGUGUCCAAUUUUUUGACGAAAUUGACCGUAUGAUUUCAUGAUACAUCAUACAUCAUGGCUUUUCAUAACUUGAAUAAUAUAGUACUUUCACUUGCAAGCAAGGUGUGAAGUACAAGUAUGUGUACGUGUGUGUAUAUGUGUAUAUACACACACACAUACACAUACACAUACACAAUAGCUGCAUAUAACUAUAGAGUAAAUCUUAUAUACAUUGAUAGUAUAUAAAUUAUCACGGUUGGAUGUACGACACAUAUAUGCAAAAUUUAGGUUAUAAAUUUAAAUUUGAAUUAUGUGUUAUGCAUCCAAUGGUAAAAGAGUAUACACCGUCAGUGUAUAGAUGAUUAAUCCAUAGGUAUAAGGUGAUAUGUAAUGACUGAAUAGAAGUACUUUUAAUGAUUCUUUAGGCACAGUUACCAAAUCAAGAGGCAUCUUGUAAUAAACAAUCCAGGUCGCAUUUAAUUUGAUUCUUUCUUAAGGCUUAUCUGAACUAUAGAAUAUAUACAGGGCAUGGAUCAUAUAACAAGUAGAUAAUGGUAUACUUUUUGACACCAUAUUUCGAAUCUUCAUCAAUGGAAAUUAGCAUCAAAUGUCUUGACUAGAAUAUGGAAAUUCUUGAUCUGCCUUGUUUAGGAAUGUUGUCACAUCAAGACUUAUGCACCCCAACAGAUUGAUAUUGGACAUGUAAUUUAGUGUAUCUAACUUUUUAGUUAUUCAGCAUGAUUAAAUUAGGUGCUCAUCUUUUGUUACUAGUUCUUGAAUUUUGUUUAUCGUAUCUGUAUUUUAGACAAUUUUGAAAACUAAGAUAAGAAACAAGAGUAAUCUUUUCAAGAUAAUUUACAUAAAUCUUUAGCUUUGAUACAUCCAGAUUUCUUCACUAUGUCUGUCCCCAGUAAAUGUGAAAUUGUUCUACUCAACUUGUUAAACUAAUUCUUUUUGUUUGAAUUGCUAUUUUCUGGAGUUUUGUAGAAAAAUAUAUUAUAGCGAUUUGAUGUCUAUGAAAUAAAAAGUAAUUAAAACAUACAUUCAAGAAAAACGAAAAAAAAAAAAAUUUUUUUUGAAGAACAAUGACAAUCCAAACAAAGGUUUCAGCAUGAAAGACUUAAAAGUUAGUGAAUGGAACAGCUAGAGAAAAAGUUUUUUUUUCUAGAGAUUAUGCAAUGCUUGAAGAAGGAAGGAAAGAAACUUUUCAUAAAGCAGGGAACUAUAUUUUGCUUUUUAAUAUAUCUAUUGUCUCCUAUUUUUCUUUUUUUGGUCUGAGGGAUAUAAUUGGGGAAUCAUUUAGAGAGACAACCAUAGGAUUAUUGUAGACGAAGACCUAAGUCUAAUAUUGAAAUGCCAAAUGUGUCAGCUUGAUAUGAGAAUAAUAACUUUGUCAGAGUUGAUUCCAAAAAUGCAUAUAUCAAUACACGAAAAGAGAAGAAUUUGAUGCCCAUUAAAAUGCAUCUUCAGAUUGCUGAAACAGCAUCCGCGUCCUUUCCUUUGCUAAUUAAUGACAGUUAGUUUGUCUAAAUCAAUUAAUAAUCAGAAAGAUCAAUUUCUAAUCAUGCUACACGUUCAUAUGUGAUCUUCUUUAAUCUCACUAAACACAAAAGUUAAGUACGAAAAAACAUAUUCUUUACUGGCUAUGAUUAGAGGCAUCUGUCUUCUGAUAUUAAUGUAAUAUAAUAUAAUUAGUACAGAUUAGUUCCAUUAACCUUUCGUGAGUUAGCUGGAUUUAGCAAGUGAAGUUUUUUUUUUUUUUUUUUUUAAGAGUUAAAACUGUAACUUCAUGACCAAAAAAAAAAAAAAAAACUUUUACUAUCUGUUUACUGCUAAGGUAAGAUUAUACAAGGCAUUUAUGCAAAUCCCAAGUGUCCAAGAUGACUAGUAGUAUAGCUAGUUGGAGUUGUAAACCAAAUCUAGAGAGACCAUGCAUGCAAAUAAAGCAAAUUAUGCAUGUCCUAACUGAAAUUGUAUCUGAUUGCAGGGAAUGUGCUUGCUAACACUAGCAGUUUCAGUCCCGGGCUUUAGACCACCUCCCUGCCAUGCUGCAAAUGUAUCUGACUGUCCAAAGGCUACAACACUUGAAUUGGCAGUGUUUUAUACUGCACUUUACAUCUUAGCUGUUGGAACUGGUGGGACAAAGCCAAAUAUCUCCACCAUAGGUGCGGAGCAAUUCGAUGAUUUCGAUCCAAAGGAGAAGAUCCAAAAGCUUUCCUUCUUCAAUUGGUGGAUGUUUAGCAUAUUCUUUGGGAUACUUUUUGGCAACACAGUUCUCGUCUAUAUUCAAGACAAUGUGGGAUGGGCUCUUGGAUAUGGUAUCCCUACAGCUGGGCUUGCAUUGUCUAUUGCCAUUUUUCUGUUUGGUACUCCCUUCUAUAGGCACAAGAAGCCUGCUGGUAGUCCCUUCACAAAGAUGGCUAGAGUCAUAGUGGCUGCUAUUAAGAAAUGGAGGGUACCUGUCCCUACUCAUCCCAAAGAACUGUAUGAACUUGAUGCUGAAGAAUACGCCAAGAAGGGCAAAUUCAAAAUUGAAUCCACAACCACAUUAAGGUUAGCAUUUUUCCCAUAAUUAACUAUAACUGCUUCUCUAUUACUGAUUAAAUUUUUUUAAAAAUCUGAAUAACAUCUUGUUCCAUAGUUGUCUAACUGAAAUGCAUUAAAUUAGGUACCUGAACAAAGCAGCAGUGCAAACAGGUUCAACAAGUAUGUGGAUGUUAUGCUCAGUUACAGAAGUUGAGGAGACCAAACAGAUGCUGAAAAUGUUACCUAUAUUGAUGACCACAUUCCUUCCAAACGUACUAGUUGCACAAAGCUAUACUCUUUUCAUUAAGCAAGGCACUACUCUGGACAGGGGCAUGGGUAAGCAUUUCAAAUUGCCACCAGCCAGCUUAGGUGCUUUUGUGACAGUAACCUUGCUGCUUACCGUGGUGCUGUAUGAUCGUGUCUUUGUCAAGAUUAUUAGCAAGUGGACCAAGAAUCCAAGAGGCAUCACUCUCCUUCAAAGACUGGGACUUGGAUUUGUGCUCCACAUUAUCAUUAUGAUCGUAGCCUCCCUGACAGAAAGGCACAGGCUUAAUGUGGCCAAGGAACAUGGUCUAGAUCAAACCGGAGGCCAACUCCCAUUGACCAUAUUUAUAUUGCUCCCACAAUUUAUCCUUAUGGGAGUGGCUGAUGCAAUGACAGAGGUUGCGAGACUUGAGUUUUUCUACGAUCAGGCACCUGAGAGCAUGAAGAGUUUGGGGACUUCCCUUUCUAUGACUAGUGUGGCAGGUGGCAACUUCCUUAGCAGUUUCAUUCUUUCAGCAGUUUCUCGCAUCACAAGGGAGGGUGGUCACAAAGGAUGGAUCCAAAAUAACCUUAAUACUUCUCGCCUCGAUUUGUAUUUUGCAUUUCUUUCAGUAGUAGGCUUUCUGAAUUUCCUUUUUUUCCUGGUUGUGACCAAGUUCUUUCACUACAAGGCUGAGAUUUCGGACUCAAUGGAAGUGCUAAAAGAAGAACUAGAGGGGUCAAGGAAAGAUGCUUACCAAGUAGAGCUGGCAGAUAACAAACGCUAAUCAAGAAUGUUCUCAAGAGGGCUAAAAUUCAUCUGCAUGGAAAGGAGCUUGAGACUCAACAGGAGCAUUAUUUUGUAAUAAGAAUUGCUAGCAUCACAAGCAUGGAUUGGUGCUUUCUCGCACAACUAAGAUGAAACUAGCUUUUCCUUAAGCUAAAAAAUGUACUGUUAUGUUUUAGAAGCAGAGAGGAGGAAUGAAAUAAAGCUGUCAGAAGGCCCGAACUGGCUUUCCUGCAUGGCCCUACAGCGUGUUGCAGCAAAUAUUUCAGCUCAGAUAUCUGAAAUCUUAAUUUGCAUCUUUCCUUAAGAGCCCUAUGAAUGUACUACAACAAAUAUUUUAAGUUAUCUGCUUGAAAUCUCUAUUUCUAGCAAUUCUCUCUUGGUAAUCCAGGACAGCAAAUUUGCAUCAAUAACAUGCAGUACUAUGUUUUAGUUUUUUCUUUUUUUACCCCCAUCUUUUGGAGCAUUCUAGGAUGCUUGAACGCAAAUUCAAAUUGAAAGGAAUACAUUCUUCCUUUAGUUCUCACUAUUUUGGUUUUUUCAUCGCUUAUAGUUUCUUCGCUAUUCCCAUUAAUUUCCCUUUCUAUUUAUUUCUCACUGUUUGUUGAUUUUGAUGGUCAGUAGCACAACUGUUUUCAGUAAAACUGUUACUUUUAGAUGGCCACUGUUCAGAAAAGUAGUCAACAAUAAUGCUUCGCAAUGCAAGGACAACAAGGCUUUCCAUGUCUUUCUACGUGAAACUACCAAAAUAAUUCCUAUGAUGCUCCUUUCCCAACCAAUCUAGAUGGCCAUGAAAUUGAAGUUUGCAGGCCCGAAUGCCUGUUUAGUGCAUGUCAUGUGUUUAUCCAGAUUUAAACUCAACGCAUGUUAGAGACAAAAUUUGAUUUUGUUAGUAUAUAUGAUAGCUCUAUACUGAUACUUGAAAACAUCUUAUACCAAUAUAAUUGAGCAAACAUUUGAUACUGUGUAUAAGAUAAUGUCGAAAGCAGACAUUACAUAUCAUACUAGCCUGUUUUUAGUAGUUGAUUUUGUGUCUACAUUCCUCAUGGAAUCUAAAUCCAGUGAAGUAAUUAUUAAAAAAAAAAACCACAAAAAUGCUAAGGAUUCUGUCCAUGACGGUCAAUGAUCUUUUUCUAUGUUUUGCAUCAUAAACCAAGCACAAAGGCCUGAAGAAAACUGGUGACUACAAAAAAAAUUCUCUCAGCCUAAUUAGUUUUGACGUCAAGCUGAUUCAUGAUACCAUCAGCCUUCCUGUAUAUCGAAUUUACAAAUUGAAAUGAUCAAAGAUCAGCAUCACUAAUAUUUGAGCCUUGGAAAGAAAUAAAAUAGUGUGAAGAUGCAAUAUUGAGCCUUAAACCUCUGCUGCUAAACCAAGAUGCAUGUUUUAACAGACAAAAGGUCACAUUUAACAACCACUGUAGACCCUAAAGUAAUCCAUUUUCCCCUCUCUGUUUAUAAGAAGAUCCUGAGACAGAACUUCAUGUAAACUUUCUCAAGGAAAUAUCAAUCAAACAUCGUCUGAAGGACUCUAUAUAUCAUUUCGGGACGUGAUUCAAAUCUCACCUUCCAUGUUCCCUUCUUGCUGCUUUCCUCCACCUUUUGGCUUUCCCACCCCACCAAAAAAGGUACCUAAUCUGAUCAAUCUUUUUUUUCCCUAACAAUUCUUCCUUUUUGGAGAAUUCGUAUCAAGUUCUCGUCAAAAGUGAUUGCUAGAAACCUAAAGCUGACUUUAAUUGUCACUACCAUUCCAAAUUUGUAAUUUUGCUUGAAAAUUUCAAGAACCCCUUUUCGUAUAUAUUACCAAACAGAUGAAAGAAGGCAUUAUAGAUUGGAUUUUAGAAAAAGCAAAAUAUAAAUCUUUUCACCUGGGAUGGGAUAGGAUUGGACUGUUUAAUUCAAUGGGUAGGCAGCCCCCGUCAGGAAUUAUCAGUAGGACUUUGAAAAGCGUAAUGGCAACAAUCGCUUUUCUAACAACGCCAUUUCGAUCUAUGUUCGAGAAAAGCGAGAGUUCUGAUCAGUUCUGGAGGGUUUUAUGACUGAACAUCACAAUUUCAUCAGGACAACAACACGCAAAGGCGUGGUCUCAAACGCGUUGGUGGAAGUACGCCUUCUGAAACCACUCUCAAAAGCCGCAGACUUUGUGAUCAUCUGGGGAAAAGUUAAACUCAACUCCUAUCAAAUCAAGAUUUGGCAUCCCAAAUUCAGCUAUCUAUAAUCACUUAUGAGGAAUGCAAUUAUCUGUUUAACAAAACGAACUGUUUAAAAUAGCUUUAAAAAAAACGUAAUUUUGAAGUUAGUAAUUAAGAGAAAAAUCAAAAUGGAAGUUAAUGCAGACUUAAUUAGAUUCAAGGAAAUGAAGAAAGAAAGAACUUUUAAUUUCAGAUUCUGAUAUCUCUUUUUGCUAAUAGCUUUUCAAAUUUUCAUUGCGAUUUGUAGAAAGUACAUUCUUAGUUGUUUAUAAAUAUGUUAAAAUCUCUUCUUCCAUUGAACGUACUUUCAGUUCUUGAGUAUGACCCAAUGGUUUGUAAACUACAAAGAUCAUAUUUACGUUGCAGUGACUUUGUAGAUUGUCUGAGAUAAAGUUGAAUUAGCCUUCCAUUUAGUUCUCUUUUAGCUUUGUGGUUUCUGUCUUGGAGAGCUCAGCCAUCUGGUUGCAGAUUUGAUAAAACUAAAGUUCAUUUCUAUCGAUGAUAAGGACGGUUUUAACUUUCUCAGUCAGAUGCUUUGAAAGUUUGGAUAGUGCAAAACUAUAAGAUCUUAUGCAAAUGCAUCUCAUGUGGCCUUGACUUAUGCUACUGCGGCAGAACUCCUAAAUUAUCCAUGUUAUAUGGUGCUCUGCGACUAUUGUUGUAUGAUAUGGAAAACAAGGAUUCUCACUCUGAACUCAUCAAAUAUGAAAGUGAGAAGAUGGGCUUGUCUGAAUUGAUAAUCUUCUUGAAUUCUUUUCUUGCAACCAGGGUAGAAACUUAUGCUAGACAAUUAUUUCCUGUGAAAACUUGAACUCCUGCAGUCAACAUCCCAUCCGAAGAUACAUGUCAAUAUCAGCAAGUCAGCAGCUGCAAGAGCUCUUCCAUCAUGAAACCAGCGUGUUUUGCUGAUGUCCUUGUGCUGAUAAAUUUGAUGGUCGAAAUCGGAUAGGAACCAGUUGAAGCUUCUUCUCCAAAAGACUUGCUUCUAUUUUUGAACUAAUUCAUUUCCCAGGUGUAUUUCUCAUCAAUUACGGCCCAUGCAGAGUGGAUGAUGCAAAAGAGAAAAACAUAUCCAUUUGAAAUGCUCAACCACAGUUAGUUGCUAAUGCUGCGUAGGUCUAUAAAAAAAGAAGACCAUGAUUAGUAUAAUGUUCUCUCAUCUCCAAAUAUAUCUUUGUACUAGUAUACAACAAUGAAUAAAUACAUCAUCUUUUUCCGUAAAAGUGUAUUUCCUGAACUCAGCAUUCAAAGAUCAUAUGAUCAUAUACCUGCCUCACACGCUCCUCAGUUAAGAUCAACCUUAGUGGCAGAAUCUCAUGUAAACUGGUAUUAUUUUCAUCCUCUUCUCUUUGCUAAUUGGAAUGACCUUUUUAGGAAGUAAUUAGCAGCUCGAUCAUUUCUGUGACACAGUACCCUCAAAAUUGUAUUGGGAUCUGAUCUAUUCCAUCUUCCAGUUGUUGGUGGCAUAGGAAGCUUCUGCCCAGCACCAACUACACCUAUGCCACUGGCUUCACAGGCCACAAUACUGAAAUCUUCCAUCAAUUGUUCUGUAGAUUGGCCCAUUAAUGCCACUACACCAUCCACUGUCUCAGCUUCUAUGUUUACUGCAUCCUCUACGAUUAGACCUUCUCCACAUGUACAAAACAUCCGCUUCAGGUUCUCAAAAUCCUCCUCAAUCAUCUGAUGGUCUGACCGAAAAAAGAUUCUGGAGCUUCCCCCAGCAAGCAAAACCAUAAGGAAGGCCUCAAAGGAAGCUCUCAUUACCUCUUUUAGAGCUAGUGGUUGAGCUCUUUCAGUUACAAUUGCACAUAAUAGAGUAAGGUUCUGCUUAAGUGUUCUCAGAGCUGGCCUAAUACGUGCAUUUGCUACAUCACCUACAUAUAGACUUCCGUAGAAUACAGAGUUCGAAUCCCUGAAGAUUAGACGGUAAGCAGCAACUUCACAUACAUGCUGAGUAGCAACAUGAAUUGCCGAGCGAGCGUGAUCAAAGUAGGAGGAGGAAUCCCCAAGUUGUCUAUUCCUGUUGUUAAUGCGGCUAUGUGGUGAAGGAACAAUUUUUGACGACAGGGACAAUGUUUUAUCAAGAGAGUUGAGCUGUGAAUUGAGGAAAUGUAAGGUGUUAAGACGGAUGUACAAGCGUUGUGUUCCGCGACUUGUUGAAGGCCGCGGAUGGUUGCCUUCAUUCAGCAUAUUUUGGCCUGGGUCUUCUAUGCCAACACUGCAGGCAGCUCUUUUCCAGAGUUUAGAAAACUUUGUUUCUUGGCUACAUCGUGUUAAAGGGGGAAGUAUAGGGAGAUAACUUUGCUUUGAUCCUGAAGAGUGGAGCAAAAACCCAGUGAGUUACACAGUGAUCACAUAAUUUUGCUGAUUCCAAUGCAUAUUUUGAUCCAACUUUUAGUUGUCUACGUUAUCAUUUAUCAGCACAAAGAAGAAGACCAUGAGGCAAAAGAGGAAACUUAGAGUAAUACUGUCCAGCGGCUGCAACUUGCAUGAUUAGUGAAGCUAGACAUUCAAAAAGGGACAACCAGAUUGGUAUUUAGAGGAGAACAGGAUUUCAGAGUAUGAUAUGAACAUCCCUAUAUAUGCAAUUAUCUGUGUUCAGGAUGAUAUCUUUCAUUGACAACUACUUGGUGGAAAGAUUCAGUGCCAGUUCUUACCACAUGAUGCAACAAAGGUAAUGUAAUCUCUGAAGAGAUGCUCCAAUCCAUCAGUGAGAGUGUGGACCAGAUCCUCAGAUAAGUUCACUGGGGUAUGGAGGAAGCUGUCCAAAGAAUCCUUGAUAUGCUUCAUUAGCUCUACAGCAGAAUGUGCAUAUGGCUCGGUCUUGGACUUGGGAUUCCAUGUCUACAAUGCAAAAUUCUGUAUGUCAAGUUGUUGCUGCACACAUAUAAGGAGUCUCGGGUAUGUGUGUUACAUAUCAAUUCAUGUUAAUAGAUGUAAGAAUUCUGCCACUGUCAAAAGAUAUAAAUACAUGUUUUAUCAAACUUACUUCAGUUUCUUUGGCUCUAAGGAGUAAUUCUUUCCCCUUCUUUAGGAUUUCUUGAAUCCAUUGUUUCAUGCGGUUCAGUAUGAUGGAAUCAACUUCAUAGGGCACCAUCUCCCUGACAAUUGCUUUGCCUCCAUCUUCACAUUCAACAGAGUCUUCAACCACCAUCUGAACCAAAACCUUUUCCAACUUCCCAGCUCUGUGCAGCAACGUAGUUGUCUCCUCUGUGAGUGCAGAAGUUGCUACCAAAUACUGCUUCAACAAAGUCCCGUAGCAAGUAUGUAGGGUUACCGCUGCAACCCCAGCUGCGACAGGGUGCCAUUUCUUGAGUACGGGACUAAAAAUCUCCUUCUCCAUUGCAGCCAAACGUUCAGUUUCAUUAGCCAAUUUAAUGAGCACUUCACUUGCUUCUUCCAUUUCAACAACAGCUCCAUCUAUGUUCCUAUCUUUCAGAAUCUACAAAGAUUUAAAAAAAAAAAAUAGAGAGAUAUAGUUCAAAUAUUUUCAGAAGUUGAAAAUAUCCAACAGAAAAGCAAAAGAGACGUCGAUUCAGGAUCAAACUAAUAUACAUACUACCCUGUACCUUUGCAAAUGCAUUCCUCAAUGAUGACCUCACAUAAUAAUCCACCCGAUUGCCAGAUGAAAUAUUUGCCAUUUCUCCUUUCUCCAAUUCUACUGCAAGAUAUCCUGGAACAUCUUCUUCCAAGAUCUUUGCAGCCGAAAAGACUAAUGGAACAAUACUCUCCAUUAGUCCAAUUGUUCCCUUAUGAAAAUUUUGAUGGUAAUCAAGCAAUCUCAUCUCUGCCCAUCUCUUCAAUGAAGUCAAGGCUGAUGCCAACAUCUUGACAUACAAAGGUUCUCUAUCAACUUUCUUAGCAUCAUUUGCGACUUCAGCUAACAUAGUCAGUGAUGCACCAAGAAGAUCUCCCUCAACUUGUCCGGUCAUAAUAUAAUGCUCAAACAACACCCAAGUAAAACACAAGUUAUGGAUCGAUCUAUUAAUUCCCAAUGUAGACCAUGUCUUCUUCAUCAACUCAAGAAGCUCGUCAACUUCAUCAAGAACUAACGUUUCCUCCUUGAUAUCAAAAAUUGAGUACAGAAGAGCAAUAUAAAUGUGUACGUUAAUGGGAUAUCCAUCAGCCCAAUGGCAAAUAUCAGUAGGGGAACCAUCAGCAGUUCUCCAAGACAAAGACACAACGCAAUUGACUAGUGAUUUCAUGGUUUCUGAAUUCUUUCCGGUGUCUAUUGCUUUGUGUUCUGAAGCUUGGAUGAUUUCGCGAAGGCGAAUAGCAAAUUCAUUCGACUUCUCUAAUGGAAUCGAAGGGUGAAGAAGAAGUCCAACCUCGAAAAUUUUGAGCUGACGUUUUUGCCAAAAAUGAUACUCCUGAGGGUCAUUAAAUUCGGAUGGUUUUAGGUGGCGUAAAAGCUCCAAUGGAAGAAUAAUCGUCUCUGCACGCCUGCCCAUCUGCUCGAAGAAUUGUAUCAACUUUACAUGUUCAAUCAGUCAGGUCAAAAAAAUUUAUCAACUCGAAGAAUAAGCAUUGUCGAUACAAGCAGUGCAAAGCUAUCAUGUCAAUAGAUAUAAACAGCUCAAGUAAAUUAUACAGUAAUGUAUUUUCCUCGACAAACUCUAGUGUGUCAAAGGGACCAUUCCGCCAAUCUAUUCCAACUACCAAGAUAACGAAAAAAAUGUUGAAAACAUCAGGGAGUGUAAUUAACAGUUUCAGAUUCUAUCUUCGGUUUUUAUGGUGAAGCAUGAUAAACAUUCAUGUGUUGGCAGCAAAUGAAUAUGCUAAUGCCCCAUUUGAAUAAAAUAUUUGCAUAAACAUUCUUGAAAUAAAAUUAUUUAGUUUUUUUAUCCUAAGGUAUAUCAGCUUCUAGUAAUUAGCUAUAAAUUCAUUCUACGUCCUUCCUUUCUAUAAUCCUCACUAAAUUCCAAUUUGCGUAUAAUAAGCCUAAAAAAAAAUUUAUAUUGCUCUCUUAGUUAAUUCCGAGAUGAUACAGAUUAAUUAGAGGCACAUUAAAAAUGAAAAAGAGAAAAAAAACAUUUAAACAUUUACCUAUUUUGUUUUCUCAUUUUAUCGCUUCAUAAAUUAUUUCAUUUCACACGAAGAAUUAUUGUUCACUGCACCAAAUUAACAUACAUUUUUAUGAAAUUUUAGUUAACUAAUUGUAUUUUAUAUUUUUUUCCCCAAUUUCCCAUUUCCAUCGACGAAAUAUAUAAUUCUAUAGACAUGUUAUCUACAUACUUGGCCAACAAGGGUCCUCAUGAGAGUUUUACGUAGCCUGUUAUCACUCUGCUCCGUCACCCUCAUUUGCUGCCGCAUGAUCUCAGCUGAGGUCAUCGGCCGCCGAGGCCUAGACGGCAACGACGAGAACGCGCUCCGAGGACUCGACCCGGCCCCACCAUUCGGCGAAGACGGUGCUGCCCCAACAGAGCUAGCCCUCCUUGAUGGUGACUUUCUCAUCAUUUUCAAUCCUAAAGUCCUUUUCACCCUACUCGUUACUGCCAUCCCCACCCCCGGUGGCUUCACUGGAGAUCCAGGUUGUCCAAAACUUGACCCAGACCCGCUUCCAUCUUUCUCGUCCGACGGAUUAUAAUACGUUAUUGCACUCCUACCUCCAAACCCCGGCGAUGACCGGCAAGCCGUGAAGAAUAUCUCAUAAGCAGCUUCACGAAAAUCAUCCCGGUCGAGGCCUUCGAGCUUUCCGAAAGGCCAUACAAGGUCCGAGAUGGCCUCUGCGGGAUCCGGAUCGGCUCGGGGAGAAGGCUGAGUGGAUGAACGGGUAAGUUGGCCCAUUUAGGUGGCUUUGGCCUAAUGAUGGGCGGUGGUGAUGCAGCAGAUUCCGGCCGUUAUCUUUAUUGCCAAGUUUCCGGCGGAAGCGGGACAGAGAAGGUGAUGAACAUUAUAGAACUGUUUUUUUUUUCUGUUUUCGUGAGGACAGAAGAAGAAGAAAGAGAGAAAUGGGAUAAUAAUGGUUAGAAAUUAAAGCAGCAAGAGAGAGAAGAGGAGAGAGAUGGAUGGUUUUGGGGCGGUGUAGACUUGCGAAGAAAACGAGAGAAGACAAAGGUGGUUGCAUGAGCAUUCCGGGUUUUGCUGAUAUAUACGAAUGUUGCCUCAUUUGAAUAAAUGGCAAAUUUUGUUUAUAUAUCCCUUUUUUUUUCAGGCUCGUUUAUAUCUCUUUUUUUUCCUCCCCCUUCUUUUUUUUUUUUUUUUUUUUUAUUCUGCAAAUUUCAAUUUAAAAAUUAUUAUUUCCAAGGACAGAAACACGUAGAUUCAGAACGACUUCAUCAUGCAUGCAAAGCUAUUAUUAAUUUUGUGACAUAUUAUUAUUUACGCGACCAAUGUCUUUGGAUUCUUGUUACUUGUUGAAAGGGAAGUAAAAUAUAUAGUCGAGAAGUAGUCGAGCUAGUUAUGUUUUUUGGUCGAAUUUAUUCACCUGAUAGUGAUCUGGGAUAGUUUCAAAGAUGCCCUUUCUUUACUGAUCAGCUGCAUGUAUAUGAUUUGAGUAAAUGCUAUACAUAAUCUAAAUGCUUUUCGCAGCUAAAUUGUUCUUUUACCAGAGACAGGUCUUUCCCUGAAUAUUCUGAGAUAGACUAGGGAAGGAGUGUCCGGCAUCGCGCUGGUGUUUGGUAUCCGUGGUUAAAGAAAAUUUUCAGUUCAGAACACACAAAUUGAUACACUAUCAUGUAGAAUUUUCAAGACCAAUUUUUUGUUUCUUCCAUCAUUAUGUAGGAAAUGGACUGAGUUGAGUUGAUUUUGAGGAUUUGAUACGAGCUUGUGAAGGCAUCUAUCAUCAAAGAUGCCAAUUGUGUGGUUUUGACACUAGAUGGUGCAUUCACUAGAAGAAGAGGUCAAGGUUAUCUAGUCAAUUAGUGAUAAGACUGAAUUAUUCUAUUCAUGCAUUGAAACAUCUUGCAUCUCCCCCCCCCCCCCCGCACAACAACAGAAAAAACCCUAUAGACAUCUCUAUGAAGAGAUCAACUUUGACAAAUUCCGAUCCAUCCGGUUAAAAGACUAAAAGAAAAUUAGACUUUAUCAUUUGAUAGAACUUGGUGCUUGCCGGGCGUUUAAGGUGGCAAUUCUGCCGUAAUGAGCAUGUCAAUAUGCUAAUCAUUGGUCUACAUAUGUAAAAGAGUUGUUUCAAACAAAAUAUUAUGUUGAAAUCUUAUUCUUUUAAUUAUUUAACUAUGUGUAAGAUUGGACUCUCACAUGGUUGAUAAUAAUUGGAAUCUGUAAUUAGACAAGUCUUAGUUGAACUCCGAGAGAUUGAACUCUAGCACAAAUGAUUGUCCAACUUCUGUUGGUCUAACUCCACUUUGCAUCCUUAAACUGGUAGCACCUUUUCACUUCACACCUUAAAUUUUAAUUUUGGACAUUUUGCACUAUAAACUCUUAAUUUUGGAUACUAUACACCCUAAACUCUUAAAUUUAUCCUAUUUAAAUAUAAUAAAUAAUUAUGUCAUGCGCAAAAUUAACUAAUCACAAUGUUAUUUUAAUUCUAACUAUGAUCCAUCAACUUUUUUGAUCACUUUCAUCACAUUGCCAUUAUUUUAUGUAGCUUUAAUCACUAAUAUUGUUAGUAAACCUAACAAGAUUAAAGAUGAUACUCAUUAAUGACAAUGUAUUAUUUUAUUUUUAUUACAACACUGUAGUACCUUUUGACUACUUUCAGUACAUUGUCAUUGAUUCCUUGGAUCCUCUACGCCAUUAAUUUUGCCAAAGUUAAUUAUCAUUGAUUAUAAUUAAAUGGGACAAACUUAAAAGUUUAGAGUGUAAAGCAUUCAAAUUUGAGAUUUUAGGGUGUAAAAUGUUCAACAUUGAAAUUUAGCGUACAAAGUGAUACAAGUUUAAGGGUACGAAAUGAAGUUAGUCUAAAUGAGUUCGAUAAGCGGGUUAUAACUAAGACAAGAUUUUUCUGUUUUUCAUUUUUAGCAAGAAAGGCUCAGUGAACAUAGCAAAAACGCUCUCACAAAGGAGCAAAACCAAACUACUAAGACAAAUUGUCUGAGCCAGUUUAUGGAGAAAUCUUGCAGGAGUUUUGAUGAACCAAAAAUUUAUAGUGGGUAGGUACUCAUAGUAUUACUUCUUUUUUUUUUUUUUUUUCUGCAGGUCUUGUUUGCUAAUAUCAUACGUCCUGCAAUUUACAGAUUACCCGUUUUGGCCUACUUGAAUGAGACAGCAAAUUUUUUUUUUUUUCAAGAGAAAGUUUCAUACACUAAUCAAGUCAAUCUGAACAAGCAAAAAAAGACAGUCUGUUCUUUUGUUCGAAGUAUUUGGCAUCAGAAUCCGGCAAUUUUCAGUUGGAGUGUUGGUCUCUAGCUGCCGACAAUUGUAGUAGUUCACAAGCCAUUAUCUGUUUCUCUCUUCUUCAUUAUUCUUCCAACCUUGACACAAUUGUUUAUUAAUGCUUUUCUGAUAUUCUUCUAAGCCCUACCACCUAAUCAUUCUCUUCUUUAUGUAUGAUUUUUUAUUUUUAUUUUUAUUUUUUUUGUGGGACAAUAUCAUUUCAUAAGGUUUAAAGUUUGGACUAUUUAGAAACCCCCAAAAAAAAAAAUUGGACAGCAUUGUUUGUUAUACAAAAAGAAUGAAAAUGAGGUUUGGCUAUUGUAGCAGCUCGUGAAUGCUACGCGAGGUCCCCCCCGGUGCGACUCCCGUUGUGAGCGCCAAAUUCAAAUAGCCCAGGGUCAGGCCUUACUUCCGAGCAAGAGUCGGACUCUACGAGCACAAUCCGGGCCGAAUCCGGAUUAAGUCGGAACAGUGGCUCCGAAUACCGGGUGGUCUGACCCAAACUUUUAGUGGGCCUUUUUAAGGGCCAGAAGGAUGACAGGCCGUAAGGAACCAAUGUUCUUGCUGAAAAUCCAGGCACUUGUACUUGGUUUUGUGAGCAGAAGCACAGCCGCAUCAAACCGAAGUAUCAAUUUUGUGUUGAGAAGAAAAAAGUAAAUUUUUAAAAUUUAUUGGUCCAUGUAUAUUCACAUUUUUUUUUGACAAACAUCUAUAUUCACAGUUCAAAAUGUGUCUCUAUUUUACCACUUUUUAUGAUGCUUUGUUUUUUUUUUUCAUUUCCUUCUUGGGAACUAUAUAAAAAAUGAAAAGUUUCAGUGCAAUUUGAUGAAACCUAAUUAAUCAUCACUUACCAAAAAAUGGUGAAUAAGUCAAACUCAAAAUAAGAUUUGGACAGAUACUUCUCACACACCCAAGUUUGAUAGGCAAAGGUACAUACAUUGUGUCUUGUUGUCGUUUCAGAAAAAAUGAUAGGGAAAAUAAAUUAAAUUUAGAAUUUUGAAGUAGAAGGAGGAAGAAAGUCUUGGACAAUUAAUAUUUACUCAAUUUGAAAAAUGAGAUUAAUUAAGAAGCUAAAAAAUGUUAAGACUAGGAAUUCAUGGAAAUUUUGUGCAUUUACUUCCUUUCGCAGAGUGCAUACUUUUUUGGCAUAAACCAUGCCUUAAAAUUUAGGAAAAAUAGAUGAAUUAUGAGUGUGUUUGGAUAGCAGUUUAUUUGAAAAUAUUAUUUUGAAUAAUUAUGCAUCAUCUUUUGCAAUGUGAUUUAUGUGAGAUAAAAAGUAGUUAAGAAGAUAAAACGGUGUAUUGAAAAAAUAUGUUUGUGAUACAAAUAAAUAAUUUUGUACAAAUAAUGCCUAUAAUUAUCUAUUUUUACCUUAUUAAAUAGUUCAGAAUCCUAAAGAAAUUAAAUUUUUCUACACGUGUCUAAUGAAUACUUGUUAUAAUAUCUAAAUCACACCUAACCUAUCAUGUGAAUACGUACACUAAUAAUUAUUAUCAUACUUUGCAUUUAUAAGUUUUUCAUAAUUAAUUUUACAUUUUUAAAAUAUUAACACGUAAAUUACAUCUUAAAGAGUCCAAAUUAUUCUUUAAAUUUUGGGCAGACCCAUGAAAUUAAUUGGGAGGCAUGAAAAAUUAAUGCUUUCAGCAUCAUGGACAAUUUGAUGGCUUGAAUUGAGCGGACAAAGUGACCAAAAUAGAAAUAAAAAAAAAUUGAACUCUUUUUCUUGAGUGGUUUCACUUUUAAAUGAAGGAAGUAAUCAACUCAGCCUUCCAAACCAGAAACAAAUUGAACUUUUAAAAUAACACAUCAAAUGAAGGAAGUAAUCAAUUCACUUGCCAAACUAGAAAUAAAACAAACUGAACUCUUCUUUCUUGAGUAGUUUCACUUAAAUGCCCAACCUGUGUGAUCCCUUUUAAUGAGUAGCCCAUUUUCAAGUUUACUCAGAUAUUUUAGGGUAUUAACAGCUAAUGCCUUUUUCUGUUAUUGGAACAUAGCAAUUAGCAAUUAAUCGAUCUCUCUAGUUUAUAAAAAUUGCAUUUCUAGAGUAGUCUCAAUUCCUGUGAUUUAAUCUCAUAAAAGUGAAAAUAUCAGGUUCACAGAACAAAUGCCCAUGAGUUUAGAGGUGAUGAACUCGAUUAACUUUCUAAUCUUUCUAGCAUUCGCUGCCAGUGCUAAUUGGUGCACUAAUCAAACUAUACUUUUUUCAGACCAACCGGGUGUGUGUAGUUUUGCCUUGUAGAAUUUCCUGCGUCCAAAAUAAGUAUGCACAACAAUAUAAGCAAAUGAGUUUGGUCCAAACGACACGAUUUGUUACCAGUCCUACCAUGCGGUAUCAUUGUCACGUUAAUUUCCCGUGUACAGAACUUAAUCUAGAUUUACGGUCCGUUUGAUUCAAUGUAAAACAUUUUCAACGGAAAAUGUCUUCCAUGGAAAAUUUUAUCAAGGAAAAUAAUAUCCUUCUCCAUGUUUUUUCCUGUGUUUAAGAGGAGAUGGAGACUACAAAUCUUUAGUGGACUAUUGCACAAGUAGUGGGUUUUGUUACGAAACUUAAGACUGGUGGGAGAGCUUGAAUGGAUAGUCUCACGACUAACGAUGCGGACAUGGAAAAUAACUUCAAUUCAUUUAUAUGGAAAGUCAUUUUACAUCAUCUAAUGUAAAAUAUUUUUGGCAGGAAAAAUUUUUCCCAAAACAAUAACCCAAACAAACAAUAGAAAAUCAGGAAAAUAUUUUCCUUCCAAACAAACAGAUGCUUAGGCUUAGAACCUAUCUACACAUAUUGUUAAUUCAUAGCGAAAGGGAUAGAUUGAACUGUAUCAUCAGCAAUCCUAACAGAACUAACCGCUAUCGUUAGAUCUAAGAGAAAGCCACAUUGAAUAACAAUUAUGGGAGGUAAAACUUGAAUUCUUGACUUCACAUUAUAACUAGCACUUUAAACUAGAGACCGGAUCUAUAGUAUUGUUUACAAUGUAUAUUGCUGUUCAACAAAUUGUUUUACAUUAGUAAGAUAUGCAAACAAGGGUCCAUUGGCGCGCCCUCGGGUGCGAGUCUUGGAGCCAAGGUAUCUAUUUCUUCUUUUUUUUUUAUGAAACCUAUUCAUUAUGAUAAAAUUGUAAUCAACUUCGAAUCAUCAACAAAAUAUACUCCAUUGAUGUCAUACUAAUAAGUAGACAUAGACUAAUACCACCAAAAUGCCUCUCUCGUAUAGGUAUCCUCCACACUUUCAAUGGAGGAGUUGGCCACCAUCAAACCUUUUAGGCUUGGUGUCCCACUAAUUGCUAUAGGUAUGGCUCUCUAAAUCCAGACGGGUAUGUAGUGCGCUCGUUUGGUUCGAUAGUGAUUCAGUAUCCGUCGGCCCUCCCCAUAGGCUCAGUUGGGUCCCCCUUAGAAUAGGAUAGAGUAGAAGUAGGAGUAGAUGUAGAAUAGACAAAUACUGAAAGUUGAAAAAAAAAUUUAGGUAUCCUCCACUAAGAGAAUCAUCAGACUUCACUUUUAUCAUGUUUUUGUCUAAAUUCAACAUCCCAAAUUUAUUUUCAUUAAAAUUUUCCUCUCUUAUAUGGUAAAAUGGGACCUAAAUUUGUCACAAAGAAAAAGAAAUAAUUCUUUUGUUUGGUAAAAUGGGACCUAAAAUUGUCACAACAAAAAAUAAAUAUUUUUUUAAUUCAUCUUUUUUUAAGUGUAAGUUGAAGGUUUCGAACUCGAGAUCUCUCACUUAUACUCUCUCUUCCCAUACCAUCAAACUCAACUCAUUCCUCCCUUCUUGAAUUCAUCUAUUAAAAUUUGACAUAUCUAAAUGAAUAGUAUCAUAGAUUGACAAUAUAAUCAUGAUCAGUAAAUAAAAAAAUAAAUAUAUCUAAUUCAGAUAGAAAAAUCUCAUCUUUAUUGAAUCAUUAUCAUCAUCAAGUAACACAACACAAUUAACCAAAACAAAAAAAAAAGGAAAAAAACACAAAACAAAAUAUGAAAAAAAUCUAAAAACAACCAAUCAAUCAAAAUUAAAAAUAAAUGGAAAUUAAGAUAACAAAACGUAGAUAUGGAUAAGGCCUAAGGGGCUCACAUGACGGUGAUUGAAAUCUAAAAAUCGUCAACAUGAAGACGUCAGCAACCGGACUUUGAUUUCCCAAUUUAUAAUAUUUUUCUUAAAAAAAGAUAAAAAGAAAACGUAUUGUGUAUAAAGAGUCUUUAUAAUUCCAACUAUCAAUUACUUGAUUUCUAUUUUCACCUAAAGAUUUCAUGCAAUCACUGUUUACAAAGGUUUGCAAAUUUGCAUGCAUGCAUCAUUAAUUCCAAUAGUUGCAAUAAUCAAGGUAUGUGAUAUGCAUUAGUGCAAGCAAUUGUCCAUUCUCAUUAACUUCUUGAAAAAUAUAUAAAAAUACAAUAUAAAAAUACAAAUUAAGAGACUAUUUACAAUUAAAAGACUAAUAAUAACAUUAAUCCAUAAUUUGAUAUGGUCGUAAUAACUUUCCAAAUACCUGUUUCCCAAUAUUUGAUAUAGCUUAAUGAUGAUUUCUUCUUCUUUGGUAAAAUUUCACCAAUAUCAAUGAAAUAAUAAUGGAUUUGAUUAGCAAUUAGGAGUUUAAUAAGUUCAUCAUUUAUUUGAUGAUUAGUGUUUGUAUGUAUUAGUAUUUGAAUAGAAGAUGAGAGGCUAAUAAAGUUCAAUUUGUAAACAUUAGUAUGUAGGCAAAUUGUUUUAAUUGUCCAUAAUACUUGAUUUUAUAUUUAAGCUAAUAUUUAUAUAAUUUUGGGCAUAUUAGUCAAAUCAAAAGAAUAAAAAACACAUAUCGAUAAAUCGUUCAAAAUAUUUUUUUAUAUAUGAUAUAGAUAUAGAUAUAGAUACUAUCAAAGUAAAUAUACAAUAUGUACUUAUUUAUAAUAAGUUGACGCUUUAGUUUGGAAGGCGGGGAGGGAUGAGUUCAGUGGUACAGAAUGAUAGAAUGUAAGCAGAUCCCGAAUUCAUACCUUCUCAUUUACACUACAAAAAAUAAAAUAAAAUAAAAGAAGUUGAGGCUUUAGUUAUACUAGUAAUACUACUAUGACUUGAAAGUGUAACGUCUAUAGAUGCUUGUUUAGGUUCUAUUUGAUAACAUAAAAAAGUGUUGAAACUGAACUUUUUUCAGACAUUCAGAUAUUUUGAGUGUUUGAUAAAUAAAAAUCUAUUUGCUGAACUUGUUAAAUAGUGCUGAAUUUAUGUGUAUCUUUUUCAGCACAAAAAUAGUAACUAAAUGUUUAAUUCGGAUAAGAAUCAAUAGAACUAGUUCAACUACCUUAUCUUAUCUAUCAAAUUUACCUUUGUUUGUUAAUUAUGUUCAAAAUUUUUAUCUAAUUAAACAACUUGAUAUUCUUUAUUCAACAUCCUAAUCUAAUAAAACAACCUGAUAUUCUCUAUCUAACAGUUUUCUAUUUCUAUUUUCUCCAUAUUUAAUGACUUUCAUAUUUUCUCCAUACUCCUCAUAUAAUAUAUUUCAUCUUUUAUAUUAAUUUGAUUUAAAAAUAAAUAUUGUCAUUUUCAUACCUAAUAAUUUUAAACUAAUUAAAUCAUAGGUUCUAUUUCUUUUUUGGAUGAAAAGAUAGAAGGGCAAAAUGUAUAAUCUAACUUAUUAAGCAUUCAGUUAUAAAUGUUUAUCAAACAGUAUAUAUAGAUUCAGCAUUAAAAUUCAGACAUUCAUAUAUUCAACAAAUUAAUUAUUUCAUAUUCAGAUUUCAGAACUCAGAUUCAGUUUUAUCAUACGGAACCUUAUUUUAGUGACUUUUUCUAACAAGUGCUCAAUAAGCACUCAUUAACACAUCUAAAUCACAAUUAAUUUAUCAAUUGAAUGCAUACACUAACAAUUAUUACACUCCUUUACAUACAUACAUAUACACAUACACUCACAUAUAUACAUGUGUGUGUGUGUGUGUAAAUUAACUUUAUUUUUCCAAAAUUUUAAUAUUUGAACUAAAUAUUAACGAGUGCCUUAUUUUAAUUAGCAAACACUGCGCCUAUGGCGAGUUCAAUGCUGCUGUUUUUUUUGUCACCGUUGGGCUGAGAAAGUAUGGUUUAGUGUACGAAUUACAUGGAAUACAAGAAAUUUAGGCAAUUAAUUGGCUUUAUAGUUCGUAGAGCGCACCUAGCAUUUUCAUUUCUAGCAAGAUUUAACAGCACACGUGAAAAUGGGAUUUAGAUUAUCCUGGGUGAUUUCAGCUUUGCACCUUGUCCUUAGAGAUAAAGUAGAACCCUCAAAUUUGAGUAAGAAAAUCAACUUGAAAGCAGUUCAUACGAGUUUUUUUCUUUAUGUAUAUGAUAUGACAUUUUCGCAUUAAAACUUAAAAUAGGGGAGACAAAUGCAAGUCAAAAUCCUCAAGAGAAAUGCCAAAAACCUCCAGGGAACUUCUGAAAUACCCCAAAAACUGGACAGAACAUGCUAAAAGAGUAGGUUUGAGGACAAAUCAUUUUGGACCUUGCCGUUGAAAAUAUAAUAUGAAGGACAAUGUUUGUAUAACAUAUUGUCAUUCUUGAAUGAUGUGGUUGAGCUCACAACCGCACAUUUUGUUGCAGCCACCAUAGUGCAACGUGUUGGAUUAUUUACCCAUUAGUGCUCUUGGUGAUCAAUCACCGUUCUGGAAUCAUGUCUGCUGUAUAUACACUUCUGCAGAUUGCUGUACAACUUUGCCAGGCCACCAAAAUAGAACCAGCGGAGUGAUCAAUCAAAGAAGCUUGCAUAUAAGGAAGAGAUCCAGUGUUUUAUUUUGAUCCAAUAUUUGCUUCCUGCUACGGUGCUACCCUGACUUGAAUUGCUAUUCCCUUUUAUGUGUAGAAUGUUUUGGUCAAUAGAGAGAGAGAGACACACACACACACAUACACACAACGGUAGUAAUACAACGCCAACCCAAAAUUCUGAAGGUUACACUUUGGGAAAAACCAAAAAUGAUACUAUCAUUUACCCUCAAUGUAAAUAUAUACCGUAAUUAUUCAUCACUAAGCGUCUGAAGGUUUGGUUAUAAUUAUUUUUUCUUGUUCUGCCAGUGCUAAAUGCGGGGAGGCAAUAUUUGAUUACUAUCUUAACACGAAACCUAUCUUUAGCCUCAUUGGAUUCCCGUAUUCUCCAAAAUUUCUAGCAACAAGAGAAUAACAAUUCAAAGCAUGGUGAGAGGAAUUCGUUAUUGCAUUUUCAAAUUUAAUAAUGUAUGACUUAUUACCAUUUUCAAGAUAGCUAGCUAUGCAUUCAAGCAUAAGGGUUUGGCACUGAUGCUCUUUUGCUUUUGGCAGUUCAAUUCGAUUGCGCAUAUGUUUGAAUUCUUCCAUGUACAACCAUAUUAUAUUAUUAUAUGAAGCGAAUAUGAAGUAUUUUAGUUAUGUACGUUAUAUAAUUAUGGAUUUGUCUAUCCUAUGAGCACUCGUUAGAUAUAUUUCAGAUGCAAUAUUUUUUAAAAUGUAAAAUUAAUUAGGGAGAGGAAAUAAAUACAAGAAAAGAUAUAUACAAUUAAAUAAAAAAACAUAUAAAUACAAGAGACGGUAGUGAUUGUUUAAUAUGUACAUACAUAUUAGAUUAGAUGAAUAUUAGAUUUAUCAAUGAGUACGCUGUCGGCACCGUUAGAAAGAUGUGUUAAUAAAUGCACUAUAAAUACCGUUAGCAAAUCCCUAUAAUUAUGCAUCAAAUAAUGUAAUAAGUUCAACCAUAUUAUUAUGCACCGAAGUCAGCAGCAUCAGCUGAUUCUGGGAACUGGAACGGUAUACCGGUGCCAAAAAUCCACAUGGGCUUAUCUACAAUCUCUAUAACAACCUGAAAUUCAAAUGGGUUAUCUACAAUCUCUCCUUCCCUUCCCUUCCCUUUCCAUCAAUAAAUACUUCCGUUUGUUCUUCCAAUACCAAUUUUCCAACCUUUGGAUUCUGACAAAAUAUUCAUUGUAUCUUUCCACCAGUCAGACUAAAGAAUAGAAACAAAUAAGAGUAGCCGCUUCUUUUGAGCACUGUUGAGUCUUGCAGCCUUCAACGGCAACACCAGAAGUCCUCUCUUCUCUUCGCUUUCUCCUCUCUGCCCUCUCCUCACUCCACGCUAUCUGGAAUACAAGGUAACUUCAACACGAAAACUCCCUCUUCUCUCCCAUUUCCAUAGCAAAAGACGUGCAUGCAAAUCCUUAAAGUUAAAAUUGUUCAAGAAAAUGUUGAAUGCUGUUCUUGUCCAAUGCUAUCAAGAGAACAAAGUCUUCCAACCCUUCAAGGAUUCCUAAAUUUUCAUUUCUCUUUUAUUAUCCUACACAUUUAUUUGUUUGUGUAGAUUCCAAUUUACCACUUGCAUAUCAUAUAAUUAGCAGAUUAACCAGUCGAAGUCGUGGCUGGAAGUUAAAUUUCAUAGUCAUCUUUUACAAAAGUGCAUAUAAGCAAAGGUUGGAUUGUAUCAUGAGGCUUUCUCAAGUGGUGAAUUUUUUGUCAAUGCAGUUGAUUUUGGGAGUGAAUUUGGUGGUAUCAAAUAUUUAUAAGCAUGUCUAAGCUGAGAGUGGCAGUGGUGGGUGCUGGGAUUAGUGGGCUGGUUGCAGCUCAUGUUUUGGCCAAGGAAGGUGUCGAUGUGGUAAUAUACGAGAAAGAGGAUUACUUAGGCGGCCAUGCUAAGACUGUUACUAUGGAUGGCAUUGAUCUUGACCUUGGCUUCAUGGUCUUCAAUCGUGUAAGACAAAGCAAUUUUAUGUUCCUUUUGUCAUUGCAUUUUGUUGAUUCUUAUGAACUUUGGGUGCAUCUUUUCCCCAUAAAUAGUCCAGGAAUCAUUCUUAAUGCUCCAUUCUCUUCACAUCUAAGUUUUCAACUUUUCAAGAAUUUCAGAACAAGAAAAAAAUACCAAAAGCAUUGUUUACAAUUCCAAUAGUACUUGAGAAAAAUAAUUACUCUUUCAGCUUCAUAACAAACCAUAAUUAUUUAGCCUAGCAAUAUUUCUUGUUAUUCGACUAGUGCAGAGCGAAUACUCCUCAUUUUAGAACUCAACUUCCAAUUUCGGAUGAUGCAUCCCGGUUAGAGAUCCUUUUCUCAGUUAAAAUUCGAGGACUUGUCAAAGUAAAAUAAGGGAAAACUGCUUGAGUUAGGUGUUGUAAAAUUACAAGAACCAAAGUGAAAAUUUUUUCUUGACAUGAAUAUGGAUAGAAAGGGAUGGAUGUAGUUAUAGGCAAUAAUUCCUGAUUCUGAUUGUGCCACGACCUCAGCAGAGCUUGGCCACAUUCACUAACUAACAGGACAGGGGUGAACGGUUGUCAGGAAAAUGGUUCGGGCUGAUUUUGUGCAAAAUGUAUAAGAUGUAACUUUGUAUAUACAAAAUAUAAUUUACUUUCAAUAACGUGUAACUAUAAAAUAAAAUUUUGUGAGUCUCACGCAUGAUAUGAAAAACGAUGUACAACAUACAAUUUGGACUUUAUAUUUUUUUUUGCCAAAUCUUAGCCAUGAACCUUUAGAAACUGUUGCAACGGUUGCAGAUCUCCUCCUCCUCCUCUAACAUCAUAACAUAUGAGUCAACUCUGUUCUAAUGAAUAAAGCAUUAUCAGGACUAGUAAUAAGGGCAGACUCGAUGUGUGUGCGCAUGCAAUUUAAGAAAAAUCACUUUUUGCAUGAAAGAAGUCAAUAUAAAAUUUUUAUAAAUAAAAAAAAUUUUCAUCUUUCAAAAGUUUGUUUGAAUAAAAUUUUAUGAACUUGGUGGUUAUAAUAUUUGUGGGUGGUUAUGAUUAAAUUAAAAAAAAGAACUUUGAUCUUUCAAAAAAAAAUUUAAUAAAAUUUUAAUGAACUUGGUGGUUACAAAUUGUGGGUGGUUAAGAGUAAAAGUUAGUUAUGGUUAUAUUGGUUGGCAAUAUAGGUAACAUGUAAUCAGAUAACAAAGGUAUAAUCAAGUGAUUGUGAGAGUAAAAUUGAAAAUCUAAAAAAUGAUAAUAAAAAAAAGUUUACACCAGACUCAAUAUCUCCGAGGAGGGUUGGGGUGGAUGGUGAGAUGGGAGUAAUUAUAAAUAAAACUUAACGCUCUUCUAUUAUAUACAGUAUAGAUAUUAAUACCAUAAUAUUCAUUUUAUAGAAGCCGAAAAUGGUACUUAACUCACAUCAUAUACUUAUCAGCAUGGCAUGAUUCUUUUCCAACGCAUAUAGAUGCAUAUGAUUAGUUGGUGGUCUUUUUCAUGAAAUUUUAAUUUUUUCGAGAUAUGAUAAUUAUAUUUUGGUGGUAUCAACUUAUGUUCUUGUCUUAGCAUCUAUCCUAGCAUUUUGUUGAUCACAUAUGAAGAUAGAAACAAACAUCUUUAAACAAAAGUAUAAUAUGUUAGAGAAAAUGUGAUGACUCAAGAACUUAAAAAAAAAAAAAAAAAAAAGGGAGAUGGACAGUUCUUUUUAUUCUCCUUUUAUGCGAGUAGCUAUCUAACAAUUGAUAGGGUUCUGUUUUAAAAAAAAAAAAUGUGCCUGUUGUCAAUACACAUAAUGUAAAUUUAAUUGAUUAAUUAAAUGCUCAUACUUACAUUUUGACUCUUUCCCAGUAAAAUUUCACUUAUUAAGCAAACUAACAUUAAGAAGUUCAAACCAAUGAAAGUUCUAUUUAUUAGAGGAAAAAAAGCAAAUGCUAGAAGAAACAAAAAUGUGGCAAAAAUUUGUUCUUGAAAAAACGUAAAAAUGAUGCAUGCAUCUUUACGUAUUUUUAGAUUGUCAUGGCUCUGUUCUAUGGUUUUAAAUUUAGAUACUUAUAUUAUUCUAAAAGUAUUUGCCAAAAUUAUGGUCUAGCAGCUGAAUAUUUUCUUAAUCUUCUCUUUAGCGACUGACUGCCGUCGUAAUCAAGAAAGGAUUUUCUUUUCUUUUCUUUUUUUUCCUUCCUUUUCAAGGAAUUUUAGAAGUGAAAAUGUGACCAUAGAAGUCAAUUACAGAAGCUACUUUCAUCUCAAUUAAGCCAAGAUUGGUCCUAAUAUUACAUCAAUGCACGUUUUGUCUCUAUGCUUCAAUGAACUAAGGCCUAUCGUUGUGUUUGGAUAUGGCUAAACGUUGUUAGAUAUUUCUCACCCUAAUCCUACUUUGCACUCUUGAACUGUUCGAUUCUCACUUUGGUCGGUAAAUUUUAAGUUUAGAACACUUUUGCUCCAUAAAUUUUAAACUCGACAAUGGUUAACAAAAUGCACAAAAACCAACUGAAUACCUUUGCUAAUCUUGAUUACUUCAUUGCUAAAACUAAAAUAUUCUGUUAGUUUUGUAUAUUCCAUUAACAAUUGGAUUAAAGUGGGACAAGUUUAGAUUUUGGACAGUAACAUAUACCAAACUUUAGUUCAGCGACCAAAAUAUGAACUGUAGUAGAGUUUUAAAGAUGUAAAAUUGAAUUAACCCGCAUUUUUUAAGUUUAACCUUAGAUAUUUGUUAAUAAAUGGUUUUUGAUAAGGGACCAUCUCUGUUGUUAUCUUCCAAAAUCCUAACGCCUAAAGUGUCAGUGAUGGUAUUUUGUAGUACACCUUGCUGUUGAUAAGAUUUUGGGACAUGGGAUUUUUUGGAGGGUUGUGGUGUGGGUGGGUUGGGGGGUGGGGGCAGGGACCAUUAGCAAAUAUCUCUUCUUCAUGAAGGCUUUUACAGAAAAGAAAUGGUACUAAAAUGAUAAAAUCUGCCAAGUAGAAUUCUAAGAACACUUUUAUGCAUUACACACAGAAAAAGAAAAAAAAAAAAAAGAAUAUAUGGAGCAUUACUACCUUGCGAAAUUGCCAUUAUUUAUUGGUUAUUGGAAUAUGAAGCAUACAAAAUUUGAAUGCAUUCUAAACCUGAAUCUGGUUAUAAAUUUUGGUAGUUAAAAAAGGGCAUGAAGAAAUUCCAGAAAAAAUAGGGAACCCUUAAUCAUAUUGAACAAGCAGCUGCUCAAGCCACAAGGAUGCAGGUCUCCUAAUUCAAAUGCCUUGUUCUUUGUCGUAAAUUUUCAGGGCUGUUUGCAUGGAUCAAAAUGUAGUUAGUACGAGACAUUAGCAAUGCAUGACACAAACAUUAUGUAGGAAAUAGUUGAUGAAACUGUUUUAAGCGCAAAUUGAUUUGUUUUUUCGGUUACGAUCUAAGUAGAAAAGCAAAGGUGGAAUUAAGUAAAAGAUGAUACUUAUAGCAAGACUGCUGAAUAUUCUGAAAAAUCUUUAGUUUUUAACAAGAGCAGCAACAAAAGUGGAAAGAAAUGACUGCAUGCUAUGCUAAUUUUUACUCGAGGAAAUUUGGGACUGUUUAGCUAAUGGUGUGUUGGGUAAUUGGCCAGGUGACUUAUCCAAAUAUGAUGGAACUCUUUGAGAAUCUUGGAGUAGAUAUGGAGCUUUCUGAUAUGUCAUUCUCAGUGAGCCUAGACAAGGGCAAAGGCUGUGAAUGGGGGAGCAGAAAUGGAUUGUCAAGUUUGUUUGCACAGAAGAAGAAUGUACUUAAUCCAAAAUUUUGGCAAAUGAUCCGAGAAAUUGUCAAGUUUAAGGCUGAUGUCAUAAGGUAGGUUUCCUCGUCCUUUUUAGUGUUUUCAUUGAAGUAAGAAUUCCUUAAAGAAAUGUUUUUCCAUUGCAUCUCAGAAGCCAAACGAAAUGAAGCGACUGCAGAAUUCUACAUGGUGUCAAUAUUAGGAAAAAAUAGUUUUUGGUGCUAAUCAGUCAAUUCUUACCUGAAUUCCCUGGGAGCAACUAGAGGAUUUGCAUAUGCGAUCGACUUCUCCAGUUAAAUAUGCAUCUAAUGAAGGAUGAACUAACAAAAAGUUCUAUACGUAAUGCAGUUAUGUAGAAGAGCUAGAGAAAAAUCCGGACUUAGAUCGGAAUGAAACACUUGGGCAUUUCAUCAGAUCACGUGGAUACUCAGAGUUAUUUCAGAAGGCCUAUCUUGUGAGGCUCCUACAGAUGCUUUAGUUUAUGGCAUUGAUUUUCUUUUGACCAAUGUAUUAAAUGAGCUUGCUUUCACAAUAAUACCAUAAGCAUAUAUCUCUGCUUUUUGACAGGUUCCAAUAUGUGCUUCUAUCUGGUCAUGCUCUUCAGAAGGAGUAUUGAACUUUUCUGCGUAUUCUAUUCUUUCCUUUUGUCGUAACCACCACCUUCUUCAGGUAAUGUGCCUUGCAGGCACCAUUGAGAAUUUGAGAUGAACUGCACUUUUUGAAAUAAUAUGUGAUGUGGCUGCUGUUUCCCUUUGCCAUUUAGCUCUUUGGUCGCCCUCAGUGGCUCACAGUAAGAUGGCGUUCCCAGACUUACAUCUCCAAGGUAAUUAAUUUAAAUUCCUUUUGUUGUAUACCACUGAAAAUUCCCCUGAUUGAAUGCAUAAGAGGACUGUAUAUUCUGUUAUUGUUUUGCACAAACCAGGUUAAAGAUGAUCUGGAAAGAAGAGGCUGUCAAAUAAGAAAUGGUUGUGAAGUACGCGCUGUUUCAACUAAGGAUGAGGGUAUCAACUCGUACAUUAUGCUCAAACAUUGUAGAUUUCAAAUUGGAUGGUGUUCUUUUGUUCAAGUAAAAACCAGACCAAUUAAAGCUGGAACUGGAACCAGAAUAUUGAUAUGUCAUCCUAGGACGGUUUAAAGUACAACACAACAAUUGCUUCAGAGAAACAAAUGGUUGCCUUCUACAUGAGAAAAUAGUGAAGACGCAAUCUUUAUAUACUAGCUGGUGGUUGUAAACCAAGCAGGAUUCUUCCUAGUGUCUUCUAAAAUCUCUCUGUUUUGAGUACUUUCUACGAGUGUUUUAUUGUCUAUAUCUUUUUCCUUAGUUGAGAAUUUUGGAUGUCAUUCUUAGUUUCAUGCCAAAAGACAGUACAUAACACAAUUUCCAAACUCAGAAACCAAAAUAUAGCAGUCUUGACUGUAGAGAUAUAAUUUGCUCAAUUGUUAGGUUGUGUGCUAUUGAUUAUGUUGAUACUCCCAUUCAUAAUGAAGAAGAAACUUGUACAGGUUGUGUUGUUACAUGUGAAAAUGGUUCCAUUGAAGUAUAUAACUCGUGCAUAGUGGCUGCGCAUGCUCCAGAUGCUCUUAAGAUUUUGGGAGAGCAGGCAACAUAUGAUGAAUCAAGAAUACUUGGUGCUUUCCAAUAUGCCUACAGGUAUCUUACUUUUUAAUGUUGGCUCUUAGUUUGCUGAUUUCUUAACCUUGAUACAAAUUGUUGCUUGUCUCCUCUAUUCGUCUCCAUUCUAAAUUUUAUCAGAAAUGCAAAGUUUGCGGUGAAUUUUUCUCUUCUCCUUUUCUUACGUCAACAUGUUUUGGGAGGUUGUAUUUCGUUUGGAGAUUUUCUUUUCUCCAAUACUUCUCUUCUGUUUCUUAUUGUAGAAGGUCUGGUUUCAAUUUUAAUAAAUAUGCUGGGUCAUGGAACCAGUUCAAAAUGCACAUUCAUUGUUUACCGCUUUAUGGCAGUGAUAUUUUCCUUCAUCGUGACAAAAACUUCAUGCCCCAAAAUCCAGCAGCAUGGAGCGCAUGGAAUUUUCUUGGAACUGUGGAUAAUAAAGUAUGUGUAACAUAUUGGCUCAACAUCCUCCAGGUUGGUGAGAUGUGUUCCCAAUAUAUUUGAUCAUUAGUUGUAUUGCUCUCAGAAUCCAUCAUAACGAACAAUUGCACAAAAAGCAUUUGAGAAUUCUGUGCAAUUGGCUUGAUCACAGUGCUAUGUAUGAGCUUUUAACUUAAAUAAUAAGUAAUAGCCCUCAAAGAAAUACUGGGAACUUCCAAAAGAUGUAUCAGUAACCUUAGAAAUCAAUGUGCACGCUCAAGAUAUCAAAUAAGCUCAAUUUCUUAUUUCCAGCUUCCAGCAACUUCAUUUUCAUGUUGCUGCAUUAAUGGAAUUUAUGCAAUGUGCUUCUUCUGUCAUUAAUAUCUUCAGCAUGAAUAACAAUAUUUAGCGUACAGAAUCUAGGAGAAACUGGACUGCCUUACCUGGUAACUCUCAAUCCGCCUCAUACACCUGAGAAUACAUUACUCAGGUGGUCAACUGGGCAUCCAGUUCCAUCAGUUGCUGCCUCAAAAGCUUCUACUCGACUUAAUGACAUCCAGGGGAAGAGAGGAAUAUGGUUCUGUGGAGCAUAUCAAGGUGACCACUUCACUUUGAAGAUCUUACAUGUCACCUUCUAAUGCACAAAAACAUUCAUUAUAAAACCAGUGCACCCAAUGUUGAAUUUUUAUGUGAGAGUUCACUUUUGCAUCUGACACUAUACUUUUUUCAGGUUAUGGUUUCCAUGAAGAUGGACUUAAGGUACUCUCCAUUUUGACAUCAUAUUGACAUAAUUAGAGUAAUUGAGUGUAGCAAAUCUUGUAGAUUGAUCGAAAGAAUGAAACCCAAGAUUAAGAAGCUGGAAAGAAAUGUUUCUAGUGAAGUAUAUUUUCUAAUAUUUGGCUUGGUUCCAGAAGUGCUUAUUAACCAUAUAGGCAAGUUAUUGGUUGCAAUUAAGCAUCUUAUCUUCUUUUCAGGCUGGUACAGUUGCUGCUCAGAGCCUGCUCAGAAAAAGUUGUACUAUCCUGAGUAACCCCAAACACAUGGUACCUUCCUGGACAGAGACUGGGGCACGCCUUCUCGUUACUAAAUUCCUCAAUGGUUUUAUUGCUACUGGCUCAUUAAUGUGAGUCAAUUCUGAGAGUAAACUAAUUCUCAUUUGCAUGUUAUAUAUUUUCACAAAGAAGACUUAGAACAAAGGCAUACUAUACCUAUUUAUUGAACUUAACUGUCUAUCGAAUUUGUAUCCCUGUUUAUCGAACUUAUAUCUGUCUAUCGUUUACAUUCUAAUACUGCAGUGGUUUGUCUAUGUUACCAUUUACAUUCUUUUUCUCUCAAAUCCAAAUUCUGUGACUGUUUUGUCAUUAAUUAAUUCCUAAACUUUAACCGGAUUUAUCAUUGGUUCUUCAAUAGACCUGCUCACUUAUGCCAAAUUUGCUUGUUAUUGAAUAUUAGCUCCCGAUGUGAUUAAAUAAGCAUGUUUUUUCUUAGUUUUUUGAUGUUUAAAAGUUGUUUUUAAGAGUCCAAUCUAUAGGCCUAAAGCUCCAAAGUUACAUGCAUUAUCUGUGUUUUCUGUUUUAACAGGUUACUGGAAGAAGGUGGCACAAUGUUUACCUUUGAAGGAACAACAAAGAAAAGCUUCCUGAAAGUUUCUAUUAAAGUUCACAGCCCACAGUUUUAUUGGAAGGCACAGUAUUUCUUUGGUUGAUGUUUACAGCAUUUGAACAUAGUCUCCAGUUGCAUGCGCUUUGAGUUUGCCUUCAUUCCAUGUCAAUGUUGUAUUGCCAGGUUGCUACUCAAGCCGACUUAGGCCUUGCAGAUGCCUAUAUAAACGGGGACAUUUCUUUCGUGGAUAAAAAUGAAGGUUUGCUUAAUCUUUUCAUGGUAAGUAAAUGAACACCAAACAACUUUCAAGCUUUUUCAUCAACAUCCCUUUUCUGAAUUCUUCAUUUCAGGUUUAUGUUGCCAACAGAGAUCUUAAAGCUUCUGUCACAAGUUCUAGCUACCAAAGGUAAAAGGAUUUUCAGUUAGAUGUGUUUAGAUGUUAGUCUGAGUAGUUUAUCCAGAGAUCCAGAGUCCCGCCAUUUCCUUAGUUUUGGUACGCAUGCAUUUAACUUUUUUGGCAGAGGCUGGUGGACACCACUGCUUCUGACGGCUGGACUAGCAUCUGCAAAGUACUUCUUUCAGCAUGUUUCAAGACAAAAUACUCUAACACAGGCUCGCCGAAACAUCUCUCGGCAUUAUGAUCUGGUGAGUCAUUUAUCAAUGAACAGUUCAGCAAGAACCAACUUAAAUAUGACAUUGCUAGGAUAUUCUUCCUGUUGACUUAGCGAGGAAAUUGAUACUGUCUUCCAUUUUUCAGAUUAGAACUGUUUCCUAAGAGAUUCUCACAAUCUCCAAUCCUUUUCUUUUCUUUCUUUAAUUAUGAAACAAUUUCCUUUUUUGGAAUAAGAAUACAGUACUUGUUGUAUUUGGCUUUACGUAGGCAAAUUGUAAUUUCUUUCUGAUGAAAGUUAUUGGCCUAGCUAUUGAGCAGAAAGUUAAUCAAGACUUCUUUCCUUGUAAUGUCUCCAGAGCAAUGAACUAUUUUCUCUGUUUUUGGAUGAAACAAUGACGUAUUCAUGUGCAAUAUUUAAGGUAAGAAUUUAAGCCUUGCUGUAGUAUAGCAGUCUUUUCAAAGCUGAAUUACAGCGAAACUUAUUUUUUGUCUUGACAUCUGAAAGCUAUCCCUUUUUGUGUACUUGUCAUAGUCUGAAGAUGAGGACUUGAAAAUUGCACAAUUGAGAAAAAUUUCCCUAUUGAUUGAAAGGGUAAGCAUUCUAUUUUUGCAAGUCCCUCAAAUUCCUAAGCUGGUUUGUAAUCAAAGCCAUGUCUGUUCAUACUUACCUACUGCAAAUCGACUUUUAGGCCAGAAUCAGUAAGGACCACCAUGUCCUGGAGAUUGGCUGCGGUUGGGGAAGUCUAGCUAUUGAAGUUGUCAAAAGAACUGGAUGUCAAUACACUGGAAUCACCCUUUCUGAGAAGCAACUUACAUAUGCAGAACAGAAAGUGAGGGAAGUUGGGAUGCAGGUAUCAAAAUCAAUGGCUCUGGAACUUUACAAAACCGAAUUGGACAUCAAAACUCAAUUUAGAUGAACUUAAAAAGUGUAGUUCUUGUAAUGUCUGAAUGUGAAGAUCAUGUUUAAUCCGAAUAAUCACAAUCCACAAUCUGGUUGCCAUCUAUCUUAUUAUGCAGUUACCAACAGUAACUAUGAACAUUGAUUUCAUAAUGGAUCAUUUCGUGUUUGUCUGCUACUCUUCAAAAAUUGAAUGUUUGGGGAUGGUAGGUAGGGUGUCUGUACAAGACCUAUUAUUGGUGCACCACACAAAUACUACGCACCACUUUGGAUGCAUGGUUGGGUAAAUGAUUUUGCACAAGACUGUUUACCAUUUGAUAAGUAGCCAAUAUAAAGUUUAUGUCCAUAUUGCAUUAAAACUGUUCUCUGUAUCUAUGCUUCUGAUCCUUCUAGCCAAUUUCAGAUGAUCUAUUUGUUAUCAUUUUAGACUGCUAUCUAAAUUGAACUGUUUCCAUAAACUUCCUCACUUAUUUAGCUACGUUUCAUUUCCUAGGAUCACAUAAAAUUUCUUCUUUGCGACUAUCGUCAAUUGCCAGAAACCUAUAAAUAUGACAGAAUCAUAUCUUGGUAAGUUCUUUCAUUAUUAUUAUUAUUAUUUUUUUUUUUGACAUCAUACAUCACUAGGCCAAUGAGUAUAUAGCAGAAUUGAUGAUAAAUUGCAGUGAGAUGUUGGAAGCUGUUGGUCAUGAAUUUAUGGAGAAGUAUUUCAGCUCUUGCAACUCAGUAUUGGCAGAAGAUGGGAUUCUGGUCCUACAGGUAAUUGGACUAGAAAUUAAAUGAAGUCGAUCGAGCUUUUUCAACUCUUCUGGGUUCCUUGAUCAGGCUACGUGUUUUAGCUUGUGAGAAUCCUUCAAUGAAAUGCUCGAUCUGGCAUAAUGCUUGUUUUCCGUGUCUGCUUUUGGUGUCUUUUUCUUCCAAAGAGACUUAUUUUUACAAUUACAUCUUGUUUGCUUCUUGAAACUCUCUUAAAAAUAAUGGUCUAGUACUUGUAGAGUUCCUUAUCCAGCCUGAUCAUCAUUUUAGUAUUUUGUUUUGGCUGUCCUGUCAAUAUACAAAGAAAAAGAAAAAUGAGUCUAAUCUGCUCAUGGUUGAAAACAAUGAUCUUAACUCUAUUUUUCAAUGGCCAAAAGCCCAGAACUAAUUGAUAAAUGUGACUUGUGAAUGAAAGAUGAUGAUCACUGACUGAUGCGGAUUGCGGACAUCAAAGUUUCUGCUAAACAGAUUAAGGAGCCUUUUCAAACUUCCACAGUAACUUAAUCUUCUUUCUCGAUUUAAGCCAACGUCGUCCAAACUUCUUGCCUGAACCUCCUUGCAUUCGAAUUAAAUAAAUGGAAGUUUGAAAGGGCUCCUUAAUCCAUUUAGCACAAUCUUUGAUGUCUGCAUCACUCACUAUAGCCAGUUAGUUGAAAGUUUCAUGUGACCUUGAGACUUGCUGAUCUCCAUGGAUGCAUGAUCUUUGCUCCUCAGUUUAUAUCAAUACCAGAUGAGAGGUAUGAAGAAUACAGACAAAGCUCAGACUUCAUAAGAGAGUACAUCUUUCCAGGUGGUUGCCUACCUUCACUUAGCCGAGUAACAUCAGCGAUGGCUGCAGCAUCCGGACUGUGGUAAAGUUACACUGCUGUGUGAAAUGUGUUUGAAGCUUUCUCCAUAUAGGAAACUCAUAAAAGUACCUCAAAUGCAGCGUGGAGCACCUGGAAAACUUUGGAAUCCAUUACUAUCAUACCCUUAGGCGUUGGAGGACAAACUUCCUGUCAAAACAAAGGUAUCUGAAAUAUAAUCAGCACUAUGUUCAUUCCCAUUAGUUUCAGCCACCUGAGGCGAUAAUAAAGAAUAUAUGGUUCUUCUUUCAGAGUUUUAGUGAACAAAAUUCCAAAUUUUGGUUUUAGUUUGAAGUCCUUUGACCUGAAAGCAUCGUUCCAAACUUAUAAGAACUGAUGUUCUGCAAGGAAUAAGCACCAGCAUAAAUGUCUUGGCAUUCUAUACAGAAUAAAGCAAGGCUGUGCUUGGAUCGAGGAAUUUGACAAAAGAUUUGAAAUUCUCUCAAUAGGUUUGAAUUGCUUGGGAUGCAUUUGAGUUUGUAAUCCACACCAGUUACAAACCCAAAUCCAACCUAGAAAGAUUUUAGGAACUUUACACCUUUCAUUAGUUAAAUCCCUCGAUCCAAACGUAGCCCAAGAGAAUUGUGCUACCUUUCUUCUGGUGCCACUUAUAGUUCUUUCAUUCAUAGUAAACCAUAUACAGUUCUAGCUUUUGUGACUUGGAAACUGAUUGGCGCGUUAAUGCCUUUGUCCUCAGUGAAAUCCUGGAAUUGGGUUUCGAUGAAAAGUUCAUCCGGACGUGGGAAUACUAUUUUGAUUACUGUGCUGCUGGAUUCAAAACAUGCACACUUGGAAACUACCAGGUACAAACCAUGAAAAACUAUUCUGCUUAUCAUUUUUCAUGUUUCUGAGUUUAAUCCCACACGAUUGUCUGAAUGAUGUCAUCGUAGGUUGUAUUUUCCCGGCCAGGCAAUGUUGUAUCCUUUGGCAAUCUACAGAAAGGUGUACCUUCAGCCUAUUGAUUGUUCAUCCUAUGAAGAGGAAAAGAUCUCCAUCUCAAGAGAAACAACAGAAGAAUUCAAUCCUAGAUAGAUGACUUGCCAUUUUUGUCUUUUAAGCUCCAAUAUUGAUUUCUGCUCAAGAUUUCAUUUGGGUUAGUCCUUCACUGCUUCCCAAAGAAGCAUGAAAAACAAAACAAGAAAUAAAGGUAAAAGAACCAAAAGUAGAGAAACAAACGUGCAAAGUUGAUUCACAACUAGCUUCAUAAUGUUGCAAGUUUCUUUGUCGAAGGCUUGUGGAACGAAGAUUGGUUAAAACCUUGAAUUUGCAUUCAACUGUAGUCAUGAUUUGCAGUCAAAAUCUAAAUGUGACUGGGAUUACACCAUAAAAUAUGGUUGUAUUUGAGCUCUUAUCGUAGAUUGAGCUCUUAUCGUAGAUUGGAAACCUUAACCACGAUAAAUAUAGUUAGAAACCAAUUUGAAUAGAACUCAAAAGCAAUGCCAUUGAAUACAAACACAAUCCAGUUUAACUUCUCAGGCUUCUGCGAGUCCAAUACCACUAAAAUCCCUUCCCACCAUGAUGCACCGGCAACUAUUGCUUGACUGUGACUCGAGGGUUAAACCCUAUCCUAGCAGGCAUCCUGCAAUGCAACAAAGGCACAGUAUGUUUCCUUUAUCACAUGCCAGAUAGAAGGCCAAGAUUGAACACAUAGCGGCCUCCUGCAUCAAUCCUGUAGCAUAGCCGACAACAUACCAUUACAUUUCUGCUCUCCAAUAUGGUCCAAUACUUCACCCAAAAACAUUCCUAACCAUAUCCCUCCAAGUCAAAAGAGCAACAGAUUUUUAGACCAUGUGAUCAAAUGAUAAAAGAGGAAGACAGUUCACUAGCAGCAUACAGCCAAAAUACAUCAGAGCUUACAACCGAAGUAGCCUCUACAACUAAUACGAUGUCUCAAUGCAACGUCCAUGCAUCAUGUUUUGAUGUUUGAAACAAAACACUGGUGAUUAAUAUCUAGCAAGAUCAAAAUCAAACAGUCAAGUUGCCAAGCUCCAGGCUUUUAUCAAGAUUAAUGAGAGUCAAAUCACCUAUAUAAAUCCAGAAUAUUCAAUCAUUUAUUACCAUAAAAACUUUUCUUAGACAGCAGACCAAAAUUGUUGCUAUUGUAACUAAUCAUUCAACUUCUGCUAGCCAUGAUAAUGCCAUAGAGCCUACAACUACUAUGUCACCAGUAUAUUAAGUGGUGAUGAUUUCUCCAUCUGCAUUAGACAACAUACCACAAGUUGUCGGGUAAUGAAUCUUCCACCCAUCUCAAAUUGUAUGAAGAUUGAGACAUCCAAAUUCUUUAACAGCAGCAUGGCCUGCUUCAACAUGACAAUUUCUGGGUAAAGCACCAAAUCAACCCAGCCAAACUUCAUUUUCCUGUAACAUCCCACACCAAACACUCAGCAAAAAGUUGUGAUUAGCCCCUGUGAAGGAACUUCAAUUCACCCAGUUUAUGACUUGAGCCUCUCCUCCUGUACAACACAAGGGCAAAUACAGGAGGAAAUGAUUAUGCCAUUCUCAAAAUCAAGCUACCGCUAAGAUUAUCGCUAUCCAUUAGGAAUUGAUCUACCCAAACCGGCUACAGCUGCAGUCUAAAGAAGCUUAACUAAUCUCAUUGUUCCUAUUGCAUCAUACCAAAGAACUCUGGUCACCAAACAACGUAGAAGAGGUAAGUAAUGAGAAACUACUACCAUCACGGAUGGCAAUGACAUAAAUUUCUGGCUCAUCUAUAUCCAGAUAAAGGACAAAAUUAAAAUUUAACUAAAUAACCAUUACCAUAAUACUCACCGCAAUUAACACAAACUUAAACAAAGCUACUAUAUGUUAAACACUACAAAUAGACAAAAACUCCAGAUCAGCUAGUGACCAUAGCUAUAAGCACACCAAAAUUAAAACUACAUUUGAGAGCAGAUAAUAAAGAAGAUGUAACUCUACUCCUCGCAAAUACUACUUAUUAUAAACUAGCAAAAUAGGUAACAGCAAGCUACUCAGAUACAAGCAAUCCAACCAGUCCUAGGUUGAUUGGUAAAAUCUUGCAACAGCCAGCCAACCUGCACCAAUCUGAAAGCAUUGAGUGUAUAGAUUCCAGUAUAUGACGCAGUUUAAGUCUCCAUCAAGGGUUACAGUUACUGCUGCUGAGCUUGCCGAGUUGGUGCACCACCAUAGCCUCCACCAUACCCAGCUUGGCCUCCAUAAUUGCCAGCAGCUUGUGAGGGGUCCGACCUCCAUCCUGCAUUUCCAUACCCUGCAUUCCCAGAUGUAUCACCAUAGCCACCUCCCAUAUAACCCCCAGCACCAGCUUGUAGAUCUCCAGCACCAUUUCCAGCUGAGGAAUUACUAUUUGGAGUACCCCCUGCACGCCCGCCACCACCAUAAGUAGCCGGGUUACCAUAAGCCCCAUCAUUUGUACCAUAUCCUCCAUAACCGUAACCUUGAUUUCCAUAUCCUGCAGCUCCACUGGGAGAAUGUCCAGCAGCAGCUCCAGCACCACCUAGGCCACCACCACUAGUGUUAGAAGCACCCCAGGGAGCAUUUCCAUAGCCUACAUUUCCAUAUCCAGAGGAUCCCUGAGAGUUCCACGUGUUCCUUGGUGCACCUGGUGGACCACUUCCAUAACCAGCAUUAGGCACAUUUGGGUUUCCAUAAGCAGCAGCAGCAGCAGGGCCACCAUAUCCAGGAUUAGCACCUCCAAAAUUUCCAUAGCCUCCAUAACCCAUACCAUUAUUGGUAGGACCAUAUCCAUAACCAGUAGUAUUAUAUCCAGAAGAUCCGUAAGGUGGAUAUCCCCCUCCUGUGUUUUGAGAUUGCAUGUACCUGUUGGAAUCCAUUCGACUCUCAUAUGAAUUUGAAUUACCACCAGAUGCACCAUAUCCCUGGUAACCUCCACCACCGCCACCCAUGGCACGGCCACUCCCACCAGGAUUAGCAUCCUUUGGAAGAGCGCGCUUCACUUCCACUUGCUUACCAUUUAAAUCAUGAAAUGUCUUGUGUAAGACCCUAUCAACAGCUUCCUCAGAGUCAAAAGAAAUAAAUCCAAAUCCACGGGGUCGGUUCGUCUGCUGGUCAAACAUGAUUACCACAUCAGUAACAUCACCAUAAGAUUCAAAAUACUGACGAAAAGCCUCAUCAGUUAAAGUUGGAGGUAAUCCUCCAACAAAUAUCUUCUUUGUCCUAGUAUUUCCACCACCACCACCACCAAAGCUCCUCCCAGUAUUAGCGUUUCCAACUUUAGAGAUCUGUUGUUCCUCUCUUGAUAAAGCUCUCUUAGCCUCAACCUGGAUAUUUCGAACUCAGGGUUACGCAAGACAGUAAUAGACAUAACUAGCACAUAAAGCUAUUAGAGACACUGAUAUUGCUAUAGCAGCACACAGGCAAAUACAUAUUCACACACAUGCUAAUUAUACCCAAGAACAUAAAACAUUAAUCUCUGCUGCUAAGUUCAAUGCUCUCGAGGAACGGACUGAGAACAAAUUCUCCUUUCAUAGCUCAAUGGCAAAAUCCAGGUUUGAACUCCCAAGCUAGUAGCCUAAUGGUCAUUGCAGAUAUCAUCACAGAUAAGCCACACAAGUACAUACACAUGCAAUGACCUAUCAAAAACCACAAUAACUUCAAAAAUGGUGCACUUUCAUUGGUAAAAAGCCCAAGUUAAUGGACCAAAUAUAAGCUUUGUACUAGUGCCAACCAACCAAAAUAACAGCCCAUCAAGCCCAAAAAAAAAAACAAAAUCAUGACACAUGGGCUAGAUUGGGCUUGACUUCACACGUCAUAUGAAAGAGCACAACACUGAAAAAUUAAAUCAUCAGAAUAACAAAAAAUGCACGCAAUAAAAAACAUGAAGGUAGAUUUCAAAAAGCCAAAACCAUAUCCUACACUUGAAAUCUAACCAGUAUUCAUUCAAACACACAUCCACAACCACCAUAUGUACAAUAUUUAAAAUAAACCAUGUCCGCUCAACCCUAAAUAGAAAACUACAAGUACAACAAAUGCAAAACCCCAAUUUACACUAGCAAAGGCAAAAAGCUUUUUUUUCUAGCUAAAAACAAAUAAAGAAUCAACUUAACGCCACCAGUGUAUACUAAGCAAUCAACUCCUAAAAUACUAGCAAUCUACAGGAAAAUUUCCAGGGAUCAUAAUGAAAAAAAUUCAGCACAAAUACAGCUGAAAUUUUAGCCUUUUCUGAAUUCAAAUAACAAAUAAAAGGAACUUAAAUCAUCCAACGUAUAAUACAACAACUUCACCUAGCUAAAACCAAUGCCCAGAAGAGGAAUAAAACUGCAGGCAUAUGCACAAAACAAAACAACUAUGCCAAACUUACUAAAACGCAUUACGACCCAUCAAAGAUUGAAUUAAGAUACGAAAAACCUACAUCCCAAAACAAAGAAAACACUCAAAAAUCAAACUAAAACUAAUCUCAGGAAAAAAAAAAGGGGAAAAAACACACACACACACAUACAAAGACAGUAAUAGUUAAAAGCAAAACCGAAAAAUUUUAAAUGGAAAAAAAAAGAGAAAACAAGGGGCUAAUAUUGUCUUACAGUGCGGCCAUCAAUGACAUGCCUAUCUUGAAGAACCCCAUCAAGAAUAUUGGGAUCUGCAAAAACCACAAACCCAAAUCCUCUGGGCUUGCCAGAAACUUUAUCCCUCAUCACUACGGUCUGCAAUACGUCACCGUAUUUGCCAAAAUAGUCCUUCAAUUUGUCCUCUGAUGUUUCCCAUGAAAUCCCUCCUAUAAAUAGCUUCCCCUGAUCUGAAUCCAUCACCAAAAUUGUUGCUUUUUCUUAACCCAGUAAAAAUAAAGACUGAAAUUUUGGUGGGCUUUGAAAUUUAAAAGAAAAAAAGAAGUAAUCUUAAUCGAGCUGGGAAGAAGGGGGUAGAGGGGGGAAAAGAGCAAAGACGGCUGCUGGAUUUCAGAGAAGGGGAGAAAGAAAGAGAAGUGAGGAGAGGGCAAGAGUGGGUAUAAGAAAUGGAGGGUGGAGAUUUGUUGGGAUGAACGGUGGAGAUUUGAGCUCUGGAGAUAGGGGGAGGAGGGUCAAGGUUUUGUAGCUUUACAAGAGAUAUUUUUGGAACUACAUACGAUUCUUUGUCCUAAACAUGAUGGUUAUUUUAUUUCUUUAUUACUACCAUAAAAAAAAACUAAAAAAAAGACAAUAAUUUAUGAGAGAAAUUAUAUAUUGUAGAACAAGAAUUUAUAUAAAUUAAAUUUACUUUUUGUAAAAGGAAGAAAUUGUUAGCAACUUAUUAAACAAGAAUCUAAUACUGCAGUUUGUAUAACUUUAUAAGUCUAAUUGUAACUAUUUGCAGUCAACAUAUCUUACUGAUAUUUUUGCCACUUUUGUUACCAAUAUCUUAAGCUUUUAGCAUGGUUUCAACACCCCAAAAUUUCAAAAGUAAUAUGGAGGCACAAUUACUAUAUUAUAAUUACCAUAACUUGUUUCCUUUGUGUAAUAGAUUACUAGUAAUGGUAAUUGGAUUACUCUUUUGAUUAGGGAAGAAGCCAUCUCUUCCUUAUCUAGCGAAACCAAAAUCCCUCUUGGAAAAGCAUGGUCACAUGAUAUAAAAUUUACUCCACAACUUGGGGACUUAUUAUUAUUAUUAUUAUUUGAGCAAUCUAUUGUUGAAUUGCUUUAUUGUAUAUUUUGACAUAUUAAAAUAAAAAACUUACUAAAUGCACAAGAUGCGUGUGUUUCGGUCCUGUUUGGAUUGUUAUUUUUAGAAAUUUUUAUAAAAAAUAAGUACUGUAACGACUUGAUGUAUAUAUAGUAAAAAGAUAAUUAAAAAAUAUGUUCGCAAAAAAUGUAAAAAUUUUUCUGCGAAAAACCACAAUCCCCAAUUCUUCGACUUGCGAGUUUGGCUUCUUCAUUUUCACCUCAAGCAGUUUUGCUUUAGUUGAUUGUAUCUUAUAGUUCUGAUGGAUGUGGAAGAAAGAAUUGACUCUUGUGUAGUACAGGCUACAUGAACAAAUGACAGGAGACUACUACUAGCUAAUGUUUUGUUUUAUAUCAAGAAGUGAAUGAUUAGUCCUAAAACAAACUACAAACAUACACUCCUAUUAGAGUAGAUGAGUUUGUUGACUAAUGACCACUUUUCAGUGGUUUAAAUCUCCUAUAUGUUUGUAUUAUUGUUGCCACUUUCUUGUGGUACAAAUAGUUGUGCAAGAUGAAUCUUGGAAAACAAAUAAAGACUGCAUAAUGUACUUUAAUCUAAGGACAAUAAAGUUCCCUUCUUCUUAUCUUGUGGGUACUAUGAUUUUGUUUUUUCUUGAGCAGUCUUACUUUUAGGUUUGAAUGAGUGUGAUUUGUGUGGAAUAAUAGCUAAUAUGUCAUGGUCCACAAACCAGAAACUCAGACUUGAUGGUCAUAGGAACUAGUCAUGCAUGAGUUCAUGUGACAAGGAUUAAUGAUCAAUUUGAUUAAAUUUUCUUUAAAAAAAUACACUUUUCAUCCCCAAUUGUUUGGCAGUUGGACCAAUUUGGUCCCUGUUACAUUUCAUCGAAAACACAUUUCAUCUCUCAGGUCUUAAUUUUUUUUAAUGAAUUUAGGACAAUUGAUGUUUAAUCGUCCAAUUCGGACUAAAAUUGAAGUUUAAAAAACCUAAUUUGGACGGAAUGAAAUAAGUGAGAAAUAUGCAUCAUUAAUAAAAAACAAAACAAAAAGGACUCAGGGAAACAAAAUUUAUGAAACCCUCAAACUUAAUCAGAUAAAAUUCUUCAAAAUUUGAAAAUAAUAUGGGUAAAAGUGGUGAAUGAUUGGAAAAGAAUCACAGGAAACUUGUGAAAUGGAUCAAGUUCGAUAAAAUUUUGUACCUCCCAAGUCUUUUUACUAAUUGUAUGCACCCUAGCUUCACACAUUUUACUCUGUUCAAGUUUUAAUUGUCAAUCAUCAAUUUCUGCCAAAUUGAGUGAUGAAAAAUCAAUUCUCAUUAAUUGGUCAAGAACCAAAACUUAAGGGAUGAAAUAUGUCCCUUUUUUUUUUUUUUUUAAAUAAUAGAGACCACAAUUGGUCCAAUCCCCAAACAAUGGGGAUGAAAAAGGUUGGCCAUAUUUCCCUUAAAUUUGACAGAAAGGUUGGCCAUAUUUCCUUCUUUUCAUGCCCCAUAAAUGGUUGAUUAUUGAAUGCUAGCGAGCUUGCAACCGUUGAGCUCUAGAUCCCAGAAUGGGUAUUAAUAAAAAGUGUACAAAACCCGAAAGAAAUGCUGCAAUGCCAGGGAGGAGUGGAGCCACCAUGGUACAGGUGUUGUUGGGUUACAAAGACAAAGCUGGUUUUUGUCUUAGUCUAUAUAUUUGGCCUUUUACUGAGCUCGUCUACCCACCUCUGUACUCAUUAUUACUUGCUCCUUUUCUCAACGUUCCUAUUUUCAAAAUGCCAUUGGAGGCAACUCUUUGAAAUGUUGCCCUCAUUGGUCUGAUAAUUUAUUAAUAAUACCGUGUGUGUGUGCUUAUAAAAUCCCUCAGGACAGACAAGCCACAUUCUUCUUCUUCUUCCUGCCUGAUUUGCAGGGAAGCGUGGAAAUCUAGCAUAUUUCUUCAAUGGGGUGCUUUCUUGCUUGUUUUGGGUUCACCAAGAAAAGGAGAAGGUCAAAGGGUAGGAGCAAAAAUGCAUCUGGACACCAAGUAAGACAAAUCUCGACUUUUAUCUUUUCUGUUUCUUUUAUUUUGGUAAGAGAAUUCUUUGCUUUUGAGGAUACACAAAACUUGCAUCAAUUCAAUAUCUUGAAUUUACUGUGGGAAAUUGCCUUGUUUUGUUAAAGAGUUAUGGAAGGUAUGUACCUCUGGACUGUGAUGUUACGGUCAAACUUGAAUGUGAUGAGAUGCAGAAGGCCUCAGCAACAGAGCUUAGGUGAGUUAAAAGAGUUGUAUUCGGUUUUAGGUGUACAUCUAAUCGUGGGAAUGAAGGAUUGCUUUUCAUGCUUGUGUUCUGCUUUUGGUUGCAGAGAUAAGCCUAAAGAAUCGUCGACCGCGAAAAUAAAGAAAAAAGUGAGCUUCAAUUUGAAUGUCAAGACUUAUGAGCCCCUUCCUAACGAUGAGCUUAGUAAUUGCAAUCUUUCUGAGGGUGAGGAGAAGACAAUGUGGGAAUAUAAUCAAGAAGAAACAGCUGGAGCAAGCAUGAAAUAUUUCAAUUAUGAAGACAAUUUGAUGGCAUCAAAGAUUGGAUCAUUCCCUUCGAAUUAUAGAUAUCAAAAUUGCAGAGAUAGCUAUGAUGAAGAGGAUGAGAUGGAAGUAGAGGAUAGCGAUCUAGAUGAUGAGGAUGAACUUGACUUUGAUGAAGAUGCUAUUGGUGAAAGCUAUGAUUUCAGAAGUCAAAAACUAUGCCAGGCAUCAGUGGAAGAAGAGGGAAAAGUUACAACCGAUCAAUUGGCAGAAAAAGGAAGCAAUCUUUUGCAGCCUCAAGUUUUGCAGCAUCAAGAACAUAACAAGACUGAAUUAAACCAAAAUGCUCGAAACAGGAGUCACAAUGUCUUUUCUGUGCUUGCUCCAGUUGAAAAUCUCACUCAAUGGAAAGAGGUUAAAGCUAAAACUAGACAGCAAUUGAAGCAUCAGAAGGAAAACAUAGUGUUAGAGCAAAAGCAGCAUAUGCCCUUAUGUACGAAGAAGAGCUCCGAACCUUUAGCUUCGAACUCAUCAGUGGAUUUGAAUCAAUUCAAGCCUCAGAGUCAUGAAAUUGCAGUUGAUGCUAGCCUUUCAAACUGGUUGGUUUCUUUCAAUGGUAAGGACAGCAAUGCUGCAAUAGCAAACGCCCAUCAAAAAAGAUCAAGGUGGAUGCAUCAGACUCGUUCCGCAGAUGAGAUAGAACUACUCUAAGCACCAAGGAAAAGUUGUCGGCUUCACCACCAAAAUACCAUACAUUCUCAAAACUGUUUCUGGAUUUGUGCAGAAUAGAACAGACAUUGCAUUUUCUCUCAUAAUAGAACAGACAUUGCAUUUUCUUGGAAAGCUCCACCCUGCCCAGGUGUUGAGUGGAUUUCUGAAUAAGACAAGGCAAGGGCGUCUUGUUACAUUUGUCUUUAUCUUGUUCUUUUCAGCUUGAUUGCUUUUAUAUCUUUAGUGAUAAUGGGAAAUUGUUGUGAAUCUGUAAUACAUUGUAUUCUUUUUUUUCAAUGCAAAUGAAGUAAACAAUACCUAAAGAAGGAACUCUGAUGUACAUGGAUCAAAUUUAUCUUGAUUGUGUAGCAUUAGACAGAAACUCCAUUUGGUUUAUCUUUGCCAAGAAAAUCUGGGAAGCAUCGUUCAUCUUUAAUGUUAACCAGUUCCCAAUCUCGAAUUGUACUCGAGGAAGAUCUAAUCAGCCGGGUUCGGAAGUUAUAGACAAUAAUCAGCAGUUGCACAAGGAAUUCUUUAUUUAGGAAAUAGAAGAAAGAAAUUGACAAAAAAGUAGAGCAAUUAUUGCUGCAUUAUCAAACAAAUAUCACUAGUAUGAGAAUCCACCAGAGAACAAAUUCUGGUCUCUACUAUUUUUUCUUUUUUCUGUUUUCGUCUGCAAUCUAUCAAGUCAAUUACACUGGAAGCUUGUAAUCACCGGCAGAUGACCAGGACACCGGGAUGGGGUGAUAAGGCUACUAUAGGUCAUACGGAAGCCAAAUCAUGAACUUCUUAAUCUACUCUCUAUCUAACAGACUAAUA
rnacentral:lncRNA from 1 species